rnacentral:lncRNA from 1 species
CCGCUAUUUGACUAAUUUUCUCAAUAAAAGAACUAAUAAAUAAAUUAAAGAUUAAAGGAAAAAUCCUUCAAAUAUUGUUAAAAAUCGUAAAAAUGAUGUCAAAAGUCCAUUUUGGUCACUGGUAAAAUGAUUACGUUACUUUUUACUUUUUAUUAGGAUAAACUAACGCAUGUUUCAAAAAAAUUGAAUUCAGGUAUUUCAACACCAAUUAUACGAUGACCAAUUGAAACUUGCGGUAACCUUUAGGCUGGUGUUAUUUGAUAGGAAUGAAUUGUAAAUGAGUUCAAGUGGGGAGAAUUAGAAGUGACUGUAAAUGAGAAGGGUUUUCAUAAUCCACCUUAAUUGUUAAAAACAACUGAAAAAUGAGAGAUAUUAUGAAUUUGAAGUUUAUUACCAAACCACUCAAUCCAAAUAAGCCCAAAAAUCAAGAUGGUCCACCUGAAUUUGGUAUUAACUUUUGAAAAACUUCCUUUUACCCUAUAAUUUGACUAGUACUUUUCAAUAAUAGACACAAAAGCAUCAAGUGUAAUAUUCUCUUCUAGUGACAAGCAAAUCAUUCAAGAGCAUUAUUCCCUUCUAGUGAUAAGCAAAAUCUUGAAAUUGCAAUAGAUUUUUUUAGGGUUAAUACACUUUCCACCCUGUACUGUGAAAAAGGUCGCAUUCACCCCCUCAGUAUUAAAAACUAUAAAGACUUCUCUAAUUUUGACAGCCAACCAACAUAAAUUAACGGUUUUAAAUUUUGCAGUGCAAUUACUCUUAUACCCUCUCAUUUUGUCUUUUAAUUUCUCAAAAAUUCUCAGCCACCCACCACCAAAAUCAAAAAGUGGAGACGAUGAUUUCCCUACCACCAUCACCAUCGAUCCCCUCCCGUCGAAAGGAUACACCAUCGCCGCCACCACCACCACCAUUCGGGUUUAUGUUAUAAUGAGUUGUUGUCGUUUGGUGGUGUGACGGGAUUUGGACAGUUGUUGGUGGUGGGAUGGGAUUUGGAUGAUUUUUAGAAGAUGAUGAAGAUAAAUAUUGCUGAAUAUUUGUAUAGUUAGGAGGACGGUGGGAAGAGAAUUGUUUUCUAAGUUUCGAUGGUUGGAUAGGGCAAGGAGGAUUCUUGUACAUAUCUUUAUUUUAUUUUAGGGCGAAUGGCCAAAAGGCCCAUCACAUGGGACUUAAAUGCAUUUUGGUCCAAAAAAAAAACAGUCUCAAUUAAACCCAUCCCCAUGUCUUUAGUCUAAAAUACCCUCAAUAAUAUAAUUCUUAUCAAUUCCACCCAUUAUGCUCUAACUUCCUUAAUAUUACACAUUGACCCCGGAUUUAAACAAAUAUAUCACAUUAACCCCCAAAACUUUUUUUUUUCAGAAAAUAAUUUUUUUUCUGAAAUAUUUUUUUUCUGGUCAGAUUCCGGCAUUGACUUUUUUUUUCCUGAAAUUUUUUUCCAGCCGGUCAAGCACCGUUGACCGCUGGUCUCCGGCGUUGACUUUUUUUUUUUUUUUUUUGAAUUUUUUUUUCUUAGAAAAAAAAUAUUUUAAUUAAUAUUACUGUUUUGGCUACUAAAUUAUUGUCUCAGAAAGUAAUAUUACUGUGUGGGACACUAAUAUUAUGAAUAUUAUUUUUCAGAACAGUAAUAUUAUUAAUAUUAUUGUCUAAGACAGUUAAAUUACUGUUGGAGACAGUAACUUAGCAUCCAAUGAAGUAAUAUUAAUUAAAAUAUUUUUUUUUAAGAAAAAAAAGUCAAUUAACAGUUAAAUUACUGUCUCCUACAGUUAAAUAACUGCUGGAGACAGUAAUUUAGCAACGAAUACAGUAAUAAUAAUUAAAAAUAUUUUUUUUAAGAAUAAAAAAGUCAAUUAACAGUUAAAUCACUAUCUCCAACAGUUAAAUAACUGCUGGAGACAGUAAUUUAGCAACGAAUACAGUAAUAUUAAUUAAAAUAUUUUUGAAGGAAAAAAAAAAGUCAAUUAACGGUUAAAUUACUCUCUCCGACAGUUAAAUAACUGCCGGAGACAGUAAUUUAGCAACCAAGACAUUAAUAUUAAUUAUUUUUUUUUUAAGAAAAAACAAAAUUAUAAAAAAAAAAAAAGUCAACGCUGGAGACCGGCAGUCUUCGGCGGUCAACGCCGGAAUCUGGCCGGAAAAAAAAUGUUUCAGAAAAAAAAAUUAUUUUCUGAAAAAAUAAAGUUUUGGGAGUUAAUGUGAUAUAUUUGUUUAAAUCCGGGGUCAAUGUGUAAUAUUAAAGAAGUUACAGCUUAAUGGGUUGAAUUGAUAAGAAUUAGGGUUAAAAUUGGGGUCAAAAUUGGAGUCAAAAUUGAAAUUAGGGUUAAAAUUGGUUAAUUGAUGAAAUUGGGCUAAAUUGGGGUGUAAAUCAUGAAAUUGGAGUUGAAUUGGGUUUCAAUAAAUUGGGGGUAAUUUUGGUAUAUAUAAAAGGAUUUUUACUUAUUUGCAAAUAAGUUUGAAUGAGUUGGAUUUAUUUGAAAGACAAAAAAGUUGGAUGUCCCUCUUUUAAUUAAGUGUCCUUGUCAUGGGCUUAUUUGCCAUUACCCCUUUAUUUUAUAAUAUUUAUUGAAUUUCUAUAAUAAAUUAUAUUUUUUAUUAUUUUUUGUCAUUUUAUAAAUUAUUAGAGCAUAUUUCAUUAUUUAAUAAUUUCUAUUAUUUUUUGUAAUAAAUUUAUAAUUAGCAAUUUAAAAUUUUCAAAAUUAUAAUUAUUUAUGAUCAAUAAUUGAAACUUGAAGUUUUACAUUUUAUAAUUGUUUCUAUAAUCUUAUAAUUUUUCUGUUAAUUAUAUAAAAUAGUAUAUAUAUAUAUAUAUAUAUAUAUAUAUAUAUAUAUAUAUAUAUAUAUAUAUAUAUAUAUAUUAUUGAAAUAUAUGUGGUCAACGUGCCACAUCAGCUUUCAGCUUUGACUAGCAGAAUAACUAACGACAUGUUUUUUUUUGUAGUUUUUAAUACUACAGGGGUGAAUGCGACAUUUUUCAUAGUAUAGAGGUGCAAACAGUAUUUUAUCCUUUUUAUGUUUUUUUUCGUUGGGAUUUAUAAUUGUGAGCAAAAUUUUGUAAAUUGAAGAUUUUUUUUUUUUUAUAAUUCAGGCAUAUAUUAGGGAGUUAGUUUACCUUAGAAUUGAAUAAUUAGAUGAUAAAUGAAGAAUUAUUUGAACAACAAAAGAGAGUUAAAGAAUUACUAACAUUGAAGAGGAACGACCAACGAAGCUGGGAAGUAACCUGCAUGAAUAAGAGCAUUAGAAUGACAUAAAUGUAUUGAUUGAAUCUUAAUAGUGUAAAAUUUUAAAAUGUUCAAGUGAUGAGAAAAUGUUCUUCUAUGCAUGAAAAAAUGAUGAACAAUAUUACAUAAACAUAAUUGAUUGAGUCUUACCGCAAAACCUAUAGUAUCGUCCACCAAUUGACCAUGGACUGUAUACACAUUCCUUGUACAAACGCAAAAACCACGAAACCUCAAAACCAUAUAGCAGAGCUUUGUGCAUAGUUGAAAAGGAAACAUUCUCUUCUAUUUUAAGUGGCAAUGAAGUCAUCAGCACGAAGUCUAUUUUGCACAUAUCCUUUAUUUGGUGUAAAUCUGUGCCAAACAUUAUAUAUGCGCGACUUCCAUUCACGCCAUAUAAUUUUUUGUCUGCACAAUGAGAAGUAAUUUCCAAAAGCUUCGAACCAUUGACUGAAUAUGGGCAGCUCAUAAAACUAAUUGGAACACUUUCUAGCACAUUGUAGGGAUGAAAGGGAUAAAACAUGUACUCCAAUAAAGGGUAUUUGGGGAAUGAGCAACUCUCAAUUAGUGUGACAUUAGGAAUAGCAAGACGGAUGGUCUCUUUGGUAGAGUUGAUUUCGUGGACGAGGUGUUUUAGAGAACCGAUGUAUAUUGAGGUGGUAUUGUUUUCGCAUAAAAGUUCGAAGUGGGGAUGACCGCAGCGUUUUGGAUCAGUCAUGAGCCUGAAAGGAUAGCUAAUAUUGCGGAUUUCGCCACAUGAAGAAGGGGUGCAGUUGAUUUGGUUUCCAUGGGAUUUUUGGAUGAAAUAUAAUUGGGUUGUGAUGAACAAAUAAAUGAAUUUGAGGAGGAGGCUUUGGCUGAGGAUAUACAUCUUUGUGUAUGAAUAUUUGGUGAUCAAUUUGAAGAGCUAUCUAUAGCUUAUAAGUUUGGGGAUAUGAUUAAUUAGAUGGAAGAGAUGAGAGAAGACUGCAGUAAUGUGUGAAUGUAGUUUGUUUUUUCGCUAAGAAUAAUUCACCACAACUUGUAUGGAGGAAAAUUCAAGUCCACCAACUACUUGCAGAGGAAAAUUAAUAUCACAUUUUCUAAAAGAAUUAAUAUACUUGUUUGAAGAAACUAUUGGAGCAAUAAAAAGAUUUUUGGAGGAUAUAUUGAUGGGUGAAGAUUGAUGUGUGUGUGUGUUGAAGGACUGAGUCUUCUUCACAAUAAUUAAACAAGUAGUCUACCGUGAAAUUUACGCUUGUGUGUGGUGUUGCUUCUUCAAAAGGGACAACUAUCACAUAACAGGUCAUGAUUAAGGAAAGAGUCGAGUAAUUUCCGUCAAAUUAUAUUGGAGCUAAUUGCCAAUACCUUUCCUAUGUAAUCUCUAAUUGGCAAAUACUCUCUCUAAAAAAAAAAACUCACCAAAUCAAAAUUGUCUUUUUAGGCAUUGACUAAAAGUGAAAUGACAAAAAUGCCCUAUGGAUUUUUCAGCAAUUAGUAAAAUAUAUAUUGUACAGAUUUAUUUUUUAAAACUUCUCAACUCUAUAAUUAAUUUAAUUAAACCAAAUUUUAUUACACAAAUUUUUUUUUGUGUAGUUAUUUUUAAUUUUAUAAACUUAUUUAUUAAUAAUUUUGUAAUUACAAAAUAUAAACAGAAAUUAAACAUAUAUUGUUGUAUUAAAAGAUUUUAUAUGUUUUAUAUUUUUGUUAUAUUACAUUUUAAUUUACAUUAAAAAAAAAGGUUAAAUACAAAAACACCCAUGUACUAUGAACUUUGUAUCAAAUACUACUACACAUAAAUACAACAACCCCCUUCACAUUACAUUUUUUUCAAAAUAUGACGAAAAUACCCCUACUUAGCCUAUAAACAUAAGGGUUUGUUUGAGCCAUUUUCCACUAUAUUUUUAACAUUUUCGGUCAAUUUUGCUUGGCAAAUUUUGAUAUUUAUAUUUUUUUCUCCAAAACAUUAAAUUACUUAGUUUUUUUUUUUUCUCAAUAAAACCUUUUAUUUUUGUCAUUUUGAAUUUCUUCAUUUAUUUCUUAACUGUCUUCCGGUAGUUCAAAUUCUCAACAAUCAUAGGAUUGUAAAGAUGUUUGUAAUCUUAUGAUGUUUGAACUACCGGAAGAAAUUUAAGAAAAGAAAAUGAAGAAACUCAAAAUGUCAAAAAUAAAAGAUUUUUAUCAGAAAAUUAAAAAAAUAUAAGCAAUUAGAUGUUUUUGAGAAAAAAAUAUAAAUACCAAAAUUCCCCACGUAAAAUUGACUGAAAAUGGCUCAAACAAACCCUUAUAUACAUAUAUAUACUUAAGUAGGGGUAUUUUCGCCAUAUUUUGAAAAAAAUAUAAUGUGAGGGGAAUGUUUGUAUUUAUGUGUAGUACAGGGGGUAUACGAUACAAAAUUCAUAGUACAGGGGUAUUUUUGUAUUUAACCCUUAAAAAAAAGAAGAAGAAAAAAAAAACAAAAAUAAGUCUUCUUCUUCCCCGCUCCACCCCACCCCACCCCGGGGAAUACGAUGCUACACCUGGUGAUUUUCACCGGGUGGCUCUUUUCUUGGCAUGUGUUCUCUUUUAUUUAUUUUAUAAUUAUAAUUCUAAAACCCAUUGGGCCAUAACUGAACCCGUAGUGAGAAUCUUAUUAAUUAUGGUGCCUGGUUAUAUUCACCAGGUGUAGCAUAGAAUUUCCCCCCAACCCCACCAACCACCCAAAUCAACACUUCUUCUCCCCCACGCACCUUCCCCACCAUCGGCUCACCUUUCUUGCACCCCAUCUUCGCGUAGUACAAUUUCUCCUCCAAUUCCACUCUUCCUAUGGCAACCCAUAUCUGCAAUUUGAACAAAGGCGGCGACGACGGCGAUUAUGUGCUGGAGAAGAAAAAUCUUACAUAUACACAACUCUCUCUCGCUAAGAAAUGGGUGGUGCCAAACGGCGGCGGUGACCAGGGAGAGAAAUUUGAAGGAGUAGGUGGGUAGCGGUGGUGCGAGACGGGCCAGAAGGCGGCGGUGACAAGGGAGAGAAAUUUGAAGGAGUAGGUGGAUGGCGGUGGUGCGAGACAGGCCAAAGAGCGGCGGUGGUGCUAGACGGGCCAGAAGACGGCGGCGAUGCCGAACUUUUUCUAGGUUGGGAGGUGGGCGGCGGAAUGGAACGAGGAAGAAGAUCUGAAAAAAAAAUCAAUUUUUGUUCCUUAUUGCAAUUUUGGAAAUUUUAAAGUUUACAAUUUGGUCCUAUAAAUUAUAGUUAUUUAUAAUUUGACCACUCGGAUUUUUUUUUUAUUUAUACAGGGGUAUCUAUGACAUUUCACCCUAGAAAUAACAUAAAAAUUCGUAGAGCCCGCGAGGGAGAGACACGAUUUGCCUUAAGGGAUCUCGAUGCAUUGACUUUGGUUACACAGGGGGCAUUGGUGAGUUUUUUUUAAGGGGGUAUUUGCAAAUUAGUAAUUACAAAGGGGAGGUAUUUACAAUUUGCUCAAUUAUAUUGUACUGAAUUUGUUGGAGAGAAAACAAAUAAAUCACCAUCUGAAUUCUCAUCAGUUCCACCACUAUCAAUUGGCUUACAAGGUCCUUGGGGCUAUCCGGGUUUCGAUCUAAACUGCAACAACAAAAAUGAUACUGUUCUUGUGCUUCCCUCCUCUGUAAAUGUUGUUGUGAAGGAAGUCAACUAUAAUUUAGCCGAAGUCAACUAUAACUCAUUCAUCAGUUAGUUAUAUUAAGGGUUAAAUACACUUUACACCCUUAAAGUAUGACUAUUGUAACACUUACCUCCCUGAAAUAUCACCUGUAACAGUUACACAUUAUAGUUACACAUUAUUUACUGAAGAAUUUAAUUGGAAAAAAACUAUCUCAACUAACUGAACAAUGCAAUAAAUACUAUAUAAAUAUAAAAUAUUUAUCUAGCUAGGUGGCACUCGAAUAAAUGCUUAAAGAAAAAAAAUAAACAUGAUUGAAUUAAUUUAUUAAAUAAGUUGAGAACAAAAAUUAUUACAUACAUCCAAAUUUUUACAAUUGGAAAAUGCUAGGAUCGAAUAUUUUUUUUUGAUUUCGAGUUUUGUUUAUUGUGGGUGCAUGAUAUAUUAAUUUGUUUUUUGAACAAUACUCAAACUGUAAAUUUGAAUUUUUAAUUAGUUGAAUUUUCUUGUAAAAAACGUGAAUCAAUCUUUUUUUUCUUUAAAUUAUUUCAUUCAAUAAGUUAGGAUGAUUUUAAAAUAAAAAUAAAUGUAUUGGCAUUUUCAGUUAUUAUUUUUAAUUAGAUAGUUAAAAUAAAAAUAAAAUAUGUCACCCAAUAAUAAAUAAUAAUGUAAAGGGUAUGAGUGUCAUUUUAAAUUUAAUGUGCACUUUCUAUAACAGGUAAGGGGGUAAGUGUUACAUUAUAUACUCCAGGGAGGUAAGUGUUACGAGGGUCAUACUUUAAGGGUGAAAAGUGUAUUUAGCCUUUAUAUUAAUAUUCAAUUUAAGGUCGAGAUUCCGGUAUUCGAAAUGGAAUUCCGAUGACAAAAUUUUAUCUCCAGCGAUAAAAAUAAUAAAUAUAUGGUUCAUUAAGUAGAAAAUGAGGUGGAGAGGAAUGACAGAAAGAAGGGGGAGAAAGUGGAGAAAGAAGAAACAGAGAAAGAGGAAGAAACGUGAGAGAGAGAGAGAGAGAGGAAAGAGGAAGAAACGUGAGAGAGAGAGAGAGAGAAAGAGAGAGAGAGGAAAGAGUAAUAAAUAACCGUGAUGUUUGUUGGGAAAGGAAAAAGAGCGGAAUAGAAAAUGGAGUGAUAAUCAGAAAAAAUAAGAGAAAUAAGGUAAAUGAAGAAAAACAUAUGGAUAAAGAAGAAGAUGUAGAAAGAAAAGGCAGUAGCGUAUUACCAAUAAGGCUAGGGGUCCAACAAUUCAUAAUACCCGUUUUGGAUUUGCUGACAAAUGUGCAAUUAUAAAAUUGAUCUGGCUCUGUUAUUUUGUGUUUUAAGCGGGUUAUCCCUCAUUUUCCCUGUAAAGUAUUAUGUAUUUCAUUAUUUCAUAAAUUUUUUAAGUACCAAAUGGCAAAUAUUACUUUAUAAUUUAUAAUUUAAUAUAUUGAAAUCAAAUAAAAUGCAAACAAAAUAUAUUAAAAUAGAAAAAACGUAUUAAAAAAAAAAAGAAAAAAAAGGUGUUAGGGGCAAUUCUGUCAUUUCACACAAAAAAGGAAGAAAAUUCGCAGAACCCACGAGCGAGACCCACGAUCUGCUAGGACCCCCUUGUGUUAUGACAAACCUGUACCAAAUCCCCCUGUGUUCUUUUUAUUGCGUAAAACCUCCCUGUAUUUCAUUUUUUCUUGCAUGAAAUCCUCAUAUCCGUUAAUUGUUAACACCGUUAACUAAAGAGACGAUUUCUGCAGGUUUAAUGUAACAUAAGGGGGGUUUGGAGCAUGAUUUUGCAACACAAGGGGAUCUAUGCAUAAUUAAUUUAUUGAUUUAAAAUUCAAUUAUUUUCUUCUUUUCACAAUAAUUAAUCCACAAUAAAUUAUAAAAAGAUAUAAUAAUUAUAAUAAAAUAGUAUAUUAUAAAAAAUCAAAAAAGUUAAUAAAUUAUAUCAUAUAAAUUUUUUUUUUUUGAAACAUUCACCAUGUACACCUAUUAAAUUUCUAUUUUUCAUAUUGUACUGAAUAAAUGUGCUCGAAUUAAUUUAAGAAAAUAAUAUGAAAUUUAAAUGAAUAAAUUAAUUAUGCAUACAACCCCUUGUAUUGUAGAAAAUAUGCACUAAAUCCCUCUCUAUUAAGAAUAAAAGCAUAAAAUCUCUUCUAUAGUUAACGGCGUUAACUUUUAAUGGAUAAAAGAUUUCGUGCAAAGUAAAAUGAAACACAAGUGGAUUUUACGCAAAUUAAAAAAAAAAAAAACACAGGAGAUUUAAUGCAGUUUUUACAUAGGGGUUUAUUUGCAAUGAGGGGGAUUGUCGUCUUUCGCUAAUGAUACGGGGUAUUUGUUAUUUUUGUAAUGACACACGCAGUUGCAAUUUGCACAAGGGUAAAUGCAAUAAGCUCUUGUUGGUUACAACAGCACUAAAAAAAAUAUUUUGCUUGUUGGUUACAGAAGCACUAAAGGAGAGACUAAUUGCGGGUAAACACUUUCUUAGGUUUUAUUAGUAUUUAUUUUUUCUAGUGGACGGGUUCUAAAGCUGACAUAUGAAUCGUGUUUCAAAGGUUUUGGUUGCUUGCUUGCCGUGUUAAUCCUCGUCGCUCUCGUCCAUCAAUACAUCAUAUUUAGAAGACGAAAAACAAAUCGAAAAGAGAAAGAAAAGAUGAAAGAGAAGUUGAAAAUGGAAGUUACGAUCAUUUUCUUUUCUUUCUUUGGUGUAACUGAUGCAAAACUGAAAUUCAUACUGAAUUAUCGAGACCAUUGAGUGUCUUUCAAUUUCUUGUAUGACUAACAUUUUAUAGAUACAUGAGUUCAUCUUUUCUGGUGCUUUUAUACGUUGAACUCUAAAAAAUAUCGAUUAUUUUUCAUAAACAUACAUUAAAAGACUAAUUAUAAAUUAAUAUUGAUUAUUUUAAUUUUGAUAGGGGCAUUUUGGUCAUCACAAAAAAGGGAAGAAACCUCCUCUGACAUUCCCACUUUUAUAAGUAACUAGUAAGUACCACGUGCUACACACGUGAUUUAUGAUUUUACUUAAUAGAUGAAAUACUAAGAUAUACAUUCCUAUAAAGUAAAUAGAAACAAUACUUAUACUUAGAAUGUAAAAAGGUAUGUCACUAAAUAAAUGAAAGGCUUAAUUCCACUUUGCAUCCUUGAAAUAUAGUCAUGUGUCACUUUGCACCCGGGAGAAAAUGAAUAGCAUUUUGCACCUUCGAAACACAAUAAAUCGUGCAUAGUGUACCCCAAGUUGAUUUUUAAAGCUAAUGAAGCUAAUUUAAUAUUUUCCGUGGUAUUUUUUUAGGAUGCCAAAUGAAAUUUUAUAUUUUUUAUAUUCAUCAAUCCUUUUGAAACUACAAAGUGCAAAAGUAAAAAUGCACAGAAAUAUAUUUAAACUUUUUUCACAAAAAUAUAUUCCACCAAUAUAAAAAGAAGAAAAAUCCUUCAGAUAUUUUGUUAUCAAGUUAUUUGAAAAUUAUAUUUUGUUCCAAAAGUUUCUACCAAAUAUUUUCACGUAUUACAAUAAAAUAUCCAUCAAUUAAAUAAUUUAGUUAUAUCUUUUUUUUGGUAAGAAAUUAUAUAUAGUUUUUCCAUUAAUUAGUUAUGAAUUUUUUUAUUUGCAUUGUGUACGCCCAAAUUCAUGUUGGUUGUAGAUGAAAAUAACAAUCUAAUUUGUUACUUUGCACCAUGAGAAAAAACCCUUAUAGAAAUUAAAAUUACCCUCAUUAAGUUUUAAAUAUUCAAUUCAAUGGUGCAUUGUGAAUGAUUUAUUGUAUUUCAAGGGUGCAAGAUGCUAUUCUAAAUUUUCAUGGGUGCAAAGUCCCAAAAUGCUACAUUUCAAGGGUGCAAAAUGAGAUUAAGCCUCAAUGAAGUGGUCUAAAAGUUAUGUAUUAUUGAUUGUAGGAAUGAUAACUUAUUGAAAUACUUAAUUUAGCUUCAAUAAUAUAUUUUGUUAAUUGUUGAGUUGUUAGUAUAUGCAGUUUUUUUUUUCAAACUACAAACAAACAAACGUGGAAGGAGAAAAAUGAAUAUCAUAAGGCUCCGUUUGACAGAAUUAAGCAUUGAGUGUUGAAUGUUGAAUAAAUAUCUUAAUCAAUAAGAGUUACAUCUCAAUGCUGAAUGUUGAACAAUUAAGUCCACUUGAUAACUGAAUAUCAAUAAUUACUAAAUAAUAUAAUUUUCUUACUAUAAACUUGUGUAAUGGUGAAAUUAAAUGUAUUAAUUAAAUUUGAAUAGUAUAUAUAAAUAAAUUUAAAAUUUAGAAUAUAUCAUAUAGAAAAAAUAUAUUAUGACAAAACAUAAAAUUGUAGAUAAGAAUUAAAAGUCAAAUAUUAAAUGUACAUAUAAGUAUUAUGGUAUCAAAUACAAUGGUGAUAACAGGAACAACAAAUAUAAUAAUUACUCAAACACAUUGUCCCCUCAUUUACUUCAUUUUAUAUUAUUUUUUGUCAAAAUAAUAAUUUAUUAUUGGCUUCCACAAUUGAUGUAGGAGAGAUAUGAGAUGGCCGUGGAUGGCUUUUUUUAUCCAAAACUCAUUCAGAUACACAUUUUACCGAAUAAGCGAAUGAUUUUUGGCUGAGCCAAUAAGAGGUAAAAUAUUCGGUUCAGAAAUUCAACCCAAACACACUGAAUGAGAUCAUGCUUACCGAAUAAGAGGAAAUUGCUCAUUCAGAGGCCAUUUAGUGGUGUUCAAACAUGGCCUUAAUGGUUAGACUACGUACUAGUUCCGCACAAGAAAUGAAUAUGAUUCUCUCUUUCUCUCAUUUUUUCCCUUUUUAAUUCGGAAUUUCUUUCUUGAAUUUUUCUCCACUGUCAAUUAUCUCAGUUUUCGUUAUUCUUGUUGUCUUUACUUUUUCUUUCUUUCUCCGAGUAAACUACUCCCUCUGUUCCACAAUAAUUGUUUAUUUUUAAAAUUAUUUUUGUUCCAUAUUAUCUGUCACUUUAUAUUUCCAAUACUGCAUUAAUUGUGUAAUUAUCAAUUUUACCCUUAUUAACUAUCUCCAACACUCUCUCACAUUAAUUAUUGGCAAGGGCAUUUUAGUAUAAGAACAUAUAUUUUUCUAAAAUUAAGCAACAUUUAUUGAGAUCCUUAAUCAUUGUGCACAAGCUAAAAACGACAGUUAUAAAGGAACGGAGGGAGUAUCUUUUUUUAUUGUAAUCAGCGGUACCACUUUUGCUGUCCAUGAAUUAUGAAUAGAGGUCUUUACAAAUAAGCCCAUCAAUGGGUACUUAUUCAAUAAAGGGAUAUGGGCAGCUCAUAAAACUAAUUGGAACACUUUUUUGCACAUAGUAGGGAUAAAACAUGUAAUCCAAUAAAGGGUAUUUGGGGAAUGAGCAACUCUCAAUUAUUGUGACAUUAGGAAUAGCAAGACGGAUGGUCUCUUUGGUAUAGUUGAUUUCGUGGACGAGGUAUUUUAGAGAAUUGAUAUAUAUUGAGGUGGUAUUGUUUUCGCAUGAAAGUACGAAUUUGGGAUGACCGCAGCGUUUUGGAUCAGUCAUGAGCCUCAAAGGAUAACUAAUAUUGCGAAUUUUGCCACACGAAGAAGGGGUGCAGUUGAUUUGGGUUCCAUGGGAUUUUUGGAUGAAAUAUAAUUGGGUGGUGAUGAAGAAAUAAAUGAAUUUGAGGAGGAGGCUUUGGCUGAGGAUAUACAUGUAUGUAUGAAUAUUUAAUUUGGUGAUUAAUUUGGCUAUGUUUGGGGAUGAUUGUUUGAGGUUGCAGAGUAUGAUGAGGUGGGGGAGAGAACACUAUAGUGUGUGAAUGGUGGAAUUCUGUUUUUCUUCUUUUUCUUCCUCUUUUUUUGUUCUUUUUAUUCAGUACUAGUAAAUGGUACUUGCGUUGCACGUGGUUUAUGAUUUUUGUUAGUUAUUUAUAUAUUUAUUAAUAAUUUACUUCAUUAAAAUUAAGUUAUAUUAUAAAUAAAUAAUUAAUAAAUUAGUGAUAUGAUUUGGUAUUAUGUUAAUGUAGAUUUCCAAUCAUAUUGAUCAAUGUUAGAAGAAUCGGACCGGACCGGCCGAGCCGGUCCGGCCGCGACCCGCCACAAAAGCGGUCCGGUUUGACUCUGAAAACCGGGAUAUUCAAGAACCCGGGUCAAACGGCAAAAACCCGGUUCGACCGGCAAAAUCCGGCGAACCCGGAAACCGGUCAAUGACCCAGGUUUUUAUCUAAAACACUUCACUGUUAGUGGCCGGAUCUGCCGCAAAAUUCACCGGAGUUGGCCGGAUCUGAGUGGAGUAGGCCGUGGGUGGUCGGAAUUUAAUAGAUCUGGCCGUGGGUGGCGGAAUUCCACGAGUUUGGAUCGUGGGUGAUUGAAACAGAUUAUGUUUUUGGAUAAAAGAGAAGAAGUAGAUGGAAAAAAAAACUGAGAAAAAAAAGGAAAAAAGAAAAAGGAAAAAAGAGAAAGGGGAGAGAGACGAGAGGGAGGUAUGUGGGUAGAGGUGAUAAGAGGAGAGGGUGAAGAGAGGAUAGAAAAAAAUAAGUAUAAAAAUAUAUAAGCAAACAUGGGUGUGGAAAAUAAUAAAAGAAAUAGUUUAUAUAUUUAAAAAGUUAAUAAUAAAAGGGAAGAGAGUGUGAAAAAUAAAAUAACAUGUAUAGAAAAUAUAAAUUUAAAUAUUAAAAUUGAUAAAAUAAUUAAAAAAAUAAAAAACCCGGGUCGAACCCGGUUGUACCGGUUCGACCGUGACCCGAAUGCUUAUCCGGUUUUGUGUCCGGUCUGGUUCUGAUAACAUUGAUAUUGAUUUUGCUUGAUCUCGAUGCAGCACAGUGCAUAACAAAAUCUUCAUAUUCGUUACUUAAAAACCUUUUAAAUAUCAGUGUAACAAUUAUCAUUAGUCUUCUUCUUUCAUGUAAUCCAUUUUUGGUGAUGUUUUUUCCUCCCGAAAUUCUAACAUCAUCAUUUAUUUAAUCAAGUUGUAAUAUUUAUUGAAAAAUAUUUUCUUAUGUGAUUAUUUUUUUAAUAUGAUUGUUUUUUUUGUUCAACGCCUCUCUAAAGACUGUAUUAAAAAUAGAAUCACUUAAUGAGAAAAUACAAUUAUAAUUAAUUAUUGAGAAAAUUAGAAACCGUCAUAAAAAGUAUCAUAUAGAUCAACACGACAAAAUGCUAAUAUAUAGCCACAUUCCGUAUAUAUAAGCAGUGAUAUCUUAUUAGGAAAAAAAAUAGAAUUUUAUUUUAUACAAAAUAUUAUUAUAAACUUUUGUAGUAUUUGAAGAACUGCAGUAUUGAGAAAGGGCAAAUGAUAAAUAGGUCCAGGUCCAACCCCAUGACAAGAACACUUAAUUAAAUAAGGAACAUCCAACUUUGUUGUUUUCCGAAUAAAUCCACAUCAUUCAUACUUAUUUGUAAAUAAGGAAAAACCUUUUAUAUGUAUCAAAAGUAAUCCCAACUUCUUGAAACUCUAAAUUUUCCCCACAAUUUAGUUCAAUUUCACCAAUUAACCAAUUUGGACCCCAAUUUUGACCGCCACCGCUGGAGACCGCUGUUGACUUUUUUGUUUUUUUUUAAUUAUUUUAAUUAAUAUUAUUGUUUUGGCCUAUAUUAAUGUCUCCGACAGUAAUAUUAUUGUCGGAGACGGUAAUAUAACUGUCUGAGAUAGUAAUUCAAUUGUAUUAAUUAAUUUUGUUGUCUUCGACCGUGAUAUUACUCUCUCCGACCGUAAUUAUAUUAGUAAUAUUGUUGUUCGGGAAAGUAAUAUUCAUAAUAUUACUGUUAGGGACAAUAAUAUUACUGUUUGGGACAGUAAUAUUAGUAAUAUUACUAUUUUGGUAUUUUCAAAAAGUAAUUUAGUAAUAAUUUUGUUGUUAACACAGUAAUUUAGAGAGAAAAGAAAAGUUAAAAAAAAAAAAAAAAAAAAAAAAGUCAACGCCGGAGACCGGUCGUCAACAGCGGUUGUCCGGCCAGGAAAAAAUAUCUAUAAAAAAAGAAAAGAAAAAUGAACUCCGGGAUUUGGCCAAAAAAAAAAUCAAGAAAAAAGAAUUAUUUUUUGAAAAAAACAAUAUUUAAAAAAAAUUAUGAAAAUGGGGUUAAUGUGAUAUAUUUGUUCAAAUUCGGGGUCAACGUGAAAUAUUAUGAAGUUAGAGUGUAAUUGAUGGAAUUGAUGAAAAUUAUAUUAUGGAGCGUAUUUUAGACAAAAGACAUGAGAAUGGGUUUAUUUGCAAGACUGUUUUUUGUCUGGGCCUAUAAACAUUUAAGACUCUUGUCAUGGCCCUAUUUGCCAUUUUCCCGUAAAGAAAAUAUCGAGAAUAAUUCAUAAUUUAAGUUUUAUCUAAUAUAUUUUGUAAUACUUUCAUCUAGGGACGCUGAUCGGGGGGUGGGGAUUUACAGGGGUUCGGGCAGCGCCCUCGAAUUCUUUUUUUCUUUUUUAAUUCUUUAGAAAGCAAAAAUAAUUUGAAAGUUUAGCUAAUGUAAUAUAAGCAUAUACAACCAUUGAUACUCAAAUUUAAAAAGAAAAUAUGCAUUAUAAGUGGGUAUUUUUUUUUUGGGCAAAUAGACUAAAAAUAUAUAAAUAAAAAUAAAAAACUAAUAGAAAAAAAUCAAAUUUUCUUUUUCUGGAGGGGCGGCUCCCCACUUGGGAUGCCUUAGUUACGCCCUUGCUUUAAUCUAUCAUAAAAAAUAAAAGACUUACUUUUAAAUUCAUCUUUUAAUUUAAUGUAUAAAUUUAUUGAGCGCAAAUUUCACUUUCUCACUUCGUUCUCUGAUUCGAAUCAAUUUAUCCCCUCGUACUCUCAAUUGCAUUGAUUUACCCCAUGCACUUGUAACAUUGUCCCAAUGUAACCCUCUCCGUCAAUUUUUACGAUUUUGACCUUGAAGUCGUAAGUCAUGGUCUGAAAAUUACAAGAAUGGCGAAUUUUGUGUUCAAGUUCUUUUGUUUUUCAGUCUCAAUUCUAAACUUUUUGCCUUCAUUUCCCCAUUUGCUUGCACGUGAAAAGUGUUCAACCAUUUGCUCAAACUCUUCGUUUUUUUUCUUAAGCUCUAACAUUAUUUUGUUGAUAAUACAACCACAACCCCGAGCUCGUUCACACAAAGAAGGAUCAACCCAUUUGAAUAAUCACAGUAAUUCACUGGAUAAUUGCAAGACGUGCAUAUUCUAUGUGAAAGCAUAUUGAACAUUAAAAACCUUACAAUAGCAAGUGAUUCUAUUUUCAUUAAAAUUUGUGGAUGAGUUCCCACUACUCCAGUUUUUUCUCAUGUUACUUGAGCCCAUACUUUCUGACUGUGGUGAAGUAUUUUCAACCAUACCUUUGUUGGGGAAGAAAACAGCCAAAGAUCGAAUAAAGUUGGUGGUUUUUUUUCUAGUGAUUUGGAAUGACGUAGAAAAACGAUGCAAACUAUUUAACCAAGGUGAAUGGGCGUUUCUGUAAUUUUCAGACCUUGCCCAAACGGCCUAUAUGUCAAUAUCGUGAAAAUUGACGGAGAAUUGCCUUGGGGCAAUUGUACAAUAGUUACUGUAGAUAUAAUGAUAUUAAUAAAAUUUAAAAUAUUUCAAAAAUUAAUCAUUUUCAUCUAAACAAUAGAUGGGAUGUAAAUCGAUACAAUUAAGAAUAUGAAGGGUAAAGUGAUUAGAGGCUGGAAUACAAGGGGAAAAUGAAAUUUGCCCAUUUAUAAAUGUUUUAUCCUUAACAUUACAUGUAUCACAUCCUCCAAAGUUUAAUCAAAAUCAAAUUAGAAAGUUAAACAAAUCUACUUAAUUUUGAAUAAUAUAUUAUUUAAAUAUUGAAGUAUUUUGAUAGCUACGUAUGAUAGUGAGUAUUAAUAAGAAAUUAUAAUAUGAAAAGUUGCUCCAAUCCAUGCAAUUAAAUGUUAAUUAAAUUAUCUGGUGAAAAUAUUAUAAAUGUGAAAGAAAACAUACAUUAUUCCUCUAAAAAAACAUACGUUAUUUACUUAAGGAAAAUCUCUAAUAGCUUGUUUUAAUAAGAAAAAAUAUUAUUUCAAGUUUAGAGUAGCUUAAGAAUUAUAUGAGAUACUACAAAAAAAUUAUCGAAAGUAAUUUGUAAUAUCAAAGAUUGCAUACCAUUUAACUUAACCUUAUAUCUUUGUCCGUGCUUUAUUAACACCUCAAAUUUUAGGACUAUUUAUUCUAUCUAAUAUAAUAGUUUCUGGAAUUAGUUUUUCAAUUUUAUCUAUUUAUUUUUAUGUGAAUUUUGUUUUCUUUAUUCUCUUCAAAUUACUAUAAAUGAUUAAAUAUUGACAAAUUAAAACAUAUCAUAAAUAUAUUAUUUGAGCUAAAUGAUGACUAAAAUAUAGUCAAAUAAUAUCUUAUUAGAAAACUCUCUGAAUGUACUUGAAUAUGAAUAAAAUAUGUUUUCAAACUUCAAAUUAUUUUAGAAGUUAUAAUAGAAAUAAAAUAUUAAAAAAACACUUUGAAUAUGAAAAGUUACUAGUAUAAUUAACCUUUGAAUGAAAUAUUAACUAAAUUACGUCAUUGUCCUUUGAUUUUUAUAAAAUCUAAAAUAUAUAUACGGAUAAUUUUGUCCCUACAUAAAAUGGAAGAAACCUUCCUAGCAUUCCUCCUUUUAUAAAUAGUAUAGAUAGAUAGAUAGAUAUAGAUUAGGACCACACCACACCCAUCAGCUUCGUUGCUUCCUUUUAUUUUGUCUUGAUUGAUUUUUCUAAAAGAAUUGAUAUAUACUUUUCAAAGUCCAAUCCUUACUUUCGGUAAUUUUUAGAUGUUGUAAAUGCUAAUACUAAAUAGGGGUUUUUAGUAGAAUCCCGUAAAUGAGGAUGGAUUGUUCCGCAAAAAAUGACCUAUUGGUUCGAGGAAGUGAGUUUGUAUCAAUUGACCUUGUAGGUUUAUCCAGUUCACCUAUAUCAAUUGACCUCAAUUUAUUUAGUUAAAUAAACAUUUAGCAAAAUUCAACAAAAAAGAAAAAGGACCAACAUCGGAGACCAGCGGUUAACAGCUGACCCACCAAAAAAAAAUAGAAAAAUCAAAGUCGGAGCCCGACGUUCAAUCCCGGUCAGCGGCCGGAAAAAAAGGUCAUAAUUUUUUUUCAAGAAAUUGUGAAAAUGAGGGUUAAUGUGAUAUAUUUGUUAAAAAUGUUUAUUACAAAUAAGCCCUUCAUGGUCUACUUAUUCAUAAGGGGAUCCAGACCAAAAACUAUUUUACAAAAAAGUCCGGACAAUGUCCAUAGGUGUGUAAAUGACUAAAAUACCUCUCACAUUUUAAUAUGCUCUUUUUUCAUCAUGUAAUCCAAUUUAACAUCAAUUUGACCCCAAAUUUUACCAAUUAUUCAAUUUUGACCCCUAACCCAAAUUUGACCGUCGCCGCCGUUGACGGCUAGUCUCCGACCUUGACUCUUUUUUAAUUUUUUUUAAUGUCUGUUUUUUUUUUCGUCGGCAAUCAACGCCGUUGUUCGGUGGCGUUGACUAUUUUUUUCUUUUAUGAAACUUUAUUUCUUGAACAUUUUUGGCCCGUUAUUUAAUUUGUAAUAAUAUUGUAGUUGACAGUAAUAUUAAGUUUAAUUAGUAAUAAUACUGUAGUUAACAGUAAUAUUAAUUAUACUAUUGUUGGCCUAAUACACGCGCGGAUGCAAUUAUACAAAAAAUGGAUUUUUAUAAUUAUACCUCAAUAUAGGGGUGUUUGUAAUUACUCAUCAUUCUUUUAGCCUGUCAAAAAAUGCAAAGCAAUUGUUACUUUCUCGUUUAUUUAUUUUGAACCACAGCUUUCAUUGACGGACGAUCUGUCAGACACCACUGUAUACACCACAACCCUACUAUACUAAGUUUCCUUGCUAUACUAUUUCCUUGUUCAUCAAUUUGUGCCCACAUUGGAUUAUCCUCCGCAUUUAUAUGAUUGUAUAUCCAUUGAGGGAAAUAUACCUGACUAGUAUUAUUUACAUUAUGAUCCGCAUUUUUCCUCCCUCCUACCAUUUCGAGCAACAACAUUCCGAAGCUAUAAACAUCGGACUUAUACGAAACCCUUCCGAAAGUUCUGGACAGAACUUCAGGUGCAAUAUAUCCCAUUGUUCCUCUAGCCGCAGUCAUUGUCACCGCACUUUGUUCCUUUGAGCACAACUUAGCAAGGCCAAAAUCGCAAAUCUUCGGGUAGAGGUUGUGGUCCAACAAGACGUUUUGCGGCUUUAUAUCGAAGUGGAGUAUUUGUUGAUCACAUCCCUCGUGUAGAUAUUCUAUGCCUUUUGCUAUGCCUAGCGCAAUAUCCUUUAGCUUUUCCCAAUCAAGAGUAAUUCUAUUCGAACCUGCUUGGAAAAUGGACUUUUCUAAAGAACCGUUUGGUAAGAAUUCAUAAACAAGAGCUCUUCGAAAUCCAUCGGCACAAAAUCCUAGAAGACGCACAAUGUUGACGUGGUGUAUUCUCCCAAUGGUACUUACUUCAUUGACAAACUCCUCUCCGUUGCCGUUGGAGUUGUUGAGUACUUUUACCGCAACAACUAUUUCAUUGUUCAACUUUCCUUUGUAAACAAUUCCGUAACCCCCUUCGCCCAAUUUCUCGCUAAACUGAUGAGUAAUCCUUUUUAUGUCCGAAUAUGAAAAUCUACUCGGCUUAAGGGCUUUGUAAUCUCGCAAAAACUUCCCAAUCAUCGUUCGAUUCUCUCGGUAUGUUUUAACUCUGAUGUAAAGAUAGACGAAAGCCGCUAGUAUUAUCGCGACAAGAACGGAACCAAAACCUUUGAAACAGAACAUAUAAGUCAGAUUCUUAAACCAAUCCAUUACAAAAAUAUCAAAAAAGGAACAGACAAAAAUGUUCACCUUCAAUUAGUUGCUUCCUUCUUGUUCCUGUAAGCAAAAUAAUUACUUAAGCUUUUUUUUCAUGGAAAAUACGAAAAUAUAAUAUCCAAGUAGACACGAAAGUACCAUGAUGAUUUGUAGUUGGGAGUUGGUCAAGACACUGAAUAUGUCGAUCCGAUGUCGUAGAAUUAUACGAGCUGCAUCUUUUGCCUUGAUCUUCACAGACGGAACAUGCUGGUUCAGACCACUCCAAAUAGAAGUCAUUUUCAUGAAAUAUUUUCCACGGAACAGAUUUGAAUUCAUAUGUUUUGGUACAAGAAGUCAAAGGAAGUGAUUCCAUCGAAAGUUUCGAAUCAACGGCAUAGAAUUGGUACGUGGAAUCGCCAAGGCAAGGAAUUACGAUACCUAAGUCUCUUCGUGACGGAUUAGUACAAUUGAAAAGGGUAUAGUCAUCUAAGGAUUUUGUCAAGAAACGGAACGGGGAAGCAGGGAAGUUUAGAUGUGGUAACUUUUGCGGAAAACAAUUUUCUUGGUCAAAAACAAAAACUCUUUGAGAUAUAUAGUUGAUUUUCUUUACUAUAACAUUAACCGAGAACGGGAGCACGAGCACGGUAUUGUUUUUAUGGUCGCAGAAUAAAUCGAAGCCCGGACAGCCACAAUGUUGAGGCUGCCGAUUUGUAUGUCUGAAAGGAAACCGAAUUAUUGGGCCGUCGUUUCUGCAUCUGAUCGGCAUACAAUCAUCGUUGUUUCCUAGUACUAGGACAGCAAGUGGUAAGAACAAAAGAAUGUAAACGAAGGGAGACAUCCGAAUUAUGAAGAUUUGUGCAAAUUAACUAACAAAGUUGAACAAGUCUAGCAUUCUUUUCUAGUAAACUGUGGGAGAGCAGAGCAGAUCAGAUGGUAGGACUUAAUUCAUAGUAUUAAACUGUUUUGUUUCCAAAUUUUCUUUUCUAAUAAUUUUACUAAUAAGGUCACAUUCUUGACUAGUUCCUUAACUACUCACCUCAUCAUAAAUUCGUUUAUUUUGCCACUUCAAUGCUAAGCAUAAAUCUAAAAGGAAAUUACUUGAAUACUUUGUGAUGAUGCUAAAAUUAGAUCACAUGUAGUAGUUGAUGUACACGCAUAAAAACAAUUAAUUGGUUAAUUAAGUUAGUCAAUUAAAUUGUGUCAAAAUUAAAUUAUAUCUUGAUUUACAAGACAAGUCAUGGAGAUUAAUAUCAAUUAAUUAUUGACCAAUAUAAUUGUUUAUGCUCUUUCAAAAUUUAACAGAUAAAUACCAAAUUAAAAAGGGCCAAUCAAAUCGCGCCACAUCAUCAAGAAGGUUUAUCUAGGACUUUUAUUUUACCACUAUAAAUAGGGACCCUCCCUACACAAUUCACUCCCUACACAAUUCAAAACACAACUCAAGAAGAAGAAAAACCUGUUGGGGAUCAGACACGUGUACGCAGCGGAAAACAAUAAUUUUAUUUUAUUUAUACAGUCUAAUUUAUAUAAAUAAACACAUGCACAUUAAUUACAAUUAAUUGCGUACAUUUUUUCGCUUCCAAUCACCGGCAAAAAUGCUCGCAUAUAUAAUUAAUUUAAAUAACAUAAAUUAAAUAAUCAUAGCAUGCUCGCAAAAUUAAAUCAAAUAAUAAACAUGCUCAAACAACCAUUCAAAUGAAAACAUAAUUUAACAUAUAGAUUCAUGUGAUUCAAUAAUAAAUUAACAUACAUUAGUCUCAAUUAAUAUAAAUUAAUUAAUAUAUAUUAAUUAGGGAAAACGAGCUUUUACCCUUGAAGCGUGAAUCGAACGAAGACUCGAGAAGAUGUUUAGUUGCUCCUCCCACUCCUACUGAUCCGACUGGCGGCGGUGGUGCAGCGGGGCGUAUGUUAAAACUGUUUUCUGAUCUGAAAUUUUAGGUGUCCUCCGACUUCAAUAUCUCCAUUAUUAUUGACUGGAUGGACAAUUGCAUCCGAUUAUUUGUAGAGCCAUGAGUCUUGAAGCUUCUUUUCAAAUUUCACAUCCAUCCGAUCAUUGGUUGAUUUAUGGCAAAUUUUCUCGCUUGACUGCGCAGAAAAUCCAAGAGCAGAUUUUCAGAAUUAUCUUCUCUCAACACAGGCUUGUGGCGGCGCGUUAAGACGACCCUAGUGGUUGCGGUGGCGGCAAACGAAUCUUUCUCCUCUUAGGUUUCACCUCGUAUAUUCAAUCCAUUAUCCACGCAGCACAUACGUUAUAGGCUAAUUACAACAAAGAAGAACGAGGGUAAAAGGAAGGAUGCCAAUGCGGCGGCGGCGGCGGCGGCUGGUGGCCGAGGUAGGUUCCGGCUGCAAGGUGGGAAGCUUAUUGAGGGAGAGAGGCUAAUGUUUCAUUCUUAUGCUUCAUUUUUGUGUAUCUUUCACAAGACAUAUAAAUCAUAUUUAUAUGUUCCUUAUGAAAACCCUAAUAGGCCCAACAUCUUAAGUUCACUCUCUUUCUCGGCUCGUUUCUAACAAAUGAAUGCUCACAAAAAAAUAACAAUUAUAUUUUGACAACGAGCACAAAUUCUUGGCAAUACGAGUACCACUUUGCAAUUUACCAAUUUUUGAAAUUGGAAACCCUAAUUUAAGACUUACCAAAUCGGGAAACUUCUCAAUAUAGAAAGUUCACUAAAUUUAUGUCGGAUUCUUUUCCUCUACUUAUUCUCAUCCGUAAUUAACAACUACGAAUGUUGGACUCAAUCACAUUGCCUUCCAAUUACACUAAGAUUAACUAAUUAAUAUUAGCUCGUUGCAUUUAAGGAUCUCAAGUACACGAUCAAUGUAACCAUUGAUGGUUCAGGUGUAAGCUAGCAGUGGGCCCACAACACAUUGUGAUUUAAAAUCGUCCCUAGAGUUAUAAUUAAGAAGAAGCUCGUUUCAACAUAACCACCCAACGAAUCAAGAUUAACGCCUAGCAACUACGCAUUAUGAUUCCCUAGAUAUAUAUGGACGCGCGGGGUGGGUGCGCAGCGGGGCACGGAGCUCAGACACGCGGGCAAGUGCGGGAACGUGUUACGCCCCUCACGAGGUGAGGGCGCGUGCUUCGAGGUUGGUCGGCGGUGGCGAAGGCGCGUGGGCCCAAGUCACGCGAAGGCUCGUUGGCGUGCGAGCCAGAAGGGCGCGAAGGCGCAUGGGCUGCAGGGGCGCGACCGUGGCGGUGUGUGCGAUGCGGGUACCGAUAUAGCGAAAGAUGUUGAGGCAAAUGUCGAUACCGUGGGAGCGAUUUCGGCUCGUAAUAGGAGUGCCAAGUGUAGUAUAGGUAUUUGAUAAGAUAUGUGUUCCCAUGUAUGUGGGCGGAGUACUUAAUUUAUCUUCAUACUUGGAGUAGAUGGGUAUGUCCAUUACUAUUUUGUUUGAGGUUUAUAUUGUUUGACAUUGUCAUUGGUUUGACGCGUUGCUUGUAUGUAUUUACGUUUAGCAUUGUGCGUGAUGUACUUGACGAGGGGAUCAAUCUCUCAAGAUUCUUUGAUGUGGAUCGUGCCCCUUGUUAGACCUCUGGGCCAUAAGUAUGUUAGGACCGUGGCCACGUUUUAAAUGAAGGACCCGUUAAAAACAAGUAGAGAGAUUUAGGUAAUCAAGCUGGCUAGGCUAUAUAGAUCACCAUAAUGUCUCUUAGUGUUUCUAGGGUUGAAUAAUGUUAACUUGAGCUGAUAAUCGUGUAGUGAAACAGUAACAACGUUGAGAGUAAAAAGAAGAAAUUGUUUUAUUUGUUGAUUGAAAGAUUGAAUGUUAGAAACCUGCUUGAGGCAAAAGGAAAUAAAUAUGUAGGGAGCGAAUCGCUCGAAAUAACAAAAUUUAUACUAAGUAGAAAUUGUAGGUGCUUCUUCCACGUAGUUCUCGCGCUUGUAGCCCCGAGCGGGUUGGCUCCUAGCUCGUGGGAGUUUUCUCACAGUGAGGGGCCUACAAGGGUGGAGGUUGGUUGCUCUAUUGAUGUAGAGAGGUGAGGGGAUGCAUCAUCAUUGGAGUGGGGUAGCCCCCAGUUUAGGAUGGUGCGAUCACUAACUCUGUUAUGGACUCGAAAGACUCCACAUGUCAUUGGCUUCAUUGGAAGUCCAGGGACGUGGAAAAAGAUUGUCCUUGAGAAGUCGACGAUUGUCGUUGGUCAUCUCGCCGUCAGGUGUCUAAGUGAUCAUCAAUACUUUUCCUCUUGGGAUGAGUGAGGGCCGAAGCCUCUUCAUGCGCACGUGUUUCUCAGAGCGACUUAAUAACUCUUCCAGAGUGGUUGGAGGUUUUCCCGCGAUAGAUUUCUUGAAUCUACCUUGCUUCAAGUUUUGUUGAAUGAUUCCAGAGAGCAUGCCUCCUCCCAUGUUAGGAACUUCAUGAGCUUCCUCCACAAAUCGCUAAAUGUAGUUUGUUAGUGAUUUUACCUACACGCAAGUGUACGUAUCGAACAAGUAAUAUAGUGGACAAUUAAGCCGAAUAUCGAUCCCACAUAGAAUAUUAAAUUAUCUAAUUCUAAUCGCUAGAUUCUAUCAACUGUGAUCAAGCCCACCCUACACAGUCGAGAGAAGAUUGAUUAAACUAAAUUCAACAGGCAAGAGCAAGAAAAAAAUUAAACACGAAGAUUUAUCAAAAUAAAUAAGUCUAGGAUUUUAUUCUUUCCCUGUGUGAUUAUUAAUUCCCAAAUUCCUUUAAUUAUGCAAGUUAUUAAUCGGGUUACUAACCUGAGAUGCUAAAUUAAUCAUAACUCGAUUCCGCGUGUAUUACGAUUCUGAUAUUCUAGAUUGAAUUAUUGUAGUCCUACGCAAUUAAAUCUAGAACACAUCAUGAAUCAUAAAUCUCAAUAAUGGCUACCUAAGAGAUUAAGUAUAUUCCUAUGUUAACACAUCAAAGGUUCUUCUACCCAAGUUCUAAUUAGUAAAUUGAUCUUCCGAUUCAUGCGUUUAAAAAUAACAGAGAAGCACAUAAAGUGGCCAGUUUCAUGCACUUAAUAAAACACGUAAAAGAAACAAUCUGGAAUUAAAACUUGCAUAAAAUCAUAGAAAAUAGUUCAUAAUUCUCACAUAGGGUUCAAAAUAAAAUCCUAGAAAAAUAAAGCGUUUAGCUACUCAUAAUUAAAUUAAAAUCUAAAUAAAAAAAAUGUGGAAGAUAAAAACUAUGCUUGAAGUCUUCAAAUUCUUAGUCUUCGUUAUUGCUUCUUUGCUCUCGAAAUUGCGUAAAAAGAGGAAUCCUAGCUUAGUGCUUGAGAUGACCUUUUAUAGGUUGGAAAAAUUGGGGAAAAUGUUGUUUCCUUACUGCGAAGCUCCGCCUGCUCGGACGGCCAUCUAGAGAUUUGUUCUUCAUUUCGGACGGCCGUUUGAAAUGUUGUGGUUUAUUUUUCUCUUUCUUGCCGAGAUCUUGACCUGUCCAGUGGCGUUGACUUCUCCAAUUUUUGUCCAGCUUUUCUUUUAAAUUGCAGUUUUGAUCCUCAAUUUAUUCAAUUCUUCAAUCUGUGCCUGAAACACAAUAAAUCAAACUUUAAGCACCAAUUAUUAUCAAUAAAAUACACCAAAAGCUUCAAUUAAAAGAUAUAAUUAAGUAUAAAAAUAUACACUUAACAUAGUUGCGGAGGGUCUCGCCCUCUCUCACGGCGAUAGUGAAGAGGUAGGCAAGAGUCUUAGCGUACUUUUUGUUGAUAGCAAACUGGUUAGUGAAGCGAUCCGGCAGUUGGGAGAGAGCUUCAAUUGACCCAGUGGGAAAGGAGUUGAACCAGCUCAAGGCUCGUUUGGAGAGCGUUGCGCGGAACAUUUUGCACAACGCCGCAUCAGUAGGGCCAUAUAGUACCGCCAUGGCGUAGAACUUUUCAAGGUGCUCUUCUUGGUCACUAGUUCCAUCGAACUACGGCAGACCUGAGACCUUUACCCCUUGGGGUAGUAUCUCAUUGAGUGGCGACAGUGAAGGGACUACGCCUUAUUGGAGCUAUUUCCUUCCACCUAUAGGAUUUCCUAAGUCGGGAAGGUGAUUCGAGCGAGAUACCCGAUUAUUGAUUUCAUCCCCUCCACCAUUGAGUGGAGGAGCUCGCUGGCGAGAGGUGUUGUCUCUUGGAGGUGAAUGUGGGUGUUGUUGCCCAGUUCCUGCCUCUCAGCGAUGAGUUGAUUGUUGCAUCCGAGCCCAAGGGUAUGAGGUGGAUGCCGACGACACAAUUGUUUGGCGGUUGUUAUCCAGCGGCGGUGGAGGUGGAUAUACCACGGGUGGAGCCGUAGGAGGAGCGUUGGCUCUCGUUGUGGCGAUGUAUCGUGCCACUGCUUCAGUGGCAGCACCAGCAGAGGUUUCUACAAUCAUGUGUUGAAGGGCGUCUUUGGUUAUCUGAACCAUUUGAGAAGUAGGUUGAAGUUGACCCUGCUGAGUCCCCGCAGGGGGCUCGCGAGGAGGGACUUGUGUUAGAUCCCGAAUGUGGGGAGGGGGAAGCGGUAAUCCAGAGCCUCGGCGAGGCGGGAGGUUAUUAGCAGUGUCAUGCUCCCCCGACCACAUGUCUGAAGGGUAUCUUGCUUGCUACGUGAUCUAGCAUGCAUUCAAACAGACGACGCCAUUAUAAUGAUGCUAAAAUCAGAUGACUUGUAGUAGUUGUAGUUGCAGUAGGAUGAGCUGGAAGAGAAAUGUACGUCACUGGCUCCAUUUAGGGAUUAUUUAACAAAACCUCCUCAUAUGACAUUCACUAUUUAGAGGGAGUCCUUUUUUUCCAUUUUAAGAUAAAUCCAUCAUCUAAUUUUAUAUUUAAUAAUACAAUUAUACCCUCCAUCAAACUAAUAUCUCACAAUGUUUAACCUACCGAGCCACACCAGUUCUCUCUCUCUCUCUUCUCUUUUUCUAUGUCUCACCAACGUCCAUCAUAGCCCGCCAUCACCUCUGUUAAUCCUCAUCUCACUCGCAUAUCUCGUCGCCACCGAGAUUCAUGGAAAUUCGAUUAGAUGAUCCCCCAUGACCCACUUUGAUGAGUUCAGUUUCACCGCCUCGAAGACGACAUUCAACCUGUCGGCAUUCAAGGACGAAAAAAAUUAUUUUCAGCUGCAGAUCCCGCGAGUACCUAGAUGCUGAGGUAAUCGCAAUAAUCAGCAAUAUAAUUUUUUUUGUGGUUUGUUCUAUGCCUUCACUUGCAGAAUUUUUCAAGGUACGAUACUGGAUGUGGAACAAAUAGGUCGUCUAGUCACUUUGUAUUCCUCUUUUUUGAUUGUUGUUUUGGUUUUAUUAGGUAUCCAGUUUAGGUAUAUAAAUUAGGGAAAGUAAAAUAUUUUGAAUUAAGUCUUGAAGGAAUAUUUUAUAAUUUUUGAGGAUCUUAUAAUGGGAAUUAUAAAUUCUUAAUUUGAUUGUAAUUAGAUUGUAAUUCUUAUUUUGAAUUGGAUUUUCUCCUUGAAAAGGGGGUUUGUUGUAGUGAAUUAGGUUGAUUUUGUAGUUGAUUACAUUACUAUUUUGGUGGGUUUCAAUAUAAUUGAAGUGGAUUUUCUCUUUGAAAAGGGGAUUUGUUGUAGUGAAUUUCGUUUAAUUUCGUAGUAGAUUAUGUUAAUACUUUUGUAAUUGUUUUGCAGUGGAUUAGGUUAAUUUCAUACUUGAUGAUCUUAAUAUUUUAGCGGAUUUCGAUAUUUUUGUACUGGGUUUUGAUGAGAUUGUAGUUAUUUAAAAUUCUUGCUUUGUAGCCCGAUUUUGUUUUGAAUGAAUUAAAUUUACAAGUUGUUGUCUUCUUUUUCUUUGGUUCGGGUUCUUGUACAAGCGGAGUGAUGGCAACAAGUGGGGCGAGGUUGGGUGAUGCUCGGGUGACUCUACUAUUGCGAUGAAAUUCGUUUAUUAAAGGUGAUUUUUGUAGUGGAUUUAAGCAAGUUUUUAGUGUAUUUCGAUAAAAUCGGAGUGCAUUUUCUCUUUGUAUUGGGGAUUUUUUGUAAUGGGUUUCUAUAUUUUUGUAGUGGUUUUGGAUAAACAUGUAGUGCGUUUCAGAUUUUUGCUUUCAAAGUGAAUAUUUUUAAUAAAUAAAAUUAACACGUUGUUGUCUUCAUUUUCUUUGUUUUAGGUUUUUGAGCAGGCAGAGUGAUGGCAACAACGGUGACUAGGUAAGGUGAAGCUCGAAUGAUUCUACUAUUGUGCGGCGUUUUUUUCCCUCUUCUUUUUUUAAAAAAUAAAACAGAGUUAUAGUAGUAGUUUUGUUAAUUUAAUAGUGUAUUGCGUUAAUUUGAUAUUGUAUUACGUUAAUUUUGUAGUGAAUUAUUUUAUUUUUUAUAGCAUAUUACGUUAAUUAUGUAGUGGAUUUCAAUAGAUUUUUAGUGGAUUUCAGUUUGGUAUUAAAUACUGCUUUUCAAUAGGUUUGAAGUGGAUUUCAAUUUGGUAAAAAAUGCUGGAAAAAAAAAAAUAUAACCAAUUUAAAAAAAAAACUGAAAAAAAAGAGAGUAAAAAAUAGAAAAAAAAUCCAUUUAAAAAAAAUCGAAAUUAGAAAAUUGUUUAAAAAAAACGAAAAUGAAAAGCUAAAAAAUGUUAAACAUAAAAAUUAAAAAAUACACCAAUUUGGGUAAUUUAGGUGUUUUGCUAUCGGAGGGGGUUAUCCCAAAAAUGAGAUUAAAAAUUGGAUUUAUCCCUCUUAUGAAAUUAAAUGAGUUAUCUCAAAUAGCCUCCUCCAUUUAAACUUAUUUCCUAGUAAGGAAAACUCUUUCAUAUAUACAAAAAUUGCUCCCAAAUACUUGAAAUUCUAAUUUAGUCUUAAUUUCAUCAAUUAAUUAAUUUUGACCAUUUCCAAGUUUGACCUCAACAGCAGGUCAGCUGUUGUUGGCUUUUCUUUUAUGAUUUUUUUUUUUCCAGCAAAACAGCCGCGUUGACCCAUUCUACGGCAUUUUUUUUUUAAAUCCCCAAAAAAAUCCUAGCCCUAAAUUACGCGAUAAUUUAAGAACUUACCUUUGUCUGCACCAAGUUCUCUUCGAAUUGCUUCAAAAAAGUCGUUGUUCAAUCGCUGUGGAGAAGAUGAAAGGGAAAGGAGAAAGUUUCUCAAGUUUCUCACUUCUUUUCUCUCUGUUCUGAUCUCGUUUAGUCGUGUUCAAUUUUUUUUCCCAAGUCAGAAAAUUGUAUUUCUGUUAAAUAAAAGUUUGGGUAAAAUGGUAACUUCACUGCAUAUACUGAUGCCGUCAGAGACGUGAGAGUUGACUAGUAAGGUGAGGGGAUGUUUUGUCGCAUUUCAUAGUACAAGGGAUAAAUGCGAUAGUGAUAUAGUACAGGGGUGCAAACUAUAUUUAAUCCUAAUAUUAACAACAAUAUUAUUGUGUUGCAAAAUAAUAUUGUUGUGUAACACAGUAAUAUUAUCAUGUUAACCGGUCAACACAUCCAAAGAAAAAUUAAUAGUAUUGUAAUUGACAGUAAUAUUACUUAAUAGUACAAUAAUAUUAUUGUGUUUACCGCAGUAUUGACUGGCGGUCAACGAGUAGAAAAUUAUUUUUCCAAAAAAAGAAAAGAGUAAUCACCGCCGGAUACAUACAUUUAGGGGUGUGAACGAGCCGAGCUCGCCUCUUUUGGCUGGCUCGAGCUCGAGUCUAUGUUGUCGAGCUCGAGCUCGUCGAGUUCCUCUUUUUUUGGCUCGAGCUCGAGCUCGUGUAAAUUUUGUCGAGCUCGAGCCCAAGCAUUUCAACCAGUCCGAGGUCAGCUUCUCAAUCGUAGUCCGCUUCCUUCUCUUGAUAUAGCUGUUAAUGAGUUAGUACGAGAAGAAACAUGUCUUGCAACUCUUCAAGUGCAGAAUAAGAUCAAUGUCCUCGCAGUUGCUCCCCCUAUCAACACAGAGCAACCUUCUCAUUCCGGAUUCGAUAGUCGGCGUAAACAGUCCAUCAAGAAGUUUUGCAACUACUGUAAACGCCCGGGCCACACCAUUGAUACAUGUUAUCGUCGAAACAAAUCCACCGUUGCUGUUACUGAGUCCACUCCGCCAAUGACUUUCACCUCAGCUGUGUCUCAGUCUUCUGGAUCCACUAUACAUCUUACAUCACCUGAACUACAAGAUAUAAUAGCUCAGGCUAUUCGUAUGGCUGAUAAUGCAUCUCUUUCCACUGCUCUCUCAGUCCUGCCUGGUAAGUCUCAAACUUGGCUUUUAGAUUCCGCAUGUUGCAACCAUAUGACCCCUCAUUCAUCCUUGUUUUCUAAACUUGAACCUGCUCCACACCCUUUAAAUAUUCACAUAGCAAACGGUUCCACUUUACAUGGUAAAAACUUAGGGCCUGUUUCAACUCCCAAUAUUCUUGUUCCCGACGUUUUUCACAUUCCUGAUCUAUCUAUAAUCUAUUUUAUGUGGGACAAUUAGCUGAACUAGGCUACCGUCUUACUUUUGAUUACUCUAGAUGUAUUGUUCAGGAUCCGAGGACGGGACAGGAGCUUAGGACCGGGCCUAGAAUUGGGCGUAUGUUUCCCGUGGAUAACCUUCGUCUUCCACCUGUUGCUCCCAUCUCUGUUGUUGCUGCUGUUACAUCUACAUCUUCUUCACCUUCUCUUGUUCUAUGGCACUCUCGCCAUGGUCAUGCUCAUACAUCUCGUCUUCAGCAAUUAGCUUCUAAAGGUCUGUUAGGUUAUGUGUCUAAAGAACAUUUUGAUUGCACCUCGUGUCAGUUAGGUAAACAACCAGCCUUACCAUUUAGUACUAGUUCAUCAGUUUCUAAUAAAAUUUUUGACUUAAUUCAUUCUGAUGUUUGGGGUCCCUCCCCCCGUUACUAGUUUUUGUGGCUCGAGAUAUUUUGUUGUCUUCAUUGAUGAUUAUUCUCGUUAUAGUUGGAUCUUUCUUAUGAAAUCUCGCUCAGAACUAUUGUCCAUAUAUAGUAAUUUUGCAAAAAUGGUUGAAACUCAAUUUUCACAGCGCAUCAAAACUUUUCAAUCUGAUAAUGCUCUUGAAUAUACUCAAAAUGCCUUUCAAAAUAUCCUUCAUUCCUAUGGCACUGUCCACCACCUUAGUUGUCCAGGGACCUCUCACCAAAAUGGUCGAGCCGAGCGAAAACUUCGUCACAUUCUUGACACUGUUCGUGCUCUCCUUCUCUCUGCGAAAAUUCCCUCCCCAUUCUGGGGUGAAGCUGCCUUGAAUGCAGUUUAUGCUAUCAAUCGUUUACCAAGUCCUGUUAUCCAAAAUGAAACUCCAUACGAGCGCCUCUUUAUGAAAUCUCCAAACUAUCAUCAACUCCGUUCUUUUGGUACAGCUUGUUUUGUCCUUCUUCAACCACACGAGCACAACAAACUCGAGCCUCGGUCUCGCCUUUGUUGUUUUCUUGGUUAUGGAGAAACUCAAAAGGGCUAUCGGUGUUAUGAUCCUAUCUCUCAUCGUCUUCGUGUCUCUCGUCAUGUUGUCUUUUGGGAACAUCGUCUUUUUGUUGAACUUUCACAUUUUCGUCCUUCUUUGAGUACCUCAUCCGAGUUAGAUAUAUUUUCGGACGAUUCUCCUUAUCCUAUCGACUUGUUUGAAAAUACUCCUAUUCCUCGCUCCAGCCCAACCCCAAAUGAACAGGUGGAGAAUGAACAGGUAGGACACGCACUGCCCAGCUUUGACCAUGAGUCCCUUGCUCCUGCUCCGCCUGAGGAUCUUACAGACCAUACACCACCUCGCCAUUCAAAUAGGGUAAGAUCUAUUCCUUCUCAUCUACUUGACUAUCAUUGUUACACUACUCUUGCCACUUUGCACGAGCCUCACUCCUAUCACGAGGCUUCCACCAACCCUUUAUGGCAAAAUGCCAUGAGAGAUGAACUUGAUGCAUUAUCUAAAAACCAUACUUGGGAUCUUGUUACUCUCCCUCCUGGACAAUCUGUUGUUGGAUGUAAGUGGAUCUACAAGAUCAAGACUCGCUCUGAUGGAUCCAUUGAGAGAUAUAAGGCUCGUCUUGUUGCAAAGGGUUUUACUCAAGAGUAUGGAAUUGAUUAUGAGGAGACAUUUGCUCCAGUUGCUCGAAUCUCUUCAGUUCGCGCUCUCUUGGCUGUUGCCGCUGCUAGUCGAUGGGAUCUAUUUCAGAUGGAUGUUAAAAAUGCAUUUCUAAAUGGAGAACUAUCUGAAGAUGUCUAUAUCCAACCUCCGCCAGGACUAUCUGUUGAUUCAGACAAGGUCUGUCAUCUUCGUCGUGCACUUUACGGUCUUAAACAAGCCCUUCGAGCUUGGUUUGCCAAAUUCAGCUCCACUAUAUCUCAUUUGGGUUACUCUGCCAGUUGUUAUGAUUCUGCCUUAUUUCUCCGUCGUACUGGCAAAGGCUCCAUCUUCCUCCUCUUAUAUGUGGAUGAUAUGAUCAUAACUGGUGAUGAUCCUAGUGGAAUUCAAGAAUUGAAGGAUUUUCUGAGUCAACAGUUUGAAAUGAAAGAUCUUGGUCACCUCAGCUACUUCUUGGGACUUGAGAUUACUCACUCUAAAGAUGGUCUUUAUAUUACUCAGGCCAAAUAUGCAUCUGACCUCUUAUCUCAAGCCGGCCUCACUGAUAGCAAGAUCAUUGACACUCCCGUUGAACUCAAUACUCACUUGACUCCCGCAGGGGGGACACUGUUGUCGAAUCCGUCACUUUACAGGCGUUUGGUGGGCAGUCUAGUCUAUCUUACUGUCACUCGACCUGAUAUCUCAUAUGCGGUUCAUCAAGUGAGUCAAUAUCUAUCUGCUCCAAGAUCGCUUCACUAUGUUGCUGUUCUACGCAUCCUUCGAUAUCUAAAGGGUACUCUUUUUAAUGGUCUUUUCUACUCUACUGAGUCACCUCUAGUUCUUCGAGCAUUCUCCGAUAGUGAUUGGGCUGGAGAUCCCACUGAUCGCAGGUCAACUACUGGUUAUUGUUUUCUUCUUGGCACAUCUCUAAUAUCUUGGAGAAGUAAGAAACAAACAUUUGUUGCCCGAUCCAGCACUGAAGCAGAAUACCUUGCUCUUGCGGAUACCACAUCUGAGCUCCUUUGGCUUCGAUGGCUUAUCAAGGACCCUAGAGUAUCAACAUCCUCUCCCAUUCCUCUUCAUUGUGACAAUCAAAGUGCUAUCCAUAUUAGUCACAAUGAUGUCUUUCAUGAACGGACUAAACACAUUGAGAUAGACUGUCAUUUUAUCCGUUCACACAUUACUCAAGGUAUUCUCAAGCUCUUCUCAGUUUCUUCCAAAGAUCAACUUGCAGAUAUCUUCACAAAGCCUCAUCCUAAGGGACGUCAUCGUGAUUUGGUCUACAACCUCAAGUUGGUUUGUCACCCUCCUUGAGUUUGAGGGGGGCUGUUAAUGUAUAUUCUUAGGAAAUAAGUUAAGGAUUUGAUUUGAUAUACUUUACAUAAGUUAGGAGAUUUGAUUUUAUUGUAAUUAGUAAUUUCCUUGUAUAGCUUUCUCUCUAUGUGUAUAAAUAGUGCCUCCUAUGGAGAAGAAUAUAUAUCAAUUUUUCCUCAAUUCAAUUAACACCACCAACGAAGAUUCAUCCUCAUAUCUCCCCUCACCGGAAUUUUCCCCCGCUCCGGCAUCCAAACUUCCCCUCGUCGUUUACUAUCACAGGGGAGUAUUCAUCCUAGUAUCUCCCCUCGACGGAAUUUUUCUCCGCUCCGGCAUCCAAACUGCCCCUCGUUGUUUACUAUCACGGCGCGGGGGAGGAUUCCUCCUAGGCAGCACUCACACAAUCAUGUCCGACGCCUUUUGUUACCUUCUCAAAUCGCCGUCGAAAUUCCGGCGUUGGCUGUCUCCGUCGAUAACCACCACCGACGAUUGGCUAACCAAUAGCGCUAAUUUUUGCAAUGAUUUUCUGACGGGAUCCAAGACCAACAUAAAUAGCGCGUACCAAAGUUUGCAAGAGAGAGAAUAGAAAUAUUGAUUUUUGUAAUUUGGUUUUAUUUUUUGGGUACUCUCGAGGCAAAGUUUUUACAACUUUUUGAGUUUUGUUUUGGUUUAAUUUAGUGUAUUUAUUGGUAAAAUAUGAGUUAAAUAAUUAAUUUAUUUUGUAAUUAAAUUAUGUGUAUUUAUAAAUAUUAAUUAUAAGAACAUGUGUGUGUACAUACAAGAACGUGUAUGUAUAUAUUAUAUCGCGAGAGAGAGAGAUACAGAUGUAGCAUAUUGAGGGUAAAAAGGUCAAAAAAUAUUGCAGCUGCAAAAGUAAUAAAAAAAGGACAAAGUCAACUCGCCACGUCAUCAUACACAAACGGAUUUGAAACGGAGGGGUCAUUUUGUUACGUUUUAUAGUUCAAGGGGGAGUUUAUGACAACACACAUAGUUCAAGGGUGCAAACUGUAGUUUCCCCUAUAGGAAAUAACGCCUAAAAACAUGUUCCUUUUACAAAUGGGAAAUAUGUCUAGCAAAUAAAUUUUCCGAGAUUGCGGAUCCAGAUGGAAAUGCAAAAGAGUCGAAACUAAGAUAAUUAACAAGACAACCAGAGCAUUUACAUAGAUAAUNNNNNNNNNNNNNNNNNNNNNNNNNNNNNNNNNNNNNNNNNNNNNNNNNNNNNNNNNNNNNNNNNNNNNNNNNNNNNNNNNNNNNNNNNNNNNNNNNNNNUCGGUAAGUUUUCUCAGGCAUUUUCGUUCUACUCUUCAGAAUUUCGGCACCUCCUUCUCAACAUGUUCCACGUGAAAUAAGAGUGUAACGCGUGCGUGAAAACUGAUCCCUUUUUUUCAUUAUCCCGACCUUCUUUAAUGAUGGAUCACCAUUCAAUUCAGAAUCGGACCUAUUCGAUUAAGUAUUGCCUUUGCUCUUCGAGUGUUUACCUCUCUUUGAACGAGCCAAAGCCAUAGUCUGUAAAUUGUAUAUAACUGAAUUAGAAUCAUGAAUACUUAUACAAGAUAAACCAGAUAUGUUAGUCAAAAAUACGUCUAGCAAAUAAAAUUAGCAAGAUUUGAUGCAAAACAGAGGAAAAUUAAGUUGAUUAAAUUUACAAGAAACAUAUAUUGAUUUCUCAUUACCUAGUUCAUGCAGUUCGAUUCAAUCGAGGUUGAGUACACGAGGAGUUAUACGUAUAUUUUGACUGAGGAUUCUUGUCUUUUGGUUCGAUCAUCGGGGUGGAUUUGUUGCCCGAUUGAAUUAGACUUUAUUUUUCUCUUCGAGUGUUGACCUCCCAUUGAACCAGCCAUGGCUACAAACUGUAAAAUGAAUAUGACUGAAAAUUACAAUCAUGGCUACUUAUACAAGAUAAAGCAUUCAUCAAAUAUCGAUAUACACGUAUCUCAGUAAAAAAAAAAUAUUUAUAUACAGAACGGUGGAGGAAAUCGUAAUGGAAUUUUUGAAUUCCUACGAUCCGAUCAAAUAUUUUUUUUUUUAAUUUGGAACUGUAUUUUUUGUUUCAUUCUCCACAGCCCAAUUUCUGAUUUUUUUUUUCUUGAAAAUGUUUGGACUAGAAAUGGAAAUUAUAAAUAAAAAAUUUCCAGAAAUUCCAAUUUCUCAAAAAAAUUAAACUUUUCCAAAAAUGUAUCAGAAAAUUCUAUGCUCCUAAAACAUGUGUGCAUACAAUUAAUAUUAGGCUAAUUGUUUCAGAAAAAAAAUCAAAUAUUUCGAAAAUUAAUUCAAAAGGUUCUAGUUUCAUACUUGAAUCGGAAGGACCGCCAAAUCGUACUUGAAUUGCGGUUAUAUUGAUAAUUAAUGCCCAAAAAAAAACACAAGUAACGUGGUUCAAUUGAAAAUGAAUGAGAGGUCAGAAAGAAGUAAAUUUAUCAAAAACAGAUUGUAUGGCCCAUAAAUUACGACGAGAUCUUUACAGGACAAAUCUCCGAUGGCAAGGUUUUGGCCAACUACUCCUCAACGAGUAAAGAAGAAGUGAUUGCUUAUUUUAAAAGCAUUCUCUCUUAACCUAGUCUAACACUGAAUAAAUAGCAAAAUGAAAGUUGCAGAGGAACAAUGUGGGAAACCAAUAUAUAGGCAAAAAAAUCUCCUUUCGUUUAAAGAGACGAUAAGAUUUUCCGUGUUCCAGAUAAGAAUGACGCGGACGUUAGAAAUAAGAUAAGGUCAAAUUUAAUGCACGAUAAUCUGAUGACAUGUAUAGACAAUUUUCAUAAAUACUAGCAAGCAUCACGGCGUUGCACGUAAUAGUAUGAUUUUAUAUAUUAUAUAAAUUUAUAAUAAAAAAAUUAAAGUUAGAUAUGAUAGUUGAAAUUAAAUACAAAAUAAGUAAGAUCAAGUGAGUACAAAAAAUAAUGUUCUGAUUAUAUAUUUAUGAAUACUAAAAUACAAUUAUUUUAAAAAUUGAAAUGAAUAAGAAUAUAAAAUGAAGAACAACAUAACUAAAAUAUUUUUAUAUAUAAGUUCAUACAUGCUUAUAUUAAGUUUUCUUUGAUUUUAUUGUGAUAGUUGAAACAAUUUUCAUUUUAAUGAUUUUUCUACAUAUUUUUUAUUUGAAACUAUUACUUUUUUUUUCUCGUGUUACUUAUGUUAUGGGCCCCUUGUCAAAAUAUCGACACUUGAAAUUUGAAUAUUAAUUAAUCUUACCUAUUAUUUUUUUUUUUUUUUCUGUUUAGUCACAUCUUUUAUUUGUGACAGAUGUUAGAAUAAUACAUCUUUCAAUUUACAAUAAUAAUUUUCUUAAAGAAAUUAUAUUAAGUUUAGAAAUGUUAAAAAAGUUGAGAUUCUAAUUUAGGAAGGUUCUUUGAUGAAAAAUACGGGUUUUUCGGGUUUCGGGUUUCGGGUUUUGGGUACGGCUUGAGCGCGAGCUCUAUUGCAAGCCAGUCGAAAGCCAAGGCUCCAAAUACAGUUCCAGCUGAUUUCGCCGAGCUUGAUUAGCCAUCAUAGAUGAUUUUCUUGGGCACGAGGAAAUACUGUAGAAAGAGAUUUGGCGAGAGAGAGUUAGAGAGAGGGAGAGAUGAAAAGAGAUAGAAAGAGAGAGAUGUAACGGUGGAUGUGGGUGUGAGUGAAAGAGAGAGACGGUUAAUGGGGUUAGGGCAACUUAAAGGGCAAAAUAGAUACUUUAAAUUUUCUAGGAGGACCUCACAAAUUAAGAUUAAAAUUUGAGUUUUUGACUAGGGCUAAAAAAUUCAUUGGACCUACUCAUAUAUAUUUUCAAUACUAGGGGGUAUCACUCAUUUUCCCAAAAAUAAAAAUAAAAAAUAAAUUCGAUGAUGUGGCUAAUGAAAUGGAUGGUUUUAGAAGGAAAUUUGAUCUUGAAUAUCGAAGACACCAAAAUAAUGGAAAAAAAUUAACGUAUAUAUUUACAUAUUUACUUUUUGUUAUAUUUAAAUAUUUAGCAUAUUUAAAAUAUACCAUCAUAUUUAUUUAUUACUUAAUAACUAAUGUUUAAUCAAUAUUUCACAGUUUUUAAAGGGUUAAAAUAGUAAUUAAAUUCAUAUUUAUCUAAAUAUUUUAUUUGUACAAAUCUAUACUCAGCGAAUACAAUGAAAGUGAACAAGAAAUCAAAUUCAACCAAAAAGAAAGAAAAAAAAAUUGCUAUUGAAACUUAUUUAAAGUUAAAUGACAUGCACAUGUUGGGAAUCGGACACGUGUACGCAGCGGAAAACAAAAAUUUUAUGCGAUUUAAACAACUUUAAAACACAUAAACACAUGCCCGAUAAUUGAAAAUAAUUAAUUGCGUACCUUUGCGCUUCCAGCGAAAUUAAAAACAACAUACAUGCUUAAUUAUUCAACCGAAUUUAAAUCAAUUAGGAUGCUCGCAUUUAAAUCAAAUAAUCAUGCUCGCAAUAAAUAAACGAUUUCAUGUAGUCACAUAAAAUCAUACAAGUUUCAUACUAGAACGAACAUAUAUAUUCAAUUUAAACGUAAUCGAAUCUAACGACAAUGGAUUCGAAAAUUUACCUCUUGAAGCGUGAGGUAGGCGCACUAUGCAAAACAAGAUUGCCACGGAAACCAAUCCGUGCAAUCCGGGGCAGCAGCGGCGAAACGGCAGCAGCUACUAGACGAGCUGCGGCGGCGCGUGGGAUCGCGUGCGGCGCCGGCUCGUGUUCUGCUCCUCGAUUCUUCGAUUUUCGAUCUUCCUCCUCUCGGAUUUCACCUCGUAUACUUCGAUCUACUAAACACGUGGCACUAGACAUGUAAUAGUUAGAAAAACGGAAGAACAGAAAGAAGGAAAGAACUACCAAUGCGAAUCGGCCAAGAGAUGGCCGAUUCCGGCAAGAUUCCGGCGACGACGGCGGUGGUGGCCGCGGGGAGAGUGGCCGAGAGAGAGAGGGAGCGGCUAGGGUUAGGGUUCCGUGUGUUGUCUUUCGUGCAAGACCUAUAAAUCAAGUAUUUAUAGUGUCUUGCAUAAAACCCUAACGGGCUGAAGAGCCUGUUUGGCUAAGCUUAUAAGCUCCUAAAAACAUCUUAUAAGAUGUUUAGGAGCUUAUAAGUUGUUAAAAGGUGUUUGGUAAAAAAAUUGCAAAAGAUCUUAUUUUUUCCAAAAAUAAGUUGUUAGGGAGCUUAUAAGAUGUUUUUAAAAAAGUACAUCUACCCCACCUUUUUUCUUUAAGAUCUUAUUUGCUUCUUUACUAAAACACUUAAAAUACAAAAUUACCCACAAAUACUUUAUUAUAUUACAUGAAUACUAAUAAUAUUUAUAUUUUAUCAAAACAACCUAUUCUUGUAAUCAAGAUUCAUAAUUAGUUAAAUAUAAUUAUCGUAAUUAUCAUAAUAAUUGUAAAAAAAAUUAUUCUCUAUUUAUAUUUUAUAUGUAUAUAAAAAUACACGAAUAUUCUUAUUAUCUCCAUAAUAAAUUAUAUUUCUUUCAUCUAUAAAAAAAAUUAUAUUUCUUUUACAACUUUUAUUUUAUAUUAUUAUUAUUAUUUGAAAAAAUAAUUUGUAAAUAUUAUAAUAAUAUUUUAGGAACACAAGUAUUUGAGUCAUAUAAGUUUAACAAUUAUACUGGUGUCAUGUACUUUUUUGUCAUUAUAGCAAUAAACAGACCUUUUAUUUCCAAACACGUGAACAACUUAUAAAAACAAAAAGUAACUUAUAAGCUACAUAUCCAAACACCUUAAAAAAUAAUUUUUAAAAUAAGAUCUAACGGCUUAUCAGCUCCUAAAAUAUCUUAUCAGAUGUAGGAGCUUAUAAGAUGUUUUAAAUAAGUUGGACCGGGCCCAACAGCUUAAGUUCGUUAGUUCUUUUACUUGCUCGUCUCUCUCAAUUCAAUGAUCGGAAAAUUGUAACGAUUACAUUUUCGGAAUCAUUACAAUGUCCUCGUCAUUACGAGUGCCAACUCUCGAUUUCCAACUUUCCAAAAGUGGAAACCCUAAUUCAGUGCACUUUCUAAAUUUGGAAACUUCCCGAUUUAGAAAGUCCACUAAUAUGUUUGCCUAUUCUUUUCCUUUUCUUAUUCUCAUUCAUAAUUCCAAAUUACGAAUGUUGGACCCAAUCAUAUUGACUUCCAAUCAUGCAAAGAUAAACCAUUUUAUCUCUGACCGUUUAUUCGAAGAUCUCAUGUGCACGAGCAGUGUGACCAUCGAUGGUUCAGGUGUAAGCUAGCCGUGGGUCCACAACCCUUUGUGGUCAAAACUCAUCCCUUAGAGUUACGAUUAAGAUGAAACUCGUUUCACCUUAAUCAUCCAACGAAUCAAGAUUGGCGUCUAGCAACUACGCGUCAUGAUUCCCUAGAUACAAAUGAAGUGCCUGCAAGAACCUUCAGAUAUAGUUAACGUACAGUACGAUCCCUUCUAUUCAUAUGUCCCGAUUGAACUAGAGGCAUUGGUUCAUCGAGACCUCUUUAUUUUUUCAAUGACCGUGCGAUCGUUCUAAGUGUUGUAAUUGUUACGUGCAUGACUUAGAUAAUCGAAUUCUCUAAUCAUCACUUAGUCAGCUCUGGCCAGAGACUUAGAGAGAUUACAAACUAUAAGAACACGCAGGACAUCCAAGACUAUUCUAGCGAUCGAAUCCCCGACUACAAUGCACAGACCUCCCACUAGAUUUCGGACUGCACGAACACUGGCCCUUGGGAUGGUCCUCGGUGGAACUCAGGGACAGGUCACGAUACAGCUGGUCCUCUAGUGAAGUCACGGUGAUGUCUAGGUCAUAAGGACUAAUGGUGUACAACUAUACCAUAGAUAUCUCUACUCGAUUAUUGUGAACCACUUAGAGAUUUCUAGGGUGAGGGAGUUCAGUGAACUCGUCAACUUACGAGCACCCACUUAUGCAUGCCGAUAUCACAAUACCGUUUACUGAUGAGAUGCAGUACACAUACACUAAGUGCUAGUCUCUUAAUGGGAAAGGCCGAUAUCCUCAUUGGUGGCGUAACCCUUCGACUAGGAACACGUUUAACAGUUAUAAUACUUAAGUAAAUAUCUCACGAUCCUAACGAUCAAUUACUAGUACUUGUAAUAACUGUAAGGACUAUAUCUAUGCUUGUGACAAAGGGACAAAUACAUAGAAUGCCAAGUUGUUUUAUCAUUAAUACGAAUAAAUGUUCGUUUAUUACCAUAAUGAAUACGAAAGACCACAACCACAUGUUGGCUUGUUGGUCACCUACUCUAACAGCACAGUUAAAAUUGUUAUAAAAAAUCAAACACACAUUUACUAAUUAACCAAAAAAUUAAUUAAAUAUAUUUAAAGCUUUGUUAGCUUUGUUAAAUUAAUAAUACCAAAAAAAACAUUUUAGAGCAUCAAAACAUAAAAUACAUUAUCGAGUAACAAAUAUUCAUAUAUAGGAGUAAUAGAAUAUAGUUAAUUACUAAUUUUAUCAAAAACUAUGAAAUUUAAAUUAAAAAAUUAAAUACUAAAAAAGUGCUUAUUUCCUUCAUCGAGUAAAAAAUAAUAAUUUGAUGAUAUAUUUUAUUUUCUUCCAAAAUCAUCCAACGAUCGGCCACAUCAUCUAGUUUAUUUUUAAUCUAUAUUUUUUUUAAUUAAAUGCCAACUCAUUCAAACCAAGCAUUGAAUUACGUGUUAUAGCAGGUCAUAUGACCGAAAUUCUAAACUUUUGUAAUUUACAUGACUAAAAUUAUGAUUUUGAAAUGUGGUGGACUAAACCUCCCAACUAGUAAACUUAGGGUCCAUUUGGAUGGAGGGGUUUGGAGGGGGGUUUAAUUUGGGGAAAUGAUUUGAAAGACUCCAAUUUGGAGUCAUUUGAAAUCCACCUCAAUUGCUCCAAAACAACUAAAAAUGAGGGAUGCAGAUUUGAAAUUCAUCUCCAAAUCCCUCAAUUCAAACAAGUUCAAGGGAUUUGUUAUUAUGGAUUUGAAACCCCUCAUCCAAAUCGCUCCAUCCAAAUGUACCCUUACAAGACUAAAAAACUCGUUUUGCCAUUAAUGGAAUAUGUAAUGUCACAUGUGCGAUGACUAGGGUGCCAACGUGGAUGCCAAAUAUCAAAAUCCAAAAUUUAAGGUUUCAAUUUAUAUAUUAUAUAACUUUUUGUUUCAAUAAAAGUUCAAAUCUAAUAUUUUUAUUUAUGUAAAUUAUUUAUUUAGUUUUUUAAGCAUGUUAUAACUAAACUAUUUUAUCCUUGAUAAUAUUAUUCUAAGUAAUUAUUUAUAUGUACUUAUAGGAACAAUAACUGUAAAUAAAAUACACAUUUCAUACUCAAUUCAUUACACUAUGUUGACGAAAUAAAUGCACACACACUGCGCACGAAAAACACAUGCACAAACAUUGUGCAUACCAAAACAAACCAUUCAUAUGUAAUAAUUUUGCCACUUCGACAAAAUACAGCAUCCAAUGCCUCAUUACUUAAAUACAACAUCUUAUACGAACCCCUAACUUUUGAGACGUGCAAAAUGGAAUUCACAGACAAAAGAAGGUGUGCUCUCAUAUACCGGUGCAGUGCAACACAAGUCCGGUGGGCUUUUUCCUUGCGAAUCAGAGUGUUAGUGAGAAACACAGUCUUGCAAAUGACCAAGAAGCUUUUGCAAACCAUCCUUACUAUCGAAUGCUUCGACGACCGCAACAAAAGCAAAACCGGGCGAAAUGAAUAAACCGUCAUCUUUGCUCGAUAAUUCAUCUCGGCACUCGAGAAGCUCAAAAGCUGACUCGACUACUCUUUGGGAAACAUUUGAAGGUAUUUGUAUGGUGCAAUCAAUAUUAUAAAACUAAAAAUGAGUCUUGACAUACUAAACACCAGAGAAAUAGGUGAAAACGCCACCACAAUCCAACAUAUAACACAUCAAACUUCCUUGGCAGUAUUGUUCUAACUAAUUAUAUGUAAUUACUAAUAUUAUUUUUUAUUGAUAAAUUACGGAUUUCAUACUCAAAAUAUGCACAUACACUGCACACGAAAGAAAUGCACAAACAUUUCGCACACACGAUACACACUAGGUAGAUAUUUUGUUCACAACUUUCUGUGCUUCACAGUACUCAGCAGCUCACUAAGAAAUUAUGUUCUCAUUCAUUUCAUCUUCACUUAUGUAUAUAUUCAACGACAAAUCACUCCCACUCUCUUCUUCAUUCACAUUCUCCUCAAAAUCAUUCUCCAUCUGAUUCUUCUUCUCCCAGAUCAAUCAUGUACCGAUCAUACCCCAUCACUGUAACGCCCCGCGUUUCCGAUACCUGGUUUCCGUAUUUUCCCUCUCGUCUCCUUUGCAUGAAUAUGUGUUGUAUGUGCGAAUUUUAUUGAUCGCUUUUCAAUUUGCUUUAUUUGCUAUUUAUGUGAAAUUAUGUGAACUAAUGUGCAUUAUAUGUCUACAUGAAUAUUUUUGAUUUUAUUCUCUAUUUGCGCAACUAAAAUGUAUUUCAUGUGUUUAAUAUAAUUGAAGACGUGAAAUUAUGUGAUUUACGUGGAUAUAGUUUUAGUAACAUAAGAAUUUAUUUUCUCACAACUAGAAAGUUUAUAUGCUUAAUUGAUAGUAAUUUCCUCUCUUUAAAUUGGCUAUGAUUGUAUGUGUUGCAUGCAUACACUUAUUCCAUGUGCAUUUCCACUUGACUUUUCAUUUAGCAUUAUUUUUAAGAUAACUUAAAUGAAAUUGCCUAGAAGUCCCUCUAGAUUAUUUCAAGUUACUCCUAAUUGCAAAAAGACCCCUCUUCAAUACUUACUCAUUAAGAAUACAAGCCUCUUGAAUUCUAUAAAUACCACCCUCUCCUCUUCAUUUCCUCACACCAAAAAUCAGCCAAGUCCCCUUCUCCUUCCCCCUCUCCAUCGAUCAAAAUAGCCAAAGUAGAAGAAGAAACCUCUUCUUCUAAUUCAAGCCUUCUCCAUUAAAUCUCUUCCUUCUUCUUCUUCUUCUCGUUUUUCUUUCAUAAAUUCCUAGCUAGGAUAGUUCUUCAUCUCCAAAAGGAGAUUCUUCAACCAAGAAGGGAUUCUCUAGUGGGUUUCAAAUAUAUACAAAGCCUUUCAAAUUCUCAAAGACCCUAAUGUAAGAAUCAUGGAAUUCUUGCUACAUCAAGCUAACAUCAAUAGUAUUUCCUUCUCUUCUCUUUUUGAAAAACUCCCCUUCUUGAGUGUUUGAAGAAAUCGAAAGUUUUAUGAAAGAAAGUGCUCAUAGUAUGCUAUAUUAUAUAUUUAGCCUCAUGCAUGUUAAGAUCCAUGCUUGAAUCCUUGAUCUUUGAUGAGAAAAAUGAUGAUGAUGUUUUGAUAUGUUUAAUUUCAUGUUUAAAGCUUUGCAUGUGAGAAUCUAGCUCUUGAUUCUUGAUUCUUGAAAGAAAAUAGAAGAUUGGUGAGAAAACCGAAAAUUUGAUGAUUAUAUGCUAUGAAAUUAAUUAUCUUGAUGUUUAUAAUGAUUGCAUGUUAAGAUUUACUAAUUAUGAUUAUAUGUUUAAGGUUUUGAUUUGAGGCACAUAAGUUGAUUGGGUCUAGAAUCUUGAAAUAGAUGGUUAUAUGUAAAAUUUUCAGAUUCAUAGGUACGGAUUUUAACCCAUGUUUCACCCACGAGUUUAUUUAUGAAAACUACGAAAUUUUAUAUGAGGAUAGAUCUCUCUAUUAUGGUCAUAUUGAUAGGUGGCUUGUAAUUUUUGGAGUAGAAAUGAAUGAGUUAUGAAUUAUUUACCGAAACUGUACAGAACUAGAGUUAGUUUAGAAUUAGUAAUUAAAUCUAAUGUUUUCCUCUUUCAAAUUUAGUAAGUCCAAUUGGAUUAGAACGCCAACUUAUAGAACUCAUCUGAGAUAAUAUUUGACAGUGAUUGAUACAGUAGAUAAUUUAUAAGAAAUAUUUGAAGUCCCCUCCCCUGUUCUGAGUUUUAAACUGCACUACUGUACCAUUUUACUUAUUUAUCCUAAUUUCCUAAAUAUUUUCUAAAACUGUUUUUCUGGGGUAUAUAAGACUCCUAAGAGUAUAUGUAGUUAAAAUUUCAAAAGGUUUGGAUGAAUAUGUAAAGCGCAAUAAAUUUUUAAAGUGACUCCCUCUCUUCAGAUUUCAAAACUGUACCACCAUAGAAAUUUAUUUAUAUCUCUUACUCGGAUAAUGAUUUUUCUAAACUGUUUCUCGGUGGUUUUAAAGACAUAUAAAGGAGUAUGUUGUAAAAGUUUCAAAGGCUUUUGAUUUGUGGUUCAAGAGAAAUGAUUUUUCAAAUUUAGGAUACCAAAACUGUUUUAUUUUCUUAAGUUGACUAUUUUUAUCAAAGUAUGAUUUGUGAUCAUGGUUCUAAUAUACGAGGUAGGAAAGAUAAGUUAGUGAUGAAGGUGAAACCUCUAAGUUAUGGUCUAAUGAUCUAAGUUUAGGUAUUAUGUUGCAUGUUAUAAGAGAGAAUUAGAGUCUACUAGCCUAGAACGGUGUUAUGAAUCAAGUGCAAGAUUUAGAAAAAUGAUCAAUUGAUUUAUAAUGAUAAAUUAGAAUACUUGAUUGUUUUCGUAUAUUAUUUGUGAUGUUAUGUGACCCUUUUGAAAUAAAGGUUUAUGUAUUAAGUGAUUAGACUAAAGUAAUGCCGUAUAUGAUAAUUUUCAUAAUUCAUGAUAUGAGUGAUAUUGAUAUGCUAUGAAUGACAUGGUUAUAUGAUUAUGUGAUUACAAUAUGGUUAAAGUUGAAGAAUGCCCUUCUUGGUGCUACUAUGUGAUAUUAAAUAUUUAUGUGUGUUUAUGGAAUGAAAGGUGAAGUAAAGGUGCUAUGUUCUAUAUGGUUAUGUGUUCAAUGAUUUGAUUGAAGAUGUGAAGUAUAAUUGUUGUGAUACUUGUUACUUUUAUGUUUGUUUAUUUGAUUAAACAUAGAUAGAUCAUGUAAGCUUCAUGUCAUUCAUUAGUAAGUCUAAGAUGCAUACAUCACGAUUUUUUCAAAGUUCAAAAUGUUUGGAAAUUGGUUGUGGAUCUAGGUGAAUAAGUAUGGGAUACGGGGGGCUGGUAUUCCGUUAGUGGUUGAUAGUUGGGGUCCACAUAGGGGCCUGUCCACAUAGGGACUGAUUCACAUAGGAAUCGGGAUUAUAAACCACUAACUCGGCUAUAGUAAAGUUAUAGCCGUGACUAUAUUCCGAUUAGUGGUUAAUAGUUGGGGUCUACAUAGGGACCUGUCCACAUAGGGACUGAUUCACAUAGGAAUCGGGAUUAUAAACCACUAACUCGGCUAUAGUAAAGUUAUAGUCGUGACUAUAGUAAAGUUAUAGAUCACAAGCUCCAAAACACACGGCUUAUUGCCGAACUCCACGAUUGUUUUUCCAAACGGGCCCAAUGUUUUCUCAUGAAAAGUUUUAAAAGUCUAAAGUCUCAUUUUCAUGCAUAUUGCAUAUUAUAGUAUAGAAAAGAAGGGUGUUAAGUACCCGACUUUUGCAUAUUAAAGUAAAGAGAAAGAAGUGUGUUAAGUACCCGACUUUUGCAUAUUAAAGUAAAGAGAAAGAAGGGUGUUAAGUACCCGACUUUUGAAAGAAAUGAAAGGAUGUAAAGUAUCCUUGAAAGAUUUUAAGGAAAGGUAAAGGUAAGGUAUAGUAAGUGCAAGUUUCGAAUGAUCGUAAAUUUAUUAUGUGUUCGUGUAUGCCUAUAUAUAUAUGUGUGUAUACAUAUAAAUUAUGUGUAAAGUCUUUUUCAAAACCUUGUUAUUACUUCCGGAUUCUUACUGAGUCUUUUUAAAGGCUCAUAUAGAUGUUAUCUUGGUGUAGGUAACGCAUGAUCCGAAUCCGAGGAGCAAAGUUGAACCAAGUUCGGGGAAAGCCGAGGGAUCGAGCCGUAUGGAAUAUAUGUGGAUUUUAAUAAACUUCCGUUUUGGUACUUGAAUCUUCUUAGUGGAUUGUAAUCCGUAAUACUUGAAUAUUUUAUCGGGAAACCAGUUUAACCCUUAUGUAUAAUGUAAUGUUUUCCGACUAUUCUUGUUAUUUUCUAAUGUUGAUUUCUUAAGAGCUCCACCACAACCCGAUCCAUUAUUUAAAGUAAGAAAACGUUUAAAGAAAAAUGUGGCACCGAAUAAAGAGAGAAUGUUUUUGACUAAGUAUAUGAAGUGUUCGACUUCAAAGGUUUUUCAAGAAAAGUUUUUAUCGAACAAAAAUUGAAGCGAAACACUUCAAGUAUUUUCAAAACUAGAGAAAACUUUACCACCUUUCUCUAGAACUUUGUUUCGAAAAACAAAACCGUUUUUUUCAAAAGGUCUUCCGCUGCAACUUAAUAGAAAAACCUUUAUACCAUUUUCCGGUAUAGAGUGUAAAGUAAACGGGGUGCUACAAUCACUAUUCCGAUUCCAUUUCGGAUUCGGAUUAAACUACAGAUCAUAAUCACCAUCAAUUGCAUUAUAUUUCUCUCACUAAGUUCGUAUAUCCUAGCCGAAGAGCCCUUCAUAUCCGCGUCUAUUAUCCAUAGCAAUCAACCCCACAAAAGAAUCGGUCGGUGUGGUUGCAAAAUCGAGCACACACUAUUUCAUUGGAGUUGUGGCGAUAUCGGUGUAGUUCAAAGCGUCCAAUGUGCGGAAAGCAGAAACAAGAUUGUGCUUCAUUCGACAAGGGUUACUGCAGACUUAAAAUCCUCGCGGUCUCAUUGUAACCUGCAAAAAAACGUCGUAUGGCAUCAAAAAUAUUACAAGAAUAAAAAUAAAUCUUGCACAUACUAAAAAUCGGAGAAAUAGGUGAAAACGCUUGUGAAUAAGCAGGGGAAGAGAGAUUAAAAGUGUUUCGGCAGUUCUUGGAAAAACAAUUCUGCCUCUGCAUGCCACCACAACCAACAAAUAGAACGCCAAACUUCCUUGGAAUUAUUCUUCUAACUAAUUAUAUGUACAUGUUAAUAGUAUUUUUUUAUAUAUAAACUACACAUUUCAUACUCUAAAUAUGCACAUACACUGCACACACAACACCUAGAUUUGAGUGUGAAGAAUGUUUGAAUUUAUUCGAAAGAAUCCACUUUGAGAUGGUCAUUGAAUAUGCACAUGCAGAGAUUUUGUUCCAGAUGAUGGAGCAUCCAUUCCAUAAGCAAAACGUGAUCCGAGAUCCAACAAAGCAGAAGCUGGGCCCCACUUUGAUAAUGAGACUGCAGAAGAGUCGCACAAGAUCGAUGACUAGUAGAACUCUCCGCCACACUUUUGCUGUCACCUUUAUAAUCGAACACUUUCACUUUCCGAGAAUUUCAAUUUGAGAAGAAUCUCCUAGGAAAGCGAUACCAGUUAAACUUAAAAGUGCCUUUAAUUUGUCGCUGAAACUUUUCCUCAGUCAAAAUCUACUAUACACAAAUUUUCAAUCUUUUGUGCUUUAAUCGAACCCCUCCUAGUAAAAACUUGUAAAUUCAUGUGUGCCGAUCCUUGCUGUCACAUUAGAUGAAGAAUAGGGGCUCUGUGUAACACCCCGCAUUUUCGGUAAAAUAAUAUUAUGUUAUUUUACCACCUUUAUGUGCAUAUUUGUGAAAUUUGAAUUUAUAAUAAUUCUUGCAUGAUUAGUAUUUACGUGAAUUAGGUAAUUAUGUGAUGAUUAUGUGAAUUAUGUGAUUAUGUGAAUUAUGUGCUUAGGAAAUAUUUCGAAAUAGUAUGUCGAAAUAAAUUAUUUUUCAUAAACUAGGAUUUUAUUCUUGCAUGUAAUUUAAAUGAGCAUUUCAUCAUAUUUAUGCAUGCACAAAAUUUUAGAAAAUAAAUUUUUAUCAUGCAUUUUAGGAUUUUUAAUUAAUGUAGAAAAUUUGAAAAUCCUCCCCACAUUUCUUGAAUUUUCGGACACCUCACACACACACACAUGAUUUUUAAAUUGCAUAUUUAUUAGUAUUAAACAUGCAUUAGUGUGGUUGUACUUUGAGCAUAGAAAGAAAUACCCAAGCCUAGCCCCCUACUUUAUAGACUAGGCAUGCUUUUCACUCCACUUUAAGUAAGACCAAAGGUCUUUCUUCUUCUCCCUUCCUUCUUCAUUUCGGCAGCCACAACCCCCACCACCAUAGCCACCACCUUCUCAAGCUUGAACCACCCAAGAACCACCACCACUCCUAUUUUCUAAAAUUGCAAAAUCACCCCCAACCCACCUAAAGAUUUAAUUGCCAAGAAGCCCCUCCUCAAUACUUACCCAUUAAGGUUGCAAGCCUCCCCACUCUAUAAAUAGAACCCAUUACCAAGUGUUUUCUCAUCUCCCCACUACAAUCCUAAGAAAUCUCUCUUCUCUUCUUUCUUCUUCCAUUUUCGAAAUUAGUAGUAGAAGAAGCUCAAAAUAUUUUCUUCAAGAGAUUCUUGAAUUUGAAUGUAAGAGCUUCAUCUCCUCUUUUAUUCUAAAAUUUCCUCUUCCUUCUUCAUAUUGGUUUGUAAUCUAACUCUUAAUCUCUUCUUGUAUUAGAGAGAAAAGAGCUAACAAAUCCUUCCCCUAAAGAGUAUAGGUGAGAAUUCUUGAAUUCUUGCUCAAACCUACAACACCACUAGUAUUUUCGUAUUUUAUGUAUUUUUAUGUGUUUUCAUUGUUGAUUCUUGCAUAUUAUGUGAUUAUAUGUUUUAGAUGAUGAUUGCAUGUUAGUGUUUUGAAAAGAUAGCUUUAUUUUUGAAACUUUGUGAUUUUUUCGAAAAUUGGGGAAAAAUGUUUUAAAUGGCUUAUUUGGCUUAAUUAGUGCCUUGCAUGUGUUGAUCUAGUGUUUGAUUGUUGAUUUUGAAAAGAAAAUGAAUUUUUGGCCUAGCCAUGAAACUUUCGAAUUUUUGGGGAAAAAUGUUUAAAUUUCUUUAUUUGGCUUAAUUAGUGCCUUGCAUGUGUUAAUCUAGUGUUUGAUUGUUGAUCUUGAAAAGAAAAUGAAUUUUUGACUUCACUAAGGAACUUCGAAUUUUUGAGGUAAAAUGCUUAAAAUUGCUUAUGUGGUUUAUUUUGUGUUUUGCAUGUGUUGAUCUUGUGUUGAUUGUUGUUUUAAGGCCUUGCAUGUUAAGGUUGGUGAUUGAGUGUCGAUCCAAGGUCUUGCAUGUUAAGAUCUAGUGAUUGAUGGUUGAUCUAAAGUCUUGCAUGUUAAGAUCUAGUGUUUUCUAUGAAAAAUGGUUAAGAACUAAGAAUUUGUGCUAAUUUGAUUUAAAAUACUCUUGCAUGUGAAGAUCUAGUGUAUUUGCUUGAAUAAAUGUAAAGAUGGAAGUCUUGAAUUUUAUUCUUGUAAAAUGCUAGAUCUAGUGAACUUUGAUGUUAGAUUGUUUUUGCAUGUUAAGAUUUCGGUUAUUUCUAUGUUUUUAUGACUAAAUGAUUUUGGUGAAACUUUAUGUGUAUUUUCUAUGUGCUCCUAUGUGCUCUUGCUUGCUUAUGUGAAUCAUUGGGUGUGAGGAUGAGAGAAAGGUAAGUAGAAAGGGUGCAUGGGUGGGUGCAUUAAGUGUCAUGAAUUUAAAAAAAAAAGAUAAAACUAUGUUGGAAAGUCUUUCGAGGUUACGGUAAAUUUCUCGGGUACGACGAGCCUGGUACCGUAGGGCCUAGGGGUGGUUUGAUCCCACGUAGUUAGACAUGGUUCGAAAUAUAUGGGGUUAUUUACCGGUAACUUAGAUUGACUCUUCCGAGGGAUUCCCGACAAUUUUUCAUGUCAUGCAUGUUGCAUUAUGGUGUUGAUGAUAUAGGGGGGGAAAUCUCACUCUAUGGUCUUGGGACCGUAGGGUUAUAAAGGUGGGAAAUUCCUUCUAUAAUCUUCAAUACGUGUCAUGGCAUAGGGUUAUAAAGGUGGGAAUUAUCUCACUCUAUGCGUGUGGCAAUUAUGUGAAUGAAGAACGCCGACGAAAAAGGGAAGUAUAUGAUUGUUUUACUUCAUGUUGUAUGUUCAUGUAUAAGAUAUAUGUACGUAUAUAUAUAUAUAUAUAUAUAGAUAUAUGUAUGCCCUAUGUGCUAUGUGUAUUCGAUAUUACUUCAAGAUUCUCAUUGAGUCCUCAAAGACUCAUAUAGGUGUUGUAUGUUUGUAGGUAUACCCGAUUUAGGGCCCGAGGAGUGAAGUUGAGAAUCGAGCUCGAGAAUCGGAAGGAGAUCGUAUGGAGGGGUUGUGGAUAGUGUUGGCUCUUAAUCUAGUUAUGUGGUUUUAUUUGUAUAAUAUGCUUAUAAAAACUUUUGAUACGGUUUUAGGUAUUUUCUACCGUUCGCUUCCUCCGAUCGGUGGAAAUUAUUAAAAGGCGAUAUGCGUAAUAGUAAUUAGGAUUACCCUAUUUCGGAUAAUUAAUUGGUAAUCCGUAGCCUUUUGUAAGCGAAAGUAAAUUUUCACUAUUUAUAUGUAUGCAUGCUUCCGGCUAGUAAUUUCUUCGUAUUUUGUCUCCAUGUUCUAAAAUUAUUUUCAUAUAGAUUUUCAGCUUAGAAAAUCAUGAAAUUUUAGGAGUCUCUGCAUCUCUCUGUUCUCAUCAUAUUGAUAGGUCUUUUGCAUGAUUUGGGUAAGUAUUUAUUUAGUUAUGAUUUGUUUCUCACCACUGCAUCGAAACAGGGUCAUUCGGGUGUUUUCUGGUAUAACUAGGGUUUUACUCACUCAAAUGCCUUGUUUCCACUUGGAAAAUGUUUUACACUUACCUUUCUGCCAGUGAGGAAUUUAUUAUGAAUUUUCAAAACUCCCUCCCCUGUUCUGGAUUUUUAAACCGAGUGACAGUGCCAUUUUAUUUAUUUCUCCUAAAUGGCCAUGCAUCUUUCAAAACUGUUUUAACUGAGUGAUCUAGACCCGUGUUAGAUGGUAUGGUAUAAUUUUGGGGUUAUUUGCAUGAGUAGUAUAAGAGGAAUUAGUUUUUAAAGCUUCUGCAUUGAAUCUGUCCGCAUUUGCAUUAAGUUCAUCAUGCCUAGGUAAUUUCUAGUAAUGCAUUUAGCAUGCUUUUGUGUUAAAUAUUUGAUUAGGGUUUAGCAAGCUGUGCCCUCUCUCCCUCUGAUUUAGAAAGAAAAAUUUUUACGUAAAUUUUAUAUCCACAAAAAAUCAUGUUUUCAAAAGUCUUCCGCUGAGAUUACAUAUAAUAAGGGUAGUCGAGAGAGGGGUGUCACAGCAGACGUGGUAUCAGAGCAACGAUCCCGGAAACCUCCAUACGACCUAAUGAUCUUCACGAUUCUCAAAGCACGACUCCAACUGAACACUCGGGCAGGUAUAUGUUUUAUGUGAAUUUUAUGUGAAUUUUAUGUGAAUUUUAUGGCUAAUGUGAAUUGUUUGUAUAUGUUUAAGUGGAGCAAGAACUCGAGCUCAAAAUGCCGCUAACGAUCCUCACAAUCAAUCUCGUACCAUCCAAGACCUCACCGCCCUCGUCCGAGAACAAAAUGAACAAAUCAACCGCCUUGUUAACCUUCAAAACCGAAAUCCUCCUCCUCCUCCCCAACCUAGAAAUACAGCCCCACAAGCCACCUACGAGCGAUUUUUGAAAAUGCAUCCUACCGAAUUCCACGGCGGCCCUAGUCCAACUGUUGCCGAAGAAUGGAUCAAAUCCCUCGAAGUUAUUUUCGAGUACAUGGUGAUGAACGACAGCGACCGAAUCCAUUGCGCACUAUUCUUAUUGAAAAACGAAGCCCGAAAUUGGUGGGAAGGCGCAAAGAGUGGAAUCGAUCUAGCAAAUACCACUUGGGAAGCUUUCAAAGUUCUUUUCUUCGAAAAGUACUUUUCCAAGAAUGUUCGAGCACAAAAGCUUAAGGAGUUUCUCGAACUCAAACAAGGAAACCUAACCGAUGCCGAAUUCCCACGCCGUUUCGAGCAAGGAAGCCUCUACGCACCUUUCAUAUCCAUAGACGACACCGAAAAGAUGAAUCACUACCUAAGAGGCCUCAACCCGAUAAUCAAGCGCGACGUUCGACUAACCUCUGCCUCUACUUUCCGCGGAGUAGUGGACAAAGCCUUGGAAGCGGAACAAGACGAGAUGGAAAUACGACAAUGGAGACCUCCUCAUGAUGCCUCUUCUCGACCAUGGAAGAAACCGAACCUCAACAACGCCAAAGGAAAGCAACCGAUCAACCGAGCAACCGUGACCCCGAGCAACAAGCCCUUUUUCCCCAAAUGCAAGCGAGAACACUCAGGCGAUUGUGUUGCCGGAACCAACCACUGUUUUCGAUGCAAGAAGCCCGGACACAUGGUCCGAGACUGCCCUAUCGCCCCGAGACAAGUGCCGGGACGAGUAUUCACCAUGACAAGAGACCAAGCCGAAGCUGACCCGUCAAUGAUCGCAGGUACCGUUAAUGUGUAUAAUAAUUUUGUGUAUGCCCUCAUCGACUCCGGAUCAACUCACUCAUUCAUCUCAUGUACCCUCGUUGCCGAACUCCGCCUAGUCCGUAGCCAAGCCGAUGCCUUGUUUAGCAUACUUAUUCCUUCCGGUGAUGAACUUAAAUCAAAUUUCAUCAUCAAAGAUUGCCCUAUUCAGAUUCAUAACCAAACCCUAGCCUCCGAUCUGAUCAUCCUACCCAUUAAACAUUUCGAAAUAAUCCUCGGAAUGGAUUGGUUAUCAAAAUUCGACGCCCAAAUCAAUUGCGCCCACAAAACCGUUCGUUUCUCCUUACCGAAUGGAAGUUUUCUCGAAUUCCGAAGCUCGUACAAUCCGUCGAUUCCUAUCAUUUCCGCCAUCAAAGCGAGCAAACUUAUUCAAAAAGGACAUCUAUGUCAUUUGGUCGACAUAGUGGAAGCUCUCAACGAAGAUAAAACCGACAUUUCCAAAGUGCCAACCGUUUGCGAUUUUCCCGAUGUCUUUCCCGAAGAUCUCCCCGGUCUUCCGCCCGAUCGUGAAAUCGAAUUUGAAAUUAAUUUGAUCCCCGGAUCCGCUCCUAUCUCGAAGGCACCUUAUCGCAUGGCGCCGUUAGAGCUAAAGGAACUCAAGGACCAAAUUCAAGAUCUUAUCGACAAGAAGUUCAUCCGCCCUAGUUUUUCCCCAUGGGGUGCUCCGGUACUCUUCGUGAAAAAGAAAGACGGAAGCCUCCGAAUGUGUAUCGACUACCGAGAACUCAACAAGGUCACCGUAAAAAACAAGUAUCCAUUGCCACGAAUUGACGACCUUUUCGAUCAACUUCAAGGCUCCAUGGUCUAUUCCAAAAUCGACCUUCGUUCCGGAUAUCAUCAAUUGAAGAUCAAGAAGGAAGAUAUUCCGAAAACCGCGUUUCGGACUCGCUACGGCCAUUACGAAUUUGUAGUGAUGUUGUUUGGUCUAACCAACGCCCCCGCCGCUUUCAUGGAUCUCAUGAAUCGAGUUUUUCGCAAAUAUCUCGAUCAAUUUGUGAUCGUAUUCAUCGACGAUAUCUUGGUGUAUUCAAGAAAUGAUGAAGAACAUCGGAAUCGUUUGGAAAUGGUGCUCCAAACCCUCCGAGAGAACCAACUCUAUGCGAAGUUUUCCAAAUGUGAGUUUUGGUUAAGACAAGUCCACUUUCUUGGUCACGUAAUUUCCAAGGAAGGCAUAGCCGUCGAUCCAAGCAAAAUUGAAGCCGUUUGUAAUUGGUCAAUUCCUCGUAAUGUCGGAGAAAUCCGAAGUUUCCUCGGCCUCGCAGGCUACUACCGACGGUUCGUUCCGAACUUUUCCAAGAUAGCCGCUCCACUCUCUCGUUUGACCCGAAAGGAAGUCAAGUAUCAAUGGACUCCCGAAUGCGAGUCUAGUUUCCAAGAACUCAAGAAGCGAUUAACCUCAGCACCAAUCCUCGCUCUACCGGAUAAAACCGGAAACUAUGUGGUCUAUAGUGACGCCUCCAAGCACGGGCUCGGAGCCGUCCUAAUGCAAAACGGGAAUGUAAUUGCCUAUGCCUCUAGACAAUUAAAACACUACGAGAAGAAUUACCCGACGCACGACUUGGAACUCGCGGCAGUCGUGUUCGCCCUCAAAAUUUGGAGACAUUACCUUUACGGCAAAAAAUGUUCGAUCUUCACCGACCACAAAAGUCUCAAGUACUUCUUUACUCAAAAAGAACUCAAUAUGAGGCAAAGAAGAUGGCUUGAAUUAGUCAAGGACUAUGAUUGCGAAAUCCUUUACCAUCCCGGUAAAGCCAACGUUGUCGCCGACGCCCUUAGCCGAAAAUCCAUGUCCGCCUUGAUCAUUAAACCGCCGCUCGAAUCAACUAUCAAGUCCGCUCAAGACCAUGAUGAUCAACUUGUCAAAAUCCGAGAAGGCUUAGCAACCGGUCAAAGUUCAAAUUUCUCAAUAACCGACGGCAAAAUCUUGAAAUUUCAAGGGAGAAUUUGCAUUCCGGCGAACAAAGAGAUCAAAGGAUUAAUUCUCGACGAAGCUCACAAAACGCCCUACUCUUGCCAUCCGGGUGAAACCAAAAUGUAUCAAGACUUGAAGAAGUUGUACUGGUGGCCAGGCAUGAAGAAGGAUAUAGCCAAAUACGUAUCCGAAUGCCUAAUUUGUCAACAAAUCAAAACCGAACACCAAAGGCCCGGUGGACUUCUACAAUCCAACCUUAUUCCCGAAUGGAAAUGGGAAAGAGUAACGAUGGACUUUGUUCAAGGUUUCCCGAAGACUCUUAAAGGAUCCGAUUCAAUAUGGGUGAUAGUCGAUCGCCUAACUAAGUCCGCACACUUCUUACCGGUCAAGACCACUUUUAGUCUCGAAAAUCUAGCCGAACUUUAUAUCGGAGAAAUCGUCCGACUCCAUGGCGUUCCGAUAUCAAUCAUCUCCGACCGAGAUCCCCGAUUCACUUCCAAAUUUUGGAAAAGAUUGCACGAAACGAUGGGAACCCGUCUAGCCUUUAGCACGGCAUACCAUCCCCAAACCGACGGACAAUCGGAAAGGACAAUCAAGACCCUCGAAGACAUGCUUCGAGCAUGUAUAAUGGAUUUUGGUGGUAAUUGGGAAAGCCGUCUACCUCUCAUCGAAUUUUCGUACAACAAUAGCUUCCAAUCUUCGAUCGGAAUGGCACCUUACGAAGCCUUGUACGGAAGGAAAUGCCGUUCUCCAAUCCAUUGGGACGAAGUAGGAGAGCGAAGCUUAUUAGGACCCGAGCUAGUCCAACACACCGUCGACAUAAUCAAGAAUAUCCGAGAGAAAAUGAGAACCGCCCAAGAUCGCCAACAAAAGUACGCGAAUAAAAGAAGGCGAGAUUUGGAAUUCCAAGCCGGUGACCACGUAUUCUUGAAAGUCGCUCCACUCAAAGGAAUCAUGCGAUUUAAAAAGAAAAAUUUUUACGUAAAUUUUAUAUCCACAAAAAAUCAUGUUUUCAAAAGUCUUCCGCUGAGAUUACAUAUAAUAAGGGUAAUCGAGAGAGGGGUGUCACACUCUGUUUUGGCUCCGGCCACACACGAGGGUGCAUCAACGAAUAGCGGGGGUAAAGUCGUAAUUGGAGCUGAUCAUUGGAGGUGCUGCUGCUUCAAAUACUGAAUGACGAGAUAAUCUAUAACGUAAUUAUCUCGGGGGUCAAGUCGUAGUUGGAGUUCAAUCUUCUUUCUGGUGGUGAUAACUCCACAGUCUCCUUCAACUUGUGUUUCAUUGGCAAUACUGAAGUGGAUGAUAAUCGUAGCUGUCGGAAGCUGAAAUAUGUCUUCAUGAACUAUCCUUUAAUUUGAUUUUAAAUCUUUUAUGUGACCAAAUCAAGAAUGUUUGGAUUUAGGCAUUUAGCCAAAAAGAAUCCACAAGGAUAGUAUUUUACAAUUACUUGAUGAGAGUAUUUAUAAUAAAAUACACAUUUCAUACUCCAGAUAUGCACAUAAACUGCAAAUGAAAGAAAUGCACACACAUUUCGCUCACUUUCUGAAAUGCAGCUGCACUUUCUGCUAGAUCCAAUGCUUGAAGAUGGUCAUGCAUAAGGAGCUCCAACAUCAAAUUGUGGCAAACCGAUAAAGAAUUAUCAAGAGGAAAAAAAAAAAAAAAAAAAAAAAAAAACGGAAUUAUUUUCAUUAGUGUGGAUCUUUCUAACAUUUUACUCAAGACAAAUGAUUCAACAAAUUAUUUUCGAGAUUAUCGACUUUUGGCUUUAACAGUUGAACCAAAACGGAACACACUGAGAUAUAAGAAUAAAAUUGAACAAAUAAGUGAAUACACAAUGGUUGGGCAUUUCUUGGAACAUCAAGCAGUCUAUCUCUUCAUGUCAUUACGACCCACGAAUAUCUUCGUGAAUUUCAGGUUCUACAGUCUUUGACAAAUCGCCAAGAAUAUUAUUUAAAUUCCUAAACAGAGCAAAAGCUCGUAUGAGAAUCUAGAUCAAGUUAAUAAAUGAUAAUGGAUUAAGAAUGUAAUAACAAAUAAAGGUACUAAUCAUGGAAAUUUAUAGCAAGACCUUGAGAGAGCAACAACGUCAGCAUUUGUUUUUACAUUUCCCACCCCAAUUCGUAGAUACGGCGUAUAAAAGCGAUAUGAAACAAUUACUAAAAGUAACUCUUGUAUAAAACUAAAACAAAAGUUUGAAGAAGAAUGAAGAACCAUUAUGGAUUGUUGAUCUUUAUGUAUUUAUGUAUUUCACAAACGUGGAAUCAUUACAUUUGGCAAGUCGGUCCUUGGUGCUCCUAUAUACGACCUCAAAGUAGCAUACUUAUUCAUUGGCUGACCUUUCUAUAUUCACAAGGUCCACUUUAAAUUCUCUACCCCACAGAAUCAUCUUGCCAUAACCAUCCACUUUAAAUUGAAAUAAUCGAGAAAAAACAGAAACUCUCCCUCAAAAACGUGUACCGAUGUGCAUCUACGUUAACAAGACACACGUGCACGAGAGACAACUUCCAAAUGUGCGAAAAACAACCUAAGAGAAUACAUUAACUAGAUUAUGUUUCUUUAUGUAGUUCGUUACGAAUAUCCUUAGAUAGAGUUAGCGAUUUAUUCGGUUUUCCUUUUACUAUUAGUCAUUAGAUUAGCUGCAGGAAAUGACAGCAAACUGCAUCACUAUGACCAAAGAACCGCCCAAAUCACACCUGAGCUUCUUAUAUAAUUAAAUUCAUCGUAAGUUAAUCGAGAAAUCGGGGGUUUUGAGUUUCUCAAUUAGCUCUGAUUUUUCUGUUGUUAAAUCUUCCCAAUUUUGAAAAUGAUUUCUUGAGUAAUCCUUUCACUUUGAUUGAAAAUGAAUAAAUAAUAAAUAAACAUACAGUUAGUAAAACUUAAUAAAUGCGAUCCAAAUGAUUAAAAAUUAAAAACCACCAUUAGUUCUCUGGAUGCAGUUUGACCCCUCACAUUUUAAUAUGUUUCAAUUUCAUCGUUUAAUUUAUUUAUUUCAAUUUGAACCCAAAUUUCACAAAUUAUUCAAUUUUGACCCAAACACAAUUUUGAGUACAAUUUCGCCCGUCGCCGCCGUUGACUGGUGGUCUCCACCGUUGAAACUUUUUUUUUUCUUUCUGAUUUUUCCGCCGGUUUCCGGUGUUGACAUUUUCAAUAUUUUUUUUUCGUUAACAUCCUUUUGCCCCCUUUUAAACAGCAAUAUUGUUGUGGUUGAGAGUAAUAUUAACUAUAUUACUGUUAAAUACAGUAAUAUUAACUAUACUACAGUUUAACACAGUAAUAUUGUUUUUUUUUUUUUUUGGGCCAAAAUAUUUUUAUUCCAUUUAAUACUUUUGAAAGUACAAGGGGCCUCGUUAAAAACCUUGUGGGCUUACACAAGGAAAAGAGUACCCCUAUAAACGGGAAGGAAUAAAAACGGGACGGGGAAAGUCCUAUACUAUCAAUUACAAAAAUGCCCGAAAAAAGGGCUAAAAGGAAAAAAGAAAAGACUACACUACAGAACAAGACUACAUUCCGAGAAUUGCUAAAAGGCCCCCAGAUUGGGGUGAAAGUGUAAAUACACUGAAAAGCUGCUCCAAAACAGUUUCCUCUUGGCAUCAGAUCCAAUAAUUGCAUCAAAGUCCCAGGAUGGAGGUAAUUAUGCAAAAUCCAGAAAUAGGAACUCCAAAAAGUCCAAGCCUUACAGUAGUGCAUCUUCAUCCUGGACGGAAGGUAUGUACACCCAACUUGUCUCCCAAAUAAGCUGCCUUGACCUCAAAAGGUAAUGAAGACCCGGAAAAAUAUUGUAGUGUUGAUUUGUGAGUAUACGCCCAAUUGGCAAGACGAUCAGCCACUGUAUUCUUUUGACGAACAACAUGCUGAAAACUAUGCGACGAAGCCACCUCCUGCAUACACUGACGAAGAACAAACUCAUUUGAGUUAAUAUGUUUUCCAGCUUUGCCCCUGCCCGCCACAUCAUCACUUGGUCAAGGCACUCAACAAUUUUUUUUUUUUUUCGUUUUUCCGUUUUUUUUUCUUCUUUUAUGUACCAGUUUUCUUAAUCGACUAUGCUUCAUAGUCGAUUAAGGAAAUUCUUUAAUAUUUUUUUUUUUAAUUUUUUUUUCUAUAUCAGUAUAUUAUUCAAUUAUGAUAAAGCAUGGUCGAUCAAAUGUCUGCUAUUAAAAAUAACAAAUCAAAACUGCAAAAAAAUGCAAAAUCAACUAUAUAUUACAAAAAAACAAAAAAUAUAAGACCAUUAUAAUUGAUUUAUACAAUUGGAAUCAAUAAGAAAAAAAACGAAAAAAAAAGGAAAAUUGGAAUCGAACUUUAAUCGACUACCAGAGCAUAGUCGAUUAAGAAUCUGCUACUAAAAAUAACAAAUCACAACUGCAAACAAAUGCAAAAUCAACUAUAUAUUACAAAAACAAAAAAUAUACAAACAUUAUAAUUGAUUUAUACAAUUGGAAUCAAUAAACGAAAAAUCCAAAGAAAAAAAAAAAAAUUGGAGUCGAUCAACCUUAAUCGACUACCAGAACAUAGUCGAUUAGCUUAAUCGACUAUGAAUAUGUACAUAGUCGAUUAAGAUUUCAGCCUGCAUGAGAUUCUCUACACGCGCCGUUAUCCGCCCAAUCCACCAAAAAACCCUAAAUCUGCCUCCACAUCGUCACCACACCGCUGCCACAAUACACUAUUCAACCAAUCCCUAACAAUAAUAAAAUAAAUAGAUUAAAUAAUUCAUUAAAAAAAACACAAAUUAGCAUUUCAAUGUCCACAAAAAAAAAAAAAAAAAAAAAAAAAACGAUUCAAGUUAUUUGUCAAAACCAACAUCAAAAAAUAAGUAAUAAAAACAAAAAGAAAAAAAAAAAGCAAAUACCUUCACCAACAUCAAUUACAACAGUGAUUUUCUCAUGCCUCAUCCUCAUAGCCUUCUAACGACGAGCGCCAGUCAUCAUCUUCAACGUCGUCGGUGGAAACCACCGCCGCGAACUACAGAUCCAUCACCACCCUUCAUGCGGCGGCGGGAGGCGAUGACAAACACUCUCCACCACGACCACCACCACCACCACCAUCGGUCGACGUCUUCCUUUUCUUCCGAAUUUCAGUCGAGAAGAGAAGAGAGAAGAGAGAAGACGAGAAGACAGAAGAGAGAAGACGAGAAGACGAGAAAAGAAAAAGAGAACGACAAAUGAAAUGGUUAGGGUUUUGAAGAGAUUUAAUAUUAAUAAGGGUGGUUUGGGAAUUAUUAAAAUAAUAUUUGGGUAGGAUAUUAGCUACGGGGGUUUUCUCUAAUUAUUUUUGGGAGGGGGUGUUUCCUUAACUCAUUUUCCUAGAUGAGGGGGUUCUUGCUAAUUAGCCCAAUAUUAAUAUGUUGACUGUUCAACAAAGGUAAAUAUAGUAAAAAGCCAAAAAAAUAAUAUUACUGUCAUCCACGGUAAUAUUACUGUAACAACAGUAAUAUUACUGUCCAACACAAUAAUAUUAUUGUGUUGAAAAUAAUAUUAUUAUGUUACUCCGUCAACAACUCAAACAAAACAAAAAAUAAAAAUAAAAUAAAAUAAUAUUGAUGUGGUUGACAGUAAUAUUAUUAUUUUUACACUUAUUUUACUGUCAACGACAGUAAUAUAAUUAUGUUGACUUGUCAACAAAUAAAAUAAAAGGCCCAAAAAAAUAAUAAUAUUAUCGCGGUCUCUAGUUGUACCGUCAACGACAGUACAAUUACAUAAAUAUACUGUCAAUGACAGUACGAUUACGUUAAUGUACUGUCAGGGACUGUAUGAUUACUAUUAAUGAUAGUACAAUUACGGUCAACAUUUAGCGGCGGGGGUAAAAAACGGAUAACAAUUUUAGGGAAAAAACAUCACUAAAAACAAGUCAAUGCUGGAUACAGUCGACGGAAAAAAAAUAAAUAAAUAAAAUAAAAAACACCGAAAAAAUCAACGCCGGAGACUGGCGGUCAAUGCCGGAAACCGGAGGCAAAAAACAGACCAGAAAAAAAAAAUCGAAAAAGUCAACGCCGGAAACCAGCUGCAAAAAAAUAAUUCUGAAAAAAAAAAAGUUAAAAAAAGAGGAAAAAUUGGAUUUCUGUGGUCAAAGUUGAUUAAAUUGGGGUUACAAUUAAGAAUUGUGUGUAACGGGUUGAUGGUAAUUUUGUCAUAUACAUUAAUUUUUCCUUUAUUUAUAAUACAUAUGUAACAACAAAUUCUUAUAUGCGAUAUAAACAAACAAGAAAAAAUUGAACAAAGAUAAUUUUUAUUGAAUUAAAAUAAAUAAAUUGCGGGUUACAAUCUCUAUUUUAAUCCUCUUAUUCUUUUCUAUAGAACAAUAUAUAGUUGACUUGAAUUUUCGGAGUCGGGUCGUUGACUUGAUCUUCUCCGGAUUUGAUUUUGGAUUUGAAUAACGUUUUCCAAUGGUCUCGCGACUUGAAUGUCAGAUCGAACGUUGAACUUUGACUAAAUUUGACUUGAAAAUCUUGAAAUUGUUGAUGGAUUUGGCCCUUCAAUCUUCCACUGAUCUUGACUUGAAUUGAUUAACGUUAAUCCGAAGGUUUAGCACCGUUAUCUCGGAUCGAACGCUGGAUUUGAUGAAGAACGCCUUGAAUUUUCUCAAGAACACCUCAAAUUUGACGAAGAACACUUUGAAUGUAGAGAGAGAAUCUCACCUCCUACAAAUUCUUCUUCCUUACUUCUUGAAUUGUAGAGAUAGUUUUCUCCUAUGGUUUUUCUUCUUCUUGAGUUGUGUUUGAAUUGUGAAGGGAGGGUCCCUAUUUAUAGUGGUAGAACAAGAGUCCUUGAUGGGCCUUCUUGAUGACAUGGCGCGAUUUGAUUGGCCUGAUUUAAAUUGAUAUUUAUCUCUUGUAACUUGAAAGAGAAGAAAUAAUUCCAUGGGCCAAUAGUUAAUUGAUAUUUAUCUCUUUAUAACUUGGGGGAGAAGAAAUAAUCCUAUUGGUCAAUAUAUAUAUUUAAAAUCAAUUAUCUAUUUUAAUUAGGAAUUUAUUUAAAUUUCUAAUAUUAAAAUAGAAAACAUAUAAUUGAUAUUUAAUAUAUAUAUAUAUAUAUAAAAGUUUAUAUGCAUAAUUACAUAUUUGCCACUUGUGAAAAAAAUCACUCGGCUCUAUGGAAAUUAGCAAUUUAAUUGCUUGAAAAUUCGUUCGUCUACAAAUGCCCCCUCAAGACUUGUUCACGAACAAUGCGUCUUGAAGUGAAUAAGUUACGAUAAUAUUGGCUUUCAUCGGUAUAUAUAUAAAAAAACAUUAGUUCGAUUCUUGUCCAGGCUAAUUGAUGAUAUAAACCGAUAAAAUUUUGAGUUCAAUCUUUGUUUAAUGAAUUUGGCCCAACUAUUCCUCAAACUUCAAACUUGAAUUGCACGUGAGACAGACGUGCAUAAUUCUUCUCAAACAAGUAUUAAACUUGGUUAUAUAAUUUCUAUAGGUUAGAGCAGGGCCCACAUAAAAAUCAGAUUUUGAAUGCAACUUCAAUUGCAACUCGAUUUCUGUGCGAGGCAGGAGAGUCUGUCUCUACUUGGAGUCUCUCUCUUCUUGGAAUCGUAAUUUCCAAUCAGAUGGUAACUAGCAAUCCACGUUUGUGAUUCUUUCGCGAUUGGCAGUUCAAAAGUCUAAUUCACAUUGGACUAUUUACUUAACGCCUAUAAAAAUAGAGAGACCCCCGAUUUUUUUUCACAACUUCACCACAACAAUAAUCGCCGAAGAUAUUCUCUUGCCCGCUACUGCGUUCUUCUUCCCUUUUCCUUAUUUAUUCUCCCUUUUUGCUCGACUCCAGGUUUGUUCUGUAUAAUAGCUUUGUGCGUAACCAAUUUCUAUGAGCAUGCAUGCCAUGAGUUUGGUAGAUUGAUAAAGAGAGAUUAUUUCUUUUAUUUCAACAUUAAUAACCGGUUUGCUUGAUCUUUGCUUUAAAUUCGGGUUUUGCUAGUUCGUUUUGAUCGAUUCCAAGUCAGUUCCACCCUUCAAAACUAGGCCUAAUCCAUCUUUUGAUCACGUCACCAUGUGUUUGAUAAUUUGAGGAAGAGAAAUUGCUCCUUUUAUUUCAAAUAGGGAUUGACUCUUUUGAUCUUUUCUUCAAAUUUGAAAUUUGCUAGCUUCUUUUGCUUGAUUGAUUCUAAUCAGUUUCAUCGAUCAAAACUAUCCCUUUUUUUUGUUUUUUUUUUUUUUAGCAUGCUCUUGAUUCCUUUCUUUACUUACUGACCCCCCACCCCCCCCCCCUUUUUUGUUUAAGUUUUGCCACUCGAGAGGUUUGGGACGAAAAAAACAAAAUGAUUUUAGCCCGGGUUUCCUGCCCCCGCUCUUUUUUUUUUUUUUUUUUUUUUGGCANNNNNNNNNNNNNNNNNNNNNNNNNNNNNNNNNNNNNNNNNNNNNNNNNNNNNNNNNNNNNNNNNNNNNNNNNNNNNNNNNNNNNNNNNNNNNNNNNNNNNCUUGACGAUCGUUACCAACCAAACGACCAAGGAACCAUCUUGACGAUUUAUGCCCCCUUAUCGGUUCUUACGCAAAGCAAUGGCCACGUCUCACGACUCCAAAUCGCAUGUCCGUUUGGUCCCAUUAGCAUCCUCAUAAUAAAUACGAGUACGUCUACAGUUUGCGAGCAUCAAAUCAUAAACCCGACAGAUCCUCGCUUCCGGAAGAAUCAAGCGGUCCAAGCCUUCUGCCGACUUUGGGUGGCAACAUGGUGAAGGAAAAAGUCAAGUGGGAGAUACUCUUAAGCUUUCCGGUGGCUUUCAAUUCAUCAAAGGGUACUGGGAAUGGAACGAAGACGUUCUCAGCCAUUGCCAGCACAAGCUAAAGUCUGCGAAGAUCUAUGAUUUUGUAUAUGCUUCCCUCUUCACGUACGACUACAUUUCUGAAGUCAUGAAGGCGUUCUUCGAGGCAUGAUGUCCAACUACAAAUACCCUCUUGACGUCUCCUGAAGAAAUGUCUAUCUCGUUAUGGGAUUUGCACACCCUCUCCCGGCUACCUUUAACCGGGCUCCUUUACGAUGAAGUUGUCCCUGCCUCUCAAGAACUCGUUGGUUCCGGAUGCAAAGGGUGUUCGAUAUUCUCACCGUUCCUGCCGAUAUUUAUUCCAUGCCUACCACUUACUUCGGAAGAGCUCUAAAGAUCCAUCCUCCCAUGUCUCUGUCGAAAGCUGGAUUCAGUUUUGGUCGAAGAAGUAGAAAAAAUACACUCAACCUCCUCCGCGCAAAGAAAAAAAGGGUGUUCGCCCCAAGUCAACUAACAAUACUUCCGGCAAUAUUGAAGCACAUGCAAAAUGGAACAACGUUGGAGAAGCUGUGUGUUUCGGGCAUUAGCGUUGAUGUCGAACUAAGGUACGAGACAUACUUGGCGGCCCAUUUGGCUUGUUGGCUUUCCACCUUCGUUCUCCCAAUUGAUGAUGUGGGCAUGAUACGUCCUUCAACGUUCAAGAUGGCUAGCAUAAUGACGAGUGGCGAAUAAGUCUCUCUUGCAGUUCCUGUCUUAGCCAGCAUCUUCAACGGCAUAAAUAGGAUCUCGAGAUCCUUGAGACUCCAUCAAGAGAACUCUCCGUUUCCUAUUCACUUCGUCUAUAGUUGGCUGGCGCUUUAUUUCAAGACUCAUUAUCAAGUUCUGCAAGGCGUAGCCGUAGAUGGCCCAAAGAUGAUAUCUUAUUCUGGAGAAGGAAGCGCUAGAUACUACACUCCCGCGGAUGCAUGCAAACGGAUUCUCAAAGGAGAUCUUAUGUCUUGGACCUGUACCAUGAUCCCUAGGAGCGAGUCUUCUUUAUAUGUUGAUGAUGGAAAAAAAAGGGUCCGAGAAAAUUUAUUUCAUCGCCAUUCGCUCGAGCUAUCUCUCCUUGCGACGUGGUAAUCGUUUCGUUAUUGAGCCCUAUAGUCCUCAUCGGUUUAACUGCCAAUUUGGGUAUUACCAAGAUGUGCCCGGAGUACUUGAUGAAGACGUUCGCGAGGCUUCUUUAAUAGACGGACUCCGUUAUUGGCGUAUAUGUGUUUUGCCCGAGUCCAUGUCUAAAGUGAUGUUUUCUAUCGUUCCUCAAAAUCCAAGAAAGUUUCACACGGACGACUAUAAGAGAUGGUGGACUAAAGCUUACGGAACUUAUCUUGAAGAUAAAGCUGCGAGUCUGAUGAACUUGGAGUUAAGUAAGAUUCCACUUGAAGACAAAGAAGAUGAGGCAAGAGAUAGUCUCGGCAAUCUUUCUCGUGAAAAUGUGCUCCAAACUAAAAACCCUCCUAGAGAUAUAAAGAAGAAGAACGUUUUGCCUCCAUCAGAUGAGAGUGGCAAUAGCCACAAAGAGCGUCAUUGGAAAAAGCCGAAGAGGGACCCGCAAUCUUCAAAACCACAAGAUCUUCAUAUUGAUAACAGCGUGGAUAGUCAUUCUCGAACAAAUGACACUUUUGCUGAGAAGGUUGCACUUAACACUUUUUUUUUUUUUUUAUCUUGUCUUAAUGAUUUUUUUUAGUUGGAAAAUGAGGUAAUUGACGUUGACGAUCGCGAGGAAUCUCAAGCUAGUCAUCACUCAACUGCCAAGGCUUGCUCAACAGGUGCAGCUUCGCCGCCGACUGCUUUGAUGCCUGCCAGAACAUCCAAGAUGAAAGAGACCGCGAAAGGGUCGUACAAUGGUGAUUGUUCAGUUUUGUGGGUGAAAAUUUCCUGAAAAAUCAUAAAUGGGUUUUUCUUGGCCAAUUAUGGCAAGAUCUUCGUGCGAUGAUAGUACGAACUUCAAUUGAUUCCAUUUCGUCUAUUCAAGAAGAUGUCCAGUUAGUUCUUGGAACCAUGAGGGAUAUUGGUGAUUUCGACAUAUCUUGCAUAGAGGAAUUAUUGAAGUCAUUAUUUUCCCAGACGUUGGCUUAUGAUAAAGUGAGGUCGUCGAACUCUUAGAAGGCAUCUAAAGAGAUUCUAGCACGACAAUUAGAUGAGGCUAAAGAUCGUUUGCAUAAUACUCAAGCUAAAGAACACAAAGAGACUCUUCAAGUUCAAGCCACCAAUAAUGAUUUGGAGAGUGUCAAGAAAGAGCGUGCUGCUAUGAAGGUGAGGGUGGGACAGUUGAGAUCAUUAUUAAAACGACAACAAGAACUCCUUGAUACUGUUCAAACCGAAAUUCGUGAGAUUAACGAAGAGAUUGUGCCAUUGAAAAUACAUCCCCUUUAAGUGAUUAUUUGGUAGAAGAAUUGCGCGCUUCUGCCGAGCUUUUAGAAGAUGCCAAAGAAAUGUUGAACGAUUUAGACCCUUUCACUUGAGAUAGAUUUAGAUUUUUUUUUUUUUUUUGUUUAUUUCACUUUUAUGAUUCAUGAAAUAAAAGUUUCUCCUUUUCCAUCUUGCUCCCUUAGUAUUCUGUACUUAUACUUUCAACGAUUUUUUAUUUUUUAAUUUUAUUUUUAUUUUUAGGAAAGGACUGAACUUAGAGAAUAUCUAAGUUGCCUACGUACCCCCAAUGGGAUCAAGUCAUAACGUAGUUCGAAGAAAAAAAAAAUAGAUUUUUUUUUAAGGAAAUGACUGAACUUAGAGAAUAUCUAAGCUGCCUACAUACCCCGAAUGGGAUCAAGUUAUAACGUAGUUCAAAGAAAAAAAAAUAGAUUUUUUUUAAGGAAUGGACUGAACUUAGAGAAUAUCUAAGCUGCCUACGUACCCCGAAUGAGAUCAAGUCAUAAUGUAGUUCAAAGAAAAAAGAUAGAUUUUUUUUUUAAGGAAAUGACUGAACUUAGAGAAUAUCUAAGCUGCCUACGUACCCCGAAUGGGAUCAAGUCAUAACGUAGUUCAAAGAAAAAAAGAUAGAUUAUUUUUUAUUUCUUUUAUUUUUUUAUAUUUUUUAUUUUUUUAGCCGUGCACAGUUUCAACUCAUGCAGGCCAUGAGCCUUCUCCUCCGCUUCGUGCGUAGUACCGCUUCAAGAACUUUCCAUUUAUCGGACCAAUUCUUAAACCAUCUUCGGCAACCAACUUGCACGCUCCAUUUGUGUAUGCUUCUUUGAUGACAUAAGUACCAUCCCACUUUGAAGUAAAUUUAUUUCCCGUUUUAUGUGUGACGAUGAUGGGCCUCCUUACGGAAAGUACCAAAUCUCCAACUUGAAACGAUCUUGGCCACACCUUCUUGUUAAAUGCCUUAGAAAGACGAGCUUGGUAGCAUUCAAUACUUUGUUGUGCCUCUAAUCUUUUCUCAUCAAGAGCUUCCAAUUCUGCAAGACGCAAACGAGCAUUUUCUUCUUAAGUGAAUUCUUCCUGUACAGCUAUCCUCAAUGACGGAAUUUGUUUUCAAGAGGCAAGACCGCUUCCACUCCGUACACCAACGCAUAAGGAGUGGCUUGAGUAUGUGUUCUAUAAGUUGUUCUAUAGGCCCAUAAAGCUUCCCCCAUCCUUUCGUGCCAAUCGCGUUUUGACUUGGCAAUCACUUUCUUCAACAAAUUACAUAAAGUCUUGUUAAAGGCCUCGGCGAGUCCAUUGGCGGCAACGUUGUACAUUGAAGACUUUCUUUGCUUGAAGCCAAACUUUUCACAAAGUUUAUCUAUCACACCGUUGCAGAAUGGAUUUCCGUUGUUUGUGAUUACAUAUUGAGGAACUCCGUAAUGGUAGAUGAUGUUGAUGCGGAUGAAAUCGGCAACGUUCUCCUUCUUUACUUCUCGAAGGGGCACUGCUUCAGCCCAUUUGGAAAAGUAGAAUGUUGCUGCCAAGAUAUAGAGAUUUCUAGCAGAAGACUUCAUCAUAGGUCCAACCACAUCCAAGCCCCUAGCAUCGAAGGGCCAUGAAGCAACAGUAGGGUGCAAUGGCUCCGGCGGUUGAUGAAUAAAGUUUGCAUGAAAUUGACAAGGUUGGCAUUUUUGGGCAUACUCCAUGCAAUCCUUUACCAUAGAUGGCCAAUAAUAACCCAUUCUUUUUAUUCGGAACUGUAACUUGGGUCCUAACUGAUGGGCGCCACAAAUUCCGGAAUGAACAUCUUCUAUGGCUUGAAUGGCUUCGUCAUCACCUAAACAUCUCAAGAAGGCUCCAUCAAAUGAACGUCUGUAAAGUGUAUCUUUGUAGUAGAUGAAACGAGCCGCACGACGUCGAAUAUCAACUCUCUGACGUCUUCUCGUACUUCAAGUAAUCCACAAAUAAUUGACGCCAAUCUUCUUUCUCAACUUUAAACACGUAGACCACUCGAGUUUCGUUUUCUUCAAUUUCUUGAUCUUCAAAGAUUGGUGGUACGACCCACCUCUUGCAAAUUGAUAUACGAGCACCGUCUUUGGGCAUGGCUAAAGUAGAAGCAAGUUUUGCCAAUGCGUCCGCUUGUUUGUUAUCCUUUCUCGGCACAUGUUCUAUUGUCACAUCACCAAGGUAUCCAAUGAGUCUUUUAGCAUAAUCCACAUAAGGGAGUAGAUCGAGCUUCUUAACUUCGUAUGAUCCGAGUAUUUGAUUGAUCACCAACUUGGAGUCUCCAUAUACCUUCAAGUUUAGUUGCUUUAUAUCCACCGCAAAUUUCUAGCCCCAGGAUAAGAGCUUGAUAUUGAGCAACAUUGUUAGAGCAAUUUUGCAUUAAGGUAAACGAGUGAGGCAAUACUUUACCGUUGGACGUGACGAAUACUACUCUGGUGUCUGCUCCUUCUUUGUUAGAAACUCCAUCAAAAUACAUCUCCCAAUGAGGACUAGAUUCAAUCACAAUAACAUCUUCAUCGGGUAGAUCAUCGGAUAACUCCCACUCUGCAGGGAUAGGGUGAUCUGCCAAGAAAUCGGCUAGAACUUGUCUUUCACAACCUUUUGUGGAAUAUAUGUUAUGUCGAACUGCUGCAAUUGCAGAUACCACCUUGCGAGUCUCUCGAAUAGGACGGGUUUUGACAUGACAUACUUUAGAGAAUUCAACCUUGAGAUUAGACGGACAACAUGUGCUUGAAAAUAAUGCUUCAACUUUUGAAUUGCAAAAAUGAGCGCUAAGCAUAUCUUUUCGAUUGGCGAAAAGUUCAAUUCAUUUGGUGUCAUUGUUCUACUCAAGUAGUAUAAGGCGCUCUCUUUUCCAUCAUCAUUCUCCUGCGCUAGUAAAGCUCCGGCAGAUCGUUCUUGAGUAGCAAUAUAGAGUAUUAACGAUCGUCCAGACACUGGUGCAAUCAACACAGGAGGAUUCGUUAAAUACGAUUUUAUGCUUUCGAAGACACUAGUGCAAGCUUCAUCCCAUUCAAAGGGAACACCUUUCUUCAUGAGUCGGCUGAAUGGUUGACAUCGACCGGCUAAGUUUGAAAUGAACCUUCUUAGGUAUGCCAACUUUCCUUGCAAACUUUUGAGCUCAUGAAUGUUCCUAGGCUCGCGAAUCUUUAAAAUUACAUCAAUCUUGGCUUGUUCGAUUUCUAUGCCGCGAUGACGAACUACGAAUCCAAGAAACUUCCCCGAAGUAACACCAAAUGCACAAUUCAACGGAUUCAUCUUCAAUUGGUACCUUUUCAAGCGCUCGAAGACUUUUCUCAAAUUCUGGAGAUGAUCUUCCCUUCUUUUGGAUUUAACCACCAAGUCAUUCACAUAACAUUCAACAUCUUUAUGGAGCAUGUCAUCAAAUAUCUUAUGCAUGGCUCUUUGGUAUGUAGCACCGGCAUUUUUCAAGUCAAACGGCAUCACUUUAUAGCAAUAGAUACCCUUAGGCGUGCGAAAGGCUGUUAAUUCUUCAUCUUUCGGCGCCAUUCGUAUUUGAUUGUAUAUAGACGACCCAUCCAUAAAUGAUAAUGCUUCGUGGCCCGUAGUAGCAUCAAUCAUUAGUUCGGCUAUUGGCAUUGGAAAGUCGCCUUUAGGGCAUGCUUCGUUCAAAUCUCAAAAGUCGACACACACGCGAAUUUGUCCAUUCUUCUUUCUGACAGGAACGAUACUUGAAAUCCAUGUUGGGUACUUGACUUCUCGAAUGAAUCCAACCUCAAUAAGUUUGUUCACUUUGGCCUCAAUUGCUGGGACUAAUUCAGGUCUAAAUCUACGUUGGCCUUGUUUCAUAGGGUGAGCUCCUUUCUUCACGGAGAGAUGAUGUAUUGCCACUUUUGGGUCCAAUCCGGGCAUUUCUUUAUAAGACCAUGCAAACACAUCCUUGAACUCGUGCAACAAUUAAAUAUAACUCUCCUCUUCGUUGACAUCUAAUAAGGCGCUAAUGUAAAUUGGUCGAGGAUUCUCCAUAUCUCCUAAAUUAAUUUCCUUUAACUCAUCGAUCGUGGCUUUGAUUCCUUCUUCAAGCUCGGGUGGAGCAGUUUCGGCGUCUUCUUUUUCAAUCAUGUCUAUUUUACUUAAAGUGAUAUGAUGCGAUGAUGCCACGCUUUCUCUGUCAUCUUCCUCGUCGUCUUGGAUUUUUGUAAAGACGACAGUUCGCAUUUUAGCCUUCAACUCUUCACCACAUGAUAUGGUCAAAUAAGUACGCCGUUUCAUGCGAGACGGAACUGAACUUCGAAUCCUUCUUAUUUUGGUGAUUUUAGUAUUAGAGACACUCAAAACUUGCGUGUUGCUUUUGUUAUGCCCCCACUUUCUAAGUGGUCCAAGCCUAUCAAAGACAGAUGGCGUAUAUCUAUCAAAACCUUGUUUGUAACCUUUUUCAUGCCCCCACUCUCUAAGUGGUCCAAGUCUAUCAAAUACGGAUGGCGCAAGUCUAUCGAAGACAUAUGGUGCAAGCCUAUCAAAGAUGGAUGUCCUUCUUACUUUUGUUCCAGUUUCAAGAAAGUAGUUUGUUGAUGAGAAUUCAUCUUCGAUUAUGUAAUUACUGGUAGCUCUAUUGAUAGCAAUACGAAUUGGCUUUUGUGGAACAAAUCCAAGACCAACUCGAGGACUUUGAAUAGUAUGUCCCUUUUUCUUUCAACAUUAUUUGAGUAGUAUUGAGGCCAUGCACCUUUUCGCCAACAACUUCGGCAGGAAGCUUGCCAAGUGUAGAAUCUUCACGUGGGUUGAAACCGGCUUUUACUAAGAGUUUAUAAGCUUUUGGGCCAAAAUUUUUUUUCAUUUGGGACUCGGAGAAUUCUUCGCAUUCCUCUUGGGUUCCUUCUGUGGGACGAACAAAUCCUUUAGGUGGUUGAGAAGUUGAUCGCUUCUCAUCAAUUGGUGUUAGGGGCAACAUCAAAUCUUUCAGAGCCUCACACGCUAAAGGAGCCUUGUCUUGAUUAUUUCUUCGCUUUGGUUCUUCAACUGGUAUAAUUUUUUUGUCCUAUACCGUCUUUUCAUCAUCAAGAUAGUACUUAGCAUCGGCAAAGUGGGCUUCUGCCUCGGUGAAUGGUUUCUCAUCGGCGAGUAUUAUUUUAACUACUCCGUCUCGACAAUACUUGAAACAUUGGUGCCAAGAAGAAGGAACCACACUAUUCUCAUGUAUCCAAGGUCGCCCGAGAAGCAUGCCAUAUGAGGUUCUUGCACCAAUGACAUGAAACAGUGUGCUGGACAAUAUAUCAUCCAUUAACAACUCUAUCCUUAUGAUACCAAGGGCCCUUUGUCCUUCUUGAUUAAAUCCUUGGAUCAUCAAGCGAUUAGUUUUGAGCUCAUCCAUGGAGAUCCCCAGUUCCUUUAAAGUGUGCAACGGCAAAAUGUUGACUGCAGAACCUCCAUCAAUUAAAAUUAUAUUCAUCUUCUGCUCACGAGCGUAGCCGGAAACAAACAAUGGCCUAUUGUGUGGUUUGGAACCAAGAAGUAAAUCUUCAUCAGCGAAAGUCAUUGUUGACAUGCAUUUACCGAUCACGGUACAAACUUCAUUUGGAGAUGGAUUCGUUCCACUUGCAACAAGGGGCUCUAAAGUGCUGACGAUAAAAUUUGUCGUGGCGCUGAUCUCUUCAAGUGAUAUCUUCCCUUGGCGAGCUAGCUGCAUAAUUCUAUCUUUGAAUACGAAGCAAUCAUGAAUUGGAUGCCCGACUAGUCGAUGAUACUUGCAGUAUUUUGGGUCAUCGGUCUUGCUAGCUUCUUCAGGGCGCUUCACUUCAGGUAACUCGAUAAGUUUUAAACCUAGCAAAUCGUCAAAUAUUCCAGCCACGUCAGUGUCGAGGAACGGGUACUCCCUUGCUUGCAUUUCUUUUAGGGUAAGUCUUCUUUCUCUUCUUUCUUGGGAAAAAUCUUGUUUUUCCUCAUUGUUUCCGUUCACUUUUCUUGAAAUUUGAUAGGGGUUGCAUUCACUGCUAAAGAUUCUUUGCUUGAGGUCUUAGAGAAAACUCUACCCCCUUUGCGAAAGUCUUUUUUUUCUUUCGACUGUCGAGGCUCUUGAACUGGUGGUCCCUCAACUCCACUAGCCAUAAUGCUCAACUCCAUGUCGUGCGCUCUAGUGGCCAACUCUUCAAAAGUCUUAGGUUGAAUCCCUUGCAGGAUAUAUCGGAGUCCCCAUUGCAUUCCUUGAAUGCACAUCUCGAUAGCUGAAGCCUCUAACAAUCGAUCAUUGCAAUUCAGGCUUAAAUUCCUCCAACGGUUAAUGUAGUCAAUGACGGCCUUUUCUUACCACUGGCGAGAGUUCGUGAGCUCAAUCAUGCUCACUGUUCUUCGGGUGCUGUAGAAGCGAUUCAAAAAUUCUUGAUCCAUCUGACUCCAACUAUUAAUUGAGUUCGACUCUAGUUCUGUAUACCAAUCGAAAGCAUUCCCCUUCAAUGAUCGGACGAAUUGUUUCACGAGAUAGUCUCCAAAAGUUCCAGCAUUGUUACAAGUUUCAACAAAAUGUGCCACAUGCUGUUUUGGGUUGCCCUUGCCAUCAAAUUGCUGAAAUUUCGGGGGUUGGUACCAAUUGGCAUCUUCAAGUCGUCUACUCUUAGAGUGUAUGGCUUGGUGUAUGUUAACGAUGAAUUUCGAUCCCUCAUCGAAUUUGUCCUUAAUAGUCCUCAUGUUGAACUCCUUCAAUUGGUCUAUAGGAAUUAACCCCUCUGACGAAAUCUGGAAUUCUUCAACUGGGCUCUUCUCCCUUUCGAUUGGAUGUCACCUUGCAGAAGUUUCAGCUUCGGUGUGAUUUUCACCUUGUUUUCCCAUGUCGUGACUACCGUCAACCUUGUUCCUCAACAUCGCGAUUUGGGAGUCUUGUUCUUGAAUGUGCUUUGUUAGCCCUUCAAUGGCCUUGGUCAAGAUGGCCAUUUUCUCCUCCAUGGUCGUAGUAUGUGUUGUCAUGACGGUGGCCACAUCAGAGUAGUUUGAUGUUGAACGGGACCUGGAUGAUGAAACUUCUCCUCUAGAUCCUUCCACGCCUCCACCUAUGUUGACGAGAAGUGACGAGCCUUUCUCAAUGAUUUGGGGUGUCGAGCUAGUCUCGGAGGAUGCCUGCAGUUUCUUAGUCAUACUGCUUGUAACUACGCCCACACUUGAUGAAUUCAAAGUAACACCCUUCAUUGCGAGCAGUUAUCGCAACACUUCGAGGAUCUUCGAGAGAGAGAGAAGAGAUGAGAGCUAGAAAUGUCCCACUGGGCGUGCCAAAAUUUGUAACAAAAAAUUCUUAUCUGCGAUAUAAACAAACAAGAAAAAUUGAACAAAGAUAUUUUUUAUUGAAUUAAAAUAAAUAAAUUGCGGGUUACAAUCUCUAUUUUAAUCCUCUGAUUCUUUUCUCUAGAACAGUAUAUAGUUGACUUGAAUUUUCGGAGUCGGAUCGUUGACUUGAUCUUCUCCGGAUUUGAUUUUGGAUUUGAAUAACGUUUUCCAAGGGUCUCGCAACUUGAAUCUCGGAUCGAACGUUGAACUUUGACUAAAUUUGACUUGAAGAUCUUGAAAUUCUUGAUGGAUUUGGCCCUUGAAUCUUCCAAUGAUCUUGGCUUGAAUUGAUUAACGUUAAUCCGAAGGUUUAUCACCGUUAUCUCGGAUCGAACGCUGGAUUUGAUGAAGAACACCUUGAAUUUGCUCAAGAACACCUCGAAUAACGAAUAACACUUUGAAUGUAGAUAGAGAAUCUUACCUCCUACGAAUUCUUCUUCCUUGCUUCUUCAAUUGUAGAGAGAAUUUUCUCCUACGGUUUUUUUUUUCUUGAGUUGUGUUUGAAUUGUGAAUGGAGGGUCCCUAUUUAUAGUGGUAGAACAAGAGUCCUUGAUGGACCUUCUUGAUGACAUGGCGCGAUUUGAUUGGCCUGAUUUAAAUUGAUAUUUAUCUCUUGGAACUUGAAAGAGAAGAAAUAAUUCUAUUGGCCAAUAAUUAAUUGAUAUUUAUCUCUUUAUAACUUGGGGGAGAAGAAAUAAUUCUAAUGACCAAUAUAUAUAUUUAAAAUCAAUUAUCUAUUUAAAUUUGGAAUAGAGAUAUAAAAGGGAUGAACUUAUUGGCUCUAUAAAAAUUAGCAAUUUAAUUGUUUGAAAAUUCGUUCGUCUACAACAUAUUAAAGGGAUGAACUUAUUGGCGAAAGAGAUAUAACCCCUGAACCUAGAAUAAUAAAGAUAACCAGUUUGGGACUUAUGCACAAGAUAACCCCCAAGGCGAUGCUUAGUACCGCCCCUAUUCCUACCCAUUCAUACUGAUUCUCACAUCCAUCAGAGAUGGUCUAAGGUGGGGGAGGGAGUGAGUAAGUUUGACCCUAUCAAUCCUCUGCCUUUCAUUAAAAUAAAUUAAAAGCCCUAAUUAUUUUCUUCUUUUUCCUUUUUCCCGCAAUUAUUCUCUUAUUCCUCAAGGGCGGAGUCAGAGAAUUUUGGGUGGGGGGCUAGAAAUUUUUUUAUGUGCUAAAAGUGUAUAAAAUGUUAACCUCGGAAGCUAAACACAUAAACUAAUAAAUAAGUGACACAUUAAUAUAAAAAAAAUAAUACAAAAUUUUGCAGAUCCCCCUCCCUUUUAGUUUUUGUGAAUACAACGUUCCAUCUUCUCUCUCAAAAAUAUGAAACUGCUCGAAAAUAUCUCCACCGAUUUUUCUUCACCCAAAUCAGUACACUCACCGGAAAUCAGAGCAAGUCACUACGAUUUUCUAAAAAUACUUUCAUCUAGUUGAUUGUGGAGCAAUUUCACCUACAUCGUUCGAAGUUACAGUCAAAUUUGCAAAAAUACAGUCAAACUCUGUGAAACCCUAAUCGAACGAACUUUGUAAGUGUUUUCUAACAUUAUAUUGUACAAAUGUUUGUUUUGUGACAUAAAUACUGCACUUGUGUAUGUCUUUUCAUUAAUAGGGUUCAAUUUUCUGCAUUGACAGUAAUUUUGCCUGCAUGCACAAAUUUGUGUGUGUGCUAUUGUACUACAUCUGAUAGUAUUUUUCUUAUACACAAGCCCCUUCUUGAAUAGUUGUUUGUCUGUGUGUUAUUUUCCUGCAUUUGACAGUAUUUUUGUUAUACACAAGCCCCAUGUUAAAUACCUGUUUGUCUGUGUGUUAUUUUCCUGCUCUGACAUUAUUUUUGGGAUACGCAUGCCCCCUGUUGAAUAGUUUUUUGUGUGUGUGCUAUUGUCCUGCAUCUGACAGUGAUUUUGUUAUACACAUCCCCUGUUGAAUAGCUGUUUGUCUAUGUGUUAUUUUUCUGCAUUUGACAGUAUUUUUGUGAUACACAUGCCCCUGUUGAAUAGAUGUUUGUCUGUGUGGUAUUUUGCUGCAUUUGACAUUAUUUUUGAGCUGGUGCUGCUCUCCACUGUCGCUUCAGCUUUAGUGUCAAACAAUGAGGACAAAAGCUAUAGCACGUACUUUUUUUCCUUCCUUGCAAUUCAUAUUUAGUUUUUUUAAAUAUAGUAUAUAUCCGUUUUCAAUUCGCUUAUUUAUUGUUAUACUUUGUUCCUCCCCUCAAAUCGUACAAAAACCAAAUGACCAAAUCCACUUCGGGUGUAUGUCGCGGAAACAAUGGUAAUUAAAAAAUAUUUAUUUACCAAAAAUAUAUAAAAUAAAAUAAAGGAAACUAUGUAUUAUAAAAAACAUUAACAUCUAAAAGUGAACAAACAAAACUGCAGGUAAAAGGUGUUGAAGCAGUUGUCAGAGAAAGUAAAUUCAUGAGAAUCACGCAAUAUGCAACACUUGAAAAAGUUGAGGAUUCACCUCAGCAAGAGGACGACAAGGAGGAUUGCGGGAUAUUUUUACUAUAUAUCAUUAGACAAUACUUCCGUCAACAACCAGUGGACAAGUUGGAUGCUAAAAAAAACAUUAAGAAUUUCAGAAUGAAACUAGUUAUCUUAUUCCUUAACAACAAAAACAUUGUUAGUCACAUAGUUAAGCGGUCAAAACAUUCUGAUAGGCUUAAUGUAAUGUAGGUUGAAAUGUACUGUUAAGUUUUUGUAGUAUGAUACUCUAUGGUUGUAGGUUUAAAUGUAUUGUUAAGUUUUUGUAGUAUGAUACUCUAUGGUUGUAGGUUUAAUGUACUGUUAAGUAUUUGUAAUAUGUUACUCUACGUACUUUAUGUUUAAACGUGCAACAAAUAUAUUGCUGCCAAUACAAGGUGUCUGAGUUUUUCACUGUUCAAAUUGCUCAAAAACUAAUAAGUUACUGUCACUGACGGUAAUAGAACAUAUUUUAGUGGUGAGAAACGUGUGUUUCUGGCUUACUCCAAUAAUACUUGAAACCAUACUCUCCCUACAUGUCACAUUAUUUUAACUCCAUAUAGUAUAGUAUUAUUCUGAAUUUGAAAAGAUUGUACUUACAAUUCAUACAUAAUGUACCUGUUGUAGACAGUAAUAUAGAACCAUGCAAAAGAAAAUUACAUGAGUUAAACAAAAAUAAUUGUCACUGACAGUAACAUAGAAUUACUCAAGAAAAUUACUGAAACAAUAUAAGUGUCACUAAGAGUAACAUAGAAUUACUAUAACAAUAUAACUGUCACUGACAGUAACAUAGAACUACUGAAGAAAAUUACUGAAACAAUAUAACUGUCAUUGACAGUAACAUAGAAUUACUGAAGAAAAAUACUGUAAGCAUUCAUAUAUGCAAUCCCAAAACAGUCAAAAAACAAAUAAUAGUAGUUCUUCAAAUAGCUUUGUUGCAAGUUUUCUUGUUGUGGUGACCAAUUUCAUUACAUUUUCCACACUUGAUCUUCUCCUUGAUAUUCUCACCGCGAGAUGGAAUUCUCUUCUUUUUUGGUCUUCCAUUUCGUGUCUGCCAAACUAGAGGUCCAACAACUGGCUGCUCAACUUUUGUAAAGUCCACCAUAAAUGGGUAAAUCGAAAAAGAAUAAGUAGAUCUGAAAUUGCAGGCAUAAAAUAAGGGGUCAAUGUACCCACAUCGUUCACCGGUGGGGAUAUUUUUGAGAACCACAGCCACAUGACAGCAAGGGAUUCCUUUAAGCUUCCAAUCCCGACAUGUGCAUGUUCUAGCAAACAAAUCCACAAUCUCGUGAGGGUCUAAAUGCACUUCAAAGACAGUCUGAUUCGAUUUUCUAACAGUUCAUGUCCUCCCAUUUUCAUCAAAAGCCCUUUAAAUAUUUUCCAUCUUUGGACAAAGGAUCGUAGUCCAAACACUCGCUUCUGCAGACCUCUCGCAAAUUUUAUCCAUUAAAUAACCCCUAAUGAUGUCAAUCAUAUGGGUAAUCGAUAAAUGUCGGAAUUUCGUUACUGUACCAUCCCAUGAUUCCACAACAUUCGAAUACAACUCACCAUACCUAUGCCCCUCAAAAUACGCAUUUGUCCAAUUUUCAAAAGGCAAAUCUGACAGAAAAUCAACAACUUUCCUUCAACCAUCAAUUUUAAAUUUCUAAAGUUUCUCAUGAAAGAUUUCCUUAGUGGGAGCAUACACGCAUGCUAUCAACUGACUAACUAGAAUAUCUCUAUAACUAGAGCUCAUUCCACUCAACUUAUACCUCAAAUUAGUCUCUAAAUGAAAUAAGCAGAAUGAAUGGUGACAAUUAGGGAAAUAUUUCUCACAACUUCCAAUAUAUCGUGCUGCCGAUCGGAUACGAAUGUCAGAACACGAUCUGAGCUAAUGCAACAUCUUAAAUCUUUCAUGAAACAAUCCCAGUUUGAAUCAUUUUCCUCAUGCACAACGGCGAAUGCCACUGGAUAAGGACCUGAAACAACGUAAAUCAAUGUAAAAAAAACUUGUCAUUUCAUGAACACCUGUUCUGUAAGAGCCAUAUAAAACUAUAUGUGAUAGGAAUAUAACCUUAAUACACUAUCUUUAACAGUAACAGAUAUAUGUGGACUGAAACAAAGAAUGCAAUACAACAAAAUUACCAUUUCUUGCAUCUUUCGUGAUGGCGCUCAAAAGAAUACCUUUGUAUCUACCCUUCAGAAAAGUACCAUCCAAAAAAAGAAUCGGACAGCAAAACUUAAAUCCAGAUAGACAAGCACCAAAACUGAAGGAGCAACGAUUGAACAAGUUAUACUUCUCAUCAACUUCUAGGUGAAUGAUAUUGUCUGGAUUGCAACGCCCAGCUUCUUCAAAAUACGCCUUGAGGUACGAAUAAGAUAUUCCAUCAUCUCCAAAUACAAAACUUCAACUAGAUUCCAUAGCUCUCCAUGUUGUAUUGUAGUUAAUAUCAAUCCCAUACUUCUUUUUUGCUUCAUGAAUAACGUCGUUAAGACACAUCAGCGGCUUAUCCCGAAUACCCUCCAUGAUUAAAUCAGCUACGAGCUUAAUGCUCAUUCUUACCUUCUUGACAGCACUAGACAACUCACACGUGUGGUUUUUCUCGUACAUGCGAAUAAUACAAUAUUCGGUUGAAGGUUAAAUUGUAGCAUGAAUUCUCCACAAACAGUUAUGCGACUCUCUAAGCUUACAAACUGCAGUCACUCUCUACGUAUCGUUUUUGAUAAAAUCGAAUCCAAAUCCAAGCUCAUACGGAAACUAAGCCAGACAUAUUCUAAAUUAUGAACGUCCACCACGAAAAAAUUGUCCGACAUCGGUUAUCAGAUUUAUCCAAUGUGAGCUAAGCAAAGUUUUUUGGGGGCCAAUGGCACGUAAUGGGUUGCAUGGGGGAGUAACUACCGCUUCAAAUGCAGCGAGAGGUAGCACACUGGAUGAACCUACCAUAGAGCUGUAACUAGUAUCGGAUGUACCGAGAGAUACAUGAACUUCCUUCACAACAAUUUCAAUCCUUUGAAUCAACCAUUGUUCCACAAUAAUAAAUAACCCUUUUACAUCUUCAUCAUCGUUGAUUGAAAAAACACCAAUCUCAGGGAUAAAGUACGAUAAUGACAUGUUAUCAACACUUCAAGAAUUCCAUCUUGAACAAAAAAAAUGCACAAGAUUGGAAAAACUCAUGCCUCUUGUAAAAUUUGUGAUCGAACAAAAUUCACCAUAUCUCAACAACAACACAAUUGAACUAGUCAUCCUGCAAGUUUAUAUAAAACAUAAUUACAAUGUUAAUAACAGUCACAUUACUAAUACAUCCAGUAAAUCCGCGUAUACAUUCAAUUAUACUGCCAAUGACAGCAACAUUAUAUAAACACUUGCAAACAAACAUAGCAAAACAUAAUUACACUGUUAAUAAUAGCCACAUUACUAAUACAUCCAAUAAAUCCGCGUAUACAAUCAAUUAUACUUUCAAUGACAACAACAUUAUAUAAACACUUGCAAACAAACAUAGCAAAGCAUAAUUACAUUGUUAAUAACAGUCACAUUACUAAUACAUCCAGUAAAUCCGCAUCUACAUUCAAUUAUACUGCCAAUGACAACAACAUUAUAUAAACACUUGCAAACAAACAUAGCAAAACAUAAUUAUACUGCUAAUAACAGUCAAAUUACAUAACCAACCAGCGAAAUAACAUAUACAUUCAAUUAUACUGUCAAUAACACCAACAUUAUAUAAACACUUCCAAAAAAACAUAGCAUGAAAACAAAAAUACAAAAAAAAAAAACAAUAAUGCAAACAGACAUUGAAAGCCCAUACAUCAUGGUGUUCAAUUUACUACAAUUCAAACUAUACAUAUCUCGAUGUUGACAUUUGUAAUUUAAAAAAAAAACAUUCGCAGAUCAAAAAAUUUGACACACCUUCCUUGAAAAUUAUACUACAGCAGAUAUGAUCGGCGAUAAAAGCUGGAGAGGACGGCCGGAUAACAGUGAGAUCCGAUGUGAACCAGGUAGAUGUAGCUCAGUUCCAAGAUUUAGAGGUAUAGAAAGGAAUUCGUUAGAGACGAGACAAGAAUCGCGCAUAAAACAUGAAAAACGGGCGUAGGGAUUUCAAUUUUCAGUUUAUAUACAUGUGUAAUUAUGUCCGAAAAAAUACCCUUGCCCUGAUUUUAAUAAACUUUUAAGUAGUGGGUUUUUUUUGCAAGACAAAAAAAACUGGAUUUCCCUUUUUUAAUUAAGUCUAUGUGUCAUGGGUCUAUUUGCCAUUUACCCAAUACUUAGAACAUAGAAGUAACAUGAUGUGUUGUUUGGUUUUAUUACAUCAAGGAAUCUCAACUUCUAUAUGCAGGGGUGCAUCCAGACAAUAUUGUAAGGGGGCGAUUUUUUUCGGAAAUAAUAUAUGUAGGUAGGUUAAUUUUUCGGGUGUUAAUUUGGGGGCAGCAUUCCCGGGUUAAUUUCUUUUAGAGUUAUUCAAAACAAAUUGCUAAAAUUAGUAUAUAUUUAUAAUAUUUAGUUAAAAUCUAUGAAUUUUAGUUGUAUUAUUUUAUAUUGUCAUAACAACUAAAAAAAUAUCUAAAUUUACACAAGAGAAUAGAGAAGAAUUAUUUGCGGGGGCAAAAACACAUAUUUAUAAAUAUUAUGCCAAAAAGUAAUUAAAAAAAUUGGUUUUAUUUUUUCUUGGAGGGGUGGUUGCCCCUUCCUUGUUACACCAUUGUCUAUAAUCUAUAUGUCUACAUCGAUGUAUAUUUAUUUGUAUAGGUUUUGUAGAGUAUAGGUUUGGUGAUAGACGAAGAAAGAGGUGAUUUGAUUUUUAACAUUUGUUAUAAAUUUGGUUUAUCCGAAAUGCCUAAGUUGGCAUCUUUUGUUUCAAAUUCCAAUUGCAAAUACAAGAUUAUCAUUUCCCUCAGAUUUGGCUGCUCCAAGGUGUUUUUGGGGAUGCCACUGUCGUAGAAAAUGGAGAAGGAAGAAGAGAUUAAAUGGAGGGAAACAAGGAAGAACAAAAAAAUUUAGUAAUUUUUAGGUAUUUGAAAACGCAAUUAUACCCCUACAAAAAUUAUUAAUGUUAUUUUGAAAUAAUGCUUGAAAUAGAUGUUGAGUUUUGGAUAUUCUGAGAGAGGAGAGAGCGUUUUUUUAGGGGUGCUCAUAAAUUCAAACUGUAUCAAACCGUACCGGAAUUUCUGUACGUAAAAAGAUUGUACGGUUUACCGUAUCGAACUACUCCGUUCGCUAUAUUUUUUUACCGAAUUAAUUUGGCUUUUUCAGUUCGAUACCGGUAAAAUUGAAAACAUAUUUUUUUUUAAAAGGGGAAAUAUGCAAAACCCCCCUCAAACGAAAAAUAUUAUGAGUUAAACUCAUUUGACUUUUUAGACUUUUGCCCACACCCAAAGGUCAAUCUUAAUUAGUGAAACCCCCCUCAACAACUGUGAUAAGACGAAACUACCCUUAUUAGUAGUUUUUAAAAUAAUUGCAAUAUUUUAUUUUCCAUAACCGUCUCACGUGAUUGUAGGAUUACAUUAAUUCUCUCUUUAUAUCUUCCAUAUCUCUCUUUCAUUCUCUCUUUCUCACGCAACUUCUCUCUUUGUUUUUUUUUUUUUUUGUUCUUCUUCAGAUCUAUAAUCCUCCAUGACUCGACAAUGGAGACAACUCAGCUGCACAUGGCGUCAGCGCCGGGUUUCGAUUCUCCUUCCGAAGAGCGGACGGAAAAAGAGGAGAAAAAUCAAGUUUUUGAGACGUAGCAGUUUUCGUGCAAAGGCUAGAUCGGAAGAUCAACCCGUCGGAUCGGCUUGAUAUUUCUAUACAGGAUUCAUAACACAACAAUAUAAUUUAUGAAUGGUGGAGAUCGGAAUCAAAAUUCUCUAAAUAUAGAUCGGAUCUUAAAACUUGCUGUUGAUUUUUUGUUACUGAAUAAUUCAGGGCAGCUAGAUUGGACGCGUUUUUCGUGAAAUUGAACAGUUGGAUGUGGCAGAAAUUUGGAUAGAGUAUUUGGAGUAUAUAUUUUUAUAUAUUGUACUGAUGAGAUUGAAUUUGGUGCAUUCUAUCUCCGAAUAUAAAUUGUGAAAGUAUCACAAUUUGGUGAGCUUUUUUUCAUUUUUUAGUCUUCACUUUUUAGAGAUUUUCCAUUUACAUUUUUUUAGGGUUAUUUGUGUUUGAUUUUGAUAUUCCAAUUGUUGUAAAUUAGGCAUUUUUUUUUUGUUGAAAAGAUGCAGUUUGAGCAUUAUUGAAUAUCUGAUGAGGAAACUUCGGAAUAAAUGGUGGCGGUGGCUAUGAAAUGCACUAAUGAAAAUGGAGCAACUUGCAAGCCAAAUGCCAAGAAUUUGUUUCUUAGUCAUAUACAUAAUAGUCAUAUGUGAUCACAUAUAUAGUCAUAUUUAAGUUUGGUAAUUGUUUCUGUGUGUUUCGAUUUCUUUUUAUUUUUUUGUUUUAAUUUUUUUUUUUCUACGAAUGUGAACAUAUAGUUUCAGAUUUAAGGAGCAACAAUAACAUGACUAUAAUCAUAUUCGAAUAUGACUAUUGUUGAAUAUGACUGUAGUCAUAUUCGAAUAUGUUCUAUCUUCUCGUUUCAAGAUUCAAAUUGUGAUUUUCUUUUUGUGGAUGUUGAUUGGAUUGUUUUCUUAAAUAAUAGGUAAUCUUCGUUUUCUUUAUAUAAUUUGAUAAAUAUGAUUGUACUAGACUAUAUAAUCAAAAAUUUUAAAUUGAAAAUGUAAAAAACUGCAAUAUAAAUCAAGAAUAUGACUGUAGUCAUAUUCGAAUAUGACUAUUGUUGAAUAUGUUCUAUCUUCUGGUUUUCAAGUUGACUUCUAAUAACAAGAUUCAAAUUAUGAUUUUUUUGUGUGGAUGUUGAUUGAAUUGUUUUUUUAAAUAAUAGGGAAUCUUCAUUGUUUUAUAUGAUUUGGUAAACAUGACUAUGUCAUAUAAUCGGAAUUUUUAAGUUCAAAAUGUAAAAAAUAACAAUAUAAAGAAAGAAUAUGACUACAGUUUAUAGUCACACAUAGAUAUAGUCAUAAUCAACUAUAGUCAUAUUCGGCGUUGCAAACUUGUCGAUAAAAAAUUUCAAUUUUUUGUUUAAAUUUAAAAAAAAAAAAUUAAUAAUAUUUUUAUUAAAAAAUAUUAAAAAUAAAAAUAAAUAAAAAAUGGCUAAAUAAAGUCCGAAAAUAAUAUAAAAAUAAAAAAUAAAAAAUAAAGUCCGAAAGUACUUUUUUUUUUUUGAUUUGGUAGCAAUUUAUUAGAAUGUUGAACCAUAUUUUUAGAAAUUAAAUUGUUGUUAUGGAAAGAGAGAAAAAAUGAAUAAUUGAGAUAAAUUAUACAAAUUAAUCCUAAUUAGCGGGAGUUAGGUGCCUCAUUAAUAGGAAUUUUGUAAAUACUGGGGAUAAUUAUUAAAAAAAACGUGACGGGUAGUAUAAGGGUAAUAUUGAAAAUAAAUAUUCUAGGGGGUUUUUGAAGAAUUAUGGUAUGAACAUAUACCAUUUUUUAUCUAUAGGAGGGGUGUAUUGCUAAUGACCCCUAUUUAAAAAGGUAAAAACAAAUAUUUAAGCUAAUUAAUUCUUGAAUUUGACAUUCAAGUUUCAAUAAUCCGCCCUAAAAAAAAAAAAAAAAAAAGUGAUUAUCAAUAGAGGCUAAUUUAGAAAUAAUGGAAAAAAUUAUCAAUAUAAUAUAUAAGCAUUUAUAAUUUGUUAACCUUCAAGGAUUUAAAAUAAAAGAAUUCUUUUUAAAAAAUAUUUAUGUAUUCGGUACGGCACGGUGUACCGGACAUCAAAUCCAUAUGCCGUACCGAAUCCCGGAAUUCAAAAAAUAAAUUACCGAAUACCGAAUCAAAUUUUCGGUUCGGUGCGGUUCGGUAACUUUACUGACCGAGUGAACACCCCGACGUUUUAUCCUGACAUAGGGACGAUUACAACUAUUCGUGGUCCAAAAAAUACCAAUUGAACAGAACACCUAAAUUUUGAAACUACUUCACACAAGAUCUUUAAUACCAAAAAUAUCACCCGACCUGUACAUGGGUGAAAUUUGGCAACAUGAACGUCAGAUAUAUUAGAAAAUAUUGACGUCGAAAAUUUUCAGAAAAGCAAAAUAAAUCCAAAAAUUACUAAUCCUACUCUAAUUUUUCAUUUUCCAGCAAGCAAGUAUAUCAAUUAAUGGGCAGAUAAAGUGAGAAAUAUACGAGAAUUGUGAUUUGUGAUGUAGGAUCAUCAAAGUAUAGAAUAAAGUGACCGAUAAUGGUCACACUAAUGUAAUAUGAUAGAUACAAGAAACAUAAUAUAAUUAUGCAUACAAGUUCAUAUUUGGUUAUUUAUGAUAAGGAACAGCAAUGAGUGGUGUUUCUUUCCUCAUAACAAUCCCAAAUUUCUCCGACAAGUCAAUCUUUUGUCCCUCUGGCAACCCCCACUCGUACGUAUGAACGAGUGUUGCCAGCAAAUACAUUACCAUCUUCUCAGCCAACGGAAUACCAGGGCACACCCUUCUCCCCGACCCGAACGGAAGAUACUCAACGUUGUUUCCAAUGAAAUCAAAUUUUUCAGAGUUAUCAUUCAAAAAUCUCUCGGGUUGAAAUAUUAAAGGAUUCUCCCAAACAUGCGGGUCCAUGUGGAUUGACCACAUGUUCAAGAAGACCCUUGACCCCUUUGGGAUUGUGUGCUCUCCGAUUGGGCAAGAUUCACUCGGAUACCUUGGAACGACGAGUGGCAAUGGAGGAUGUAGGCGGAAUGUUUCCUUUACAACCGCUUCGAGAUAGUGCAGUUUCGAUACGUGGGAUUCUUCAACGACGUUGUUCGCUCCUACAACAUUUGUUACUUCUUGCUGCACUUUUUGCAUUAUACUCGGGUUGUGCAAAAGCUCGGUCAUCACCCACUCGACCAUCGUUGCCGUAGUAUCGCUCCCGCCGGCAACAAUAUCCUGUAAUCAAAGAGCAUAUUUUAUGUCAUUUCAAUGAAAGAGAAUCACAAAAAGAGUUACAUUGUUAGCUUCAAAGAGUAUAUUUGUCUGACUUUGGAUCACAAGAGGGUUUAUGCCUAUAAAAAUGAUUAGCAAUUUUUUUUCUUCAAAUUUGAACACAAAAAUUUGAAUUUCUCCUAUAUAUUCAAGAAACAACAGAACUAGGGGCACGCAUAAUAAGCAAUAGAGGUUAGCACCAAUCAAGCUCGAGUGGCUUGAUUUUAAUCGAUUCCCGACUCAACGAUCGAGUUUCAAAUCAUAUCAAUAACAAAAGUAUACGUGUUGAAGUUUGUUUCGUUAUGUUAACAAAUCAAGUCCAAACAAGCUUUUACUGAACGGUGUCGAAUCUAGCAUCGAGUAAAUUAAGAGACAGAGGGCAAACCAACAAGAAAAUGAAAUGAAGGAAAGUGGAGAAAAUUACCAUCAAAAUCGCCUUGAUUUGAGUUAAACCAAAUGUUGAGCCUUCUCCGAGUUGCUUAUCCUUGAGCUCCAAAAGAAUUCCCAUAAAGUCCUUACUCCUUUCUUCACCCUCCAUACCACCACCAGCCGCCAUGCUCUUCACUUUCGCAUCGAUAAAACAAUCCAAAAUUCGUUCCACCUCAACCACCACACCCCUCAUUUCUUUCGCGAUUCCCUGCAAAUCAAACCUAGCCAAAACCGGAAAAAAAUCGGAAACGUUAGGCUUUCCCAACAAAUCGACGAGUUUCGAAAUAUGAACCCGAAACUUGUCUCCAAGCCUGCUUCGCUUCGUGGGGUCCAUCUCACCUCCCCAGAGCAAGCUCAUCAGUACAUGGAGCUCUGUCAGGAAAAUUAGUUCGCCAAUUUGAACGGGACUCCCGAUUUGUGUAUCGAGAUUCCCGAUAAGCUUCCGCACUUCCUCCGUGCGGAAAACAUUCGAAGCCUGGAGGUUGGUGUUGCUCAUCAUCUCACGAACGAACAGCUUCCGUAUGUCGCGCCAGUAGGGACCGUUUGCGGUCCAGACGAUGUCGUACCCACCCGUGGCGACUAGUGCUGCAACCGGCGGGUCCCGGUUUGCGAAAAUGGAGUCUUGAUCGCGAACUAUCUGCUUUAUCAAGGAAGGCGAACUUACAACGACACAGAGUUUGCUGCCGAGCCAGAGGCGGUAAAUGGGGCCGUACUGGCGAGACAAUUGUGUGAACUGGUGGUGCAAGUUGUGUUUGAGAAACGGGAGGUAUCCGAGAAUCGGAAGGCCGUAUGGUCCGGGCGGAAGUGGUGGCUUUGUUCCUGUUUUUGAGUUGCCGAGUACUACUAUCCAUGAGUAACAAAAUAGGGACGCUAGAAGAAAAAAGAAGGUGAGAGCAGCAAGUCCAAGCUCAUAUUCCAUUAUGUUUUUUUCUUUGUUGCGACAAAUUACUAUUGUUAAGUGCAAGGAAUAUAUGCUAGAAAUAAGAAUUAUUAUAACAAAAUAUGAGGAUAUGAAAGACUAAAUAUGUGGCUUGGAAACCAAACGUUGGAAGAUAGAAGACGGCGAGAGCAGUAAGUCCAAACUAAGGGUUCAUUAUUAUGCUACAAUUAGGAUUCAAACCAGGUUCAUUAUUACACUAACCACUAGAACAUGUAUGUUUUUUUGUACAACUAGGAAGAUGCACGUGCACUGCACGUGUCUACUAAAAUAUUUUAUUAAAUUUUAUUUUGUAUAUUGCGUUUGAUACAUUUUUCCUAUAAUGUUAUAAUUUCACAAUAUUAAAUCAAUAUCUUCAAAUAAAAUAUUAAAAAUCAACAAUAGAAUUUUACGUUAAAAGUCCUAGAAGAGGCUAUGAUCAAGUCAAAAUGUUCAAAAUUGAAUAAUCAGUGUGAGCGAGAUUUUAUGUCACCAUAAGGAGUUACCAUGUUGCAAAUCUUAACUUUGUAAAAGGUUAAAUGAAAUCUUAUAAUUUAAUUUAACAUUUAAAAAAAAUCAAAUAUACGAACAUAAAUAAUUCUAAAUUAAUAUAUCAAUAUUGUUGACUCUAAAAUACAAAUUAUUAAUUAUAUGAAUGAUUAAAACAAAAAGUAAAUUAAUUUUAACGUGAUGUAUAAUAAGAAAAUAUACAAAAUAAAAAUAAAUAUAGAAAAUAGAUAAAUAAUAUUUAUUUUAACAAAACUACUUGACCUACAAAUGACGUCUUUAUUAAUUCAUAUUCAGAGCUAACGAAAUGAUAACUAAUACCUAAUAAUGGAUACAUAUUUGUGACAAUUUCAGAACAUAGUAAUUAUCUUGACAUAUUGUUUAAGUUCAUGUUCAUUAGGAUUGCCAACUGGAUUAUGUGAACCAAGUUUGGAUUGGCUCAAGCUCACAUAUUAUCUAUCAUCAGGUCUUAUUACUAUGGGCUCAAAUUAGGCUCAAAUAAUAUUUUUUCAGGCUUCAGGUUUAUAUCGGGCUUAUGCAUCCAAACGUGUCCCCCUUCGACUUAACCGUGCUUAAUUUCUUCCAAGAGGUCCAUGCCAUCCUUUUCUCAGUACCAACCCCCACCAAAAUCUUUUAAUCGCCGACUCCAACUCCUUGAGCAAGCCAUGCUGUAAGGUGAAGCAACUCAUCAUAUAUGAUGUGAUUGAUUGUAGAACGGCUUUAAUGAAAACUUUUUUCCCUGCUUCAGACAAAUGUUUUUCACCCCACGCCUUGAUCUUGGCCAACAAACGAUCUCUGAGAAAUUGAAAAAUAUCCUUUGUUGAUUUUCGUAAGAUGGCAUGCCAAGGUAUAUUUCGUGACGAUCCACCACCCUAAAGACCAACAUAUUUUGUAUAGUUUCUUUCAUUGUCAACGCAGUUGCAGUGCUAAAGCACAUUGUCCUGCCCGGAGACUCUAGAAUAUUGGUCAAGGAUCGAUUUUAAGGUGUUGGAAUCUUCUUUAGUGGCUCGGCAAAACAAGAGUGUAUCAUCGGCAAAACAUAGAUUGGAGAUGAUAGGGGUCUUCAGGGCAAUUUGAAUCCCAUGUAACUAACCAUUGUUCACGGCUCGUUUACCAUAUAAUAAUAACGGCAUAUGCACAACAAAUAAAGAGAUAGGGAGAAAGGGGUCGCCUUGUCUUAAUCCCCGUGAAGGAGAUAGAGAACCAAACUAUGAGCCGUUGAAUAAGAAAGCGUAAGAGACGGAUGAGAUACAAAUCAUAAUGAGAUCAACAAAUUCAGGUAAGAAGCCAAAGCGAAAAAAAGAAUUUUCCUCAAAAAACACCAUUCAAUCCGAUCGUAUGCUUUACUAAUAUCAAGUUUAACCGCCGUAUAGAUUGAAAACAAAUCAAUUUUCUGAGAUGAUGAAUGCUACAACACACGGAUCUAAAAUACAUUAUGAUCAUUACUCAUUAGGACCGCCAAUUGAGCCGGGUCUAACCGAAGCCCGAUGGCUCGGCCCGACUAUAUUUGAGUCGAGCCUAAUUUUAAUUAGUCGGGGCGAGUUCUGAACCAUUUAAUAAACCUGAUUCAUUUAUGAGCCGAUUUUGAGUCUACUAUAACUCAAACCGAAUAAGGCUCGUCCGAUUAAGUUAAUAAUUAAAUAUAUAAUAUAUUUAUUAUUUUAAUGAUAUGGCUCAUAUACAUGUUACAAAUUAAAUAAUUAUUAGAUCAUUUUACGUGCGGCGACGGCAAUAGUAAAAUAAAAAUCAUAUAAUUACUUAAGGAUUAAAUAUUUGCAAUAUUAAACUUCAUUUCGUUGAAGAAACAUACUAUGGUUUUCACCUUAUUCUACGAACAUGGUAUAAAUAAUUGCAAUUCCAGUUAAUUAAAGUUUUACACAUUUUUUUAAAAAAUAUAAUGAAUAUUGUAUUUUUUGAUAUUAGAACGACAGCUUGUAAUUUUAUUUAAUAAAAACUUCAAUUAUAAAGAUCUCAUGAAGACAAAGACAUGAAAAUUGUGACACAGGGAGAAUUACACUUUUACUCCUUGACUUAUGAUCGAUUUUAGUUUUCUUCCUUGUUAUUCUAAAAUGGACAAAAUACACAUUAAUUAGCAACUAACUCGAAUAUGUAUCGUACGUGCAAUGCACGUAACCCCCAAUAUAUCUGAAUUAGGGCAAAAUGAGAGAGAAUUGCGCUUUUGGUCCCUAAUGUUUGGCACAUUUCACUUUUAGUCCCUAUUUUUCUUUUUUUUAGGAGAGUCCCUAUUGUUCGUGGUGGACAAAUAAACAGAAUUUUGCACUCACUACCCUUAUGCAAUGUUUAAUUACAAGGGUGGUGAGUAGGGGUGAAAGUCGGAUGGAUCGGAUCGGAAUUAGCGUUUUCGGAAAAUUUCCAAAAUAUUUCGGAAGUACAAAAUCAAUUUCAAUUCCAAUUCCAAUAUUUUCGGAAUCUAAAAAUUCAUUGCAAUUCCAAAAGGCUCGGAAAUUUCGAAAUUUGGGAAAACAAACGGAAAUCACAUAAGCUUUAAAAAUUCAAAACUUAGCGGAAAUUUUCGAAAAUGUUCAUAAUUUUUCAAAAAUAAGAACAUUAUCCACGUCGAUAAAAGUAAAACUAAUAAUUAAUAAAGUUCAGUUCAAAAAAAUAUAAUAAAAAUAAACACAACAUAAUAUCCAAUAAAACUUUGGCUUAAUUCCACUUUGCACCCUUGAAAUAUACCAAGACAAAACUUAAAAGGUGUAUUUGUCGGAAAAAAUAAGUAUUAUAUAAUAUAUAUUAUUUAUGGGUGUAUUUUUCGGGAAAAAUAGGAAUUUUUCGUAAUUAAUUUUGGAAAUUAAAUCGGAUCGGAAAUCAGAAAUUCCAAAUUUAUUUUAUACAAUUCCAAUUCCAAUCCAAAAAAAACGAAAAUAUUCGAAAAUCAGAAUUUCGGAAGUUAGAAUGAAAAAAAGUUGUUCCAAAAUCAGAACUUUUCGGAUCGGAACCGGCGGAAAUUGGAAUUUCCGUUCCAACUUGCAACCCUGGUGGUGAGUGCCAAAAACACGUGUAUUUUGUCCAUCUUGGAACAAUAUGGACUAAAAGUGAAAAUGAGGCAUAACAUUAGGUGAAAAAAGAAGAAGAAAAGAAUUCAAUAUGGUAACAUUAUCUCAAUGUUUUGCCCUUUGAGUUGCUCUAAGCUAAAUAUUAAUUAUUUGUCUAAACUUUUGCUAAUGUUAUAUAAUUUUUAGCCUUUUGUUGCAUUAGAUAUCUUUUUGUUCGUGAUUAGAAACUGGAGAUCUCUCUUUUCAAAAAAAAUAAAAAUAAAAAUGAAAAACAAUAUGUGUAUUGUGUAUUUGAUUUUCAUCAUAUUAACUUCUCCUUCUCCUGUAUUAGUACUGUAGAAAUACACUAUUUUAAAAGAGAUUUUGUAAAAGUUUUUUGGGAAGUACCAAUAGAUUGAAUAAUUGAACAAACAAAAAUAAUCUUACAAUAUUUAGUAACUCAGGUGGUGUUUGCAAAUGAUUAUUUAAAAGCAGAAGUUAGUGAUUGUGAUUUAAGUUAGUCUUAAGUGCUUGUUUCUAAAAGUUUGGGGUGUUUGCAAAUAUUUCGGAAAAUGAACUAAAAUUGAAAAAGUAGGGUUAUGGGUGCUUUUAAAAAAAAUAGCUUAAAGCAGAUUAUUUUAAGAGAAGCAAAAGCAAAAGUUGAUAUUGCAAACACCUAAAACCAGAUUAUGAGCUAAAAAAACCGCAUAAUCACUUUCAAAAAACAUUUGCAAACACCACCUAAGACUCAACAAUUGACCAAUUUAUUAUUCAAAUAAGUACACCAAAAACAAUUUUUUCAAAUAUUUUGUAAAAUACAUGUAUUCCUGUACACCUUCAAUUUUUAUCCUUUUUUCGACAUAUCCAUGUAUCACAAUUCUACCUCGCUAGAAUAAAGACACCUCCAAAGGCUGGUUAGAACCCUAUAGGAUGAAAAUUAACUAAUAUAUCAAAUUACAACCCAUUAGGAUUAUAGGUAUAUUAAUCUAAAUAUAUAUAUUAGACGAUAUGGUUUGAUGUAUAAAUAUUGCUAUAUAGAAUUAUUUUUGGUGACUUUGAAUCGUCCUAAUCUACUAAAUAGGAUUAUAGGUAUGUUAAAGAUUCGUUGAAUCGUUUAGCAAUUCAUCUACGAAAGUAGUCAUAUGGCAACCACUGCACAAGCUUGUGCAAGUUAUAACCAUAUCAAUAUAUACCACCAAUAGAAUGGUUAGCAAAAGGUAUUCAGACAUAAACGAACACGCCACUGGUUGUGACCAUUUGAUCACGAAGGUCGCUCCCUUCUUCUUUCCUUUUCGCACAUACGCAUGCCUCGCAUUUGUUCAUCUUCCAAGCAUUCUCAUCCUGAAUGUAAAUUUUCAUUUUUCAUUUAUGAUGUUCUAUUUAAUUAGACUAAUGAGGGACUAAAUAUAGAAUAAUAAUGUGAAUUGGAACAUUUUCUCGAUAAAAAAAAAAAUCCUAGAUAAUCAUAGUAAUAUAUUUUUGAACAAUAUAUAUACAUCGAUAGUAACAACGGAGACACCAGGAAAAAGGGAGAAAAAUGAAAACUCUACAAAGAAUACCUUUGAAGGAUGAGAAAUAGAAAAUCUGUUGAAAAUCGGGCAUCGAAUAACAAGUGAAGUAUGGAAUUGUGAGAUGACAUGAUAGUAAUUCAAUGAAUUUAUGUUUAUUAGUCUACCAGUAUGAAUUAUGUUUAUUAUUUGAUUAUAUUUAACUUAAUGAUAAAACUAAGUUGCAAGAGUGGGAUAAAAUAUUUUUCUCAUAUAAUUCAAUGAUAUUAAUGGUGAGUGAAGAUGUUAUUUAGUAAGACCAAAAUCUGAAUAAAGGAAUAAACAAUGGAAUACCAAAAGUUGGAUGAGAGAAGACGUUCUCAUCAACUCAUUCAUUACAUAGACAUGAACUUAUUAAUUAUUAAAAAUAUUAAUUGAAAUCAAUUGUUAGAAGAAGAUCUCUAUUUUACGGAGCUAAUUGCACAUACCCCCUGUGUAAUCUCGAACGACUAAAAAACACCUUGUGUUAAAAAAAUUAGCACAAACCCCCCUAUGUUGUUUUGUACGAAGCACACUGCCCCUUUUAUUAAAAUUAGCUAUUGACUUACAUACAAUGACUAAUUUAUCCUUAUGAAAGAAACAUGAAAUUGUUAAAAAAAACAAAAAAGAAUUUCGGACAAAACCCAAAACCAUCUUCCCCAACACAUUGGAAAAUCUUAUUUAAAAAAAAACAUAAAAAAAAAAAAAAAAAAACAGUUAAAAAAAAUGAGCUAUUGUUUUGUUUUUUUUCUUUUUUUAAAUACUCCCCAAAACAUUCAUCUUCUUAGAUUUUUAAUAAUUUUUCAAUAAUCAUAUCUCACAACUCGCCAGAAUCGAAGUGUUACAGUUCAAUUUGUCCGAAAAAUGAUUUCCCCCGUCGAAUCUACAUCGAACUAGACCCACUUUUAGAAAUCACCGACCAUCAAAUUUGGCCGGAAAAUGUUUGCCCACAUCGAAUCUACCUUUAACCAGGCCCCCACCCUUAUUUCUCGCCGGAAUAACUCUCCGUAGUCGGAUCCGGUUGUUCUUGCCGGAAAAAUGUUGUUGAAGGACGCAUGUGUUGAAAAUCCUCCAUUACUGAUGAACGGCGGAGGGUUGGGGGGUUCAAGCACUUGGCGUUGGAAAAGAGAAGUUGUCGGUGGAGGAGAAGAUUGGAGGAGGCCGGUGGUGGGAGGAAAGGGGCGGCUGUAGGAGGAGGAAAUUCGGGAAGAAGACGAGUCUAAUUGAGAUCUAUUUUUUUUUGUUAUUUUUGUUUGCGUAAGAAAUUUUGAAAAAUUACAAUUUGAUCCAAAAGUUUGUAUUAUUUACAUUUACACCCAAUUGAAUUUGUGUUUAUUUAUAAAAGAAUUUAAGAGGGUGUUUUUGACUUUUCACAUCAAAAAUUACACUCUCAGUUACACAAGCAGCGCGUACAACACACGACAUGCUGUCAAGGGGUUUUUUGCCUUUGACUAAUUUUCAUCGGGGGGUUCCUGCUAAUUUUUUUAACACGAGGGGUUUUUCGACAAUUAGAAAUUACAGAAGGGUGGUCCUUGCAAAAAACCCCUAUUUUACGUACCAUAACUAAUUAAUAAUAAUACUAAUACUUAUAAUUAUUAUUAUAUUAAUUUAUAUUAUUAUAGUUAUUAUAAGAAUAAUAAUAAUAAUAAUGAUAAUAAUAAUAAUAAUAAUAAUAAUAAUAAUAAUAAUAAUAAUAAUAAUAAUAAUAAUAAUAAUAAUAAUAAUAAUAAUAAUAAUAAUAAUAAUAAUAAUAAUAAUAAUAAUAAUAAUAUGUGCAAGAGUUCAAAUAUGUUGAGUGCAUUUGUGGUGUAAUGACUGUUAAAAUAAUAAAGACAUCCAUUCAAAACUUUAAAAAAAUAAUGCAAGAUUUAAUAUACAGUUAGGUCACCUAGGAGGGGUGGCAAAUCGUAAAACUCCUCUGUUGAACAUUUAUCUCUAUAUCAAGCCUCAUAACUAAGCAACAAAGUAACAAAGAAGUCUAUCAGCUCUAACCCAACCAAAUCUCCCCACACCCACCUCCGCAACAGUGGAGAAAUUUUGUGUUCUAUAUUUGAUAGGAUGAAAGUACAACACUGUUAAGUGUAUAUUUUUACACUUAAUUGUACCUUUUAAUUGGAGCUUUUGGUGUGUUUUAAUGAUAAUUGGUGCUUAAAAUGGUUAUUAUUUGUAUUUUAGGUGCAAAUUGAAGAAUUGUCAACUUUUGGGGUGAAAACUGCAAAUUCGGAGAAAAAGUGGGCCAAAAGUGAAAUAAUCAGAAUUCUGAAGAAUUGAAGACCGCGCGGCCGUGCGGGUUUUAAGCUUAUAUUUCACACGGCCGUCCGGAUUGACGUAGGGGCGCAGUGAAGGAAGUUUAAUUACACAAGGAAACCCGCCCUAUUAUAUUUUUGCACCCUAUUUAAAGGCCACAAGCACACAAUUAGGAGGAUCUUUUACCUUUUUAUCGUUUAUCUUUAGUUUUUAUCUUUCAUCUUUCUACAAGCAAUCGAGGAGGAAGAGAACGAAGACGAAGACUUGACGAAUCUUCAUCCUAGUUUUCCUUUUUACUUUUCUUUUCUGAUUUUUAUGAAUUCUCGUAUUUUUAUUAUGCUUUCCGUUACGAACAUGAGUAGCUAAGCUUUUAAUCUAAGAUUUUGUUGGAACCCUAUGUGGUAAUUCGAACCUAUUUUUCUACUUUUAUGCAAGUUUAAUUCUUCGAUUAUUUCUUCUAUCUUGAUCUUAUUUAGCGCAUGAACGUAGCUAAUUUAUGUUGCUACUUGUUAUUGUUAGAAUUGAUUGACAGGUCGUUUUAAUAAUUAGAACAGGGAUAGAAGAGCCUUCGAGUAGUUUUUCACCGAAUGCGUGUGUUGAUUGCAUGUAUUAUCGUAGACAUACAGAUAAUACCUUAGGUAGCCGUUUACGAGACUUGUUAUUUAAUGCUUUAUUUGUACUAGGUUUGCAUAGACAUAUAGUGAAUCUUUUAUGAAUAAUAGGCUUAUAACGCAGCGACAGCUGGUUAUGAGUAAUUUCGUGUCUUGGGUUAAUAAUCGGGAAUCGUAACUUGCAUGAUAGGAGAUUAAUUGGGUGAAGAAUUAUCGCAUAGGGGGAAGAUAAAAUCCUAGAUCCGUUUUAUAUUGAUAUUUUCUCGUAAUUACUUGCUUUCUUAAUUAGUUUAAUUUAUUUAGUUAAUUAAAUUGACAACCCUGCGUAGGCUGGAUAAAAAUAACAAUUGUGAGAAUUUGGUACUUAGGAUUAAAUAAUUUGCGUAUUCCCUGUGGGAUCGACAUCCGACUCUCACGAGUCUACUUUACUACUUGUUUGCGAUACGUACACUUGCGUGUUGGUAUUUAGCACCCAACAAACACCUAUAACUAUUUUGCAAACUUUAUGCUAGUCGCUAUAAAAAAAUAGUAACAUUUUUUUUCUUCUACAAAUCUACAUUUAUCAAAUAUACGAAACAUCAUAAAAAAGAAAAGACUGAAUCCAUAUUCAUUAGUUUCUUUCAAGUUGUAGGGGGAGAAGGCAUAUGGAUCAAAUUAACAUUUUAUGGAUUCAAUUUGAAGGUCUGGCCUCAAGGUCCAUGAUCUUUGUCUGAUUUGCACUAAUCAAUGACCCCUCUGAAAGGCUAAAAUCAUCUAAGCACGGAUUUCAAUUAAUUAUUUCGUAGAACACGGGUGAAGAUGCUCACCUAGUUUCCUGCAUAUCUUUGUUGGAUAGCUUUAAUCUUUGGUUGAAGAUUCUGUAUUGCUAGCGUUGAUUCGACCAUUCAUCGACGCCGUCACCAACCGUCGCCGGCGGUUUAAGCCGUCACGCCCAAGCAUCUGCCGCCCGCCACCACCCAGCAUCUGCAGUAGUGCUUCUUCUUCAUUUUUUUUGUCGGCGCCAGAUAUGGCGAGAGAGAGUUAACGAGUGGGAGAGAUGGAGAAAUGGAUCUAUAAACGGCUAGACGUGUGAGUGGGAGAGAUAUGGGGUUAGGACAUGUAUUGAAUUGAAACUAAAAGAAAAAAAUAGGCACUUCAAGUUGCCCAGGGGAUCUGCCUAAUCAAAACUACAAUUGAGUUUUUUUUUACUAGGGCAAAAAAAUCUUUAGGACCUUCUUAUAUGUAUUUUCAUAAAUAUGGAGUAUCACUCAUUUACCCUUUUUUGUUUGCAUUUUUUUUCACAUGUUUUUUUUUUGGUAUUGUUGUGUUGACCGGCAUUAGGGUGGAAGGUCGUAAACCCGCGGGUUUUCAAGAACCAAAAUAAUGGGUUUUAAGCGGGAUUAGAGUUUAGACCAUAUGGAUUCAUGUAGGGUUUUUAAUAUGACCCAAUUUUACUAAGCGUAACCUAUUAAUAGUUAAGUAAUAGUUUCUCUCUUUUUUUUCUUUUUUUUUUUUUUUCUUUUUUUUUGAUUUACAAGAUUUUUUCAUAUUAUUUUACAUUCAAAUAAUUCAAAAAAUUUAAAUAUUGAAUUCAAACCAGUAAGGAGCCUCAAUUUUGAUAAAUGUAUGAAUUGUUGUAUUACAUAAAUAUAUAUGUGUGUGCAAUACAAAAAAAUGGGCUAUUAGUGAGGAUCCUCUCUAAUAUUAUUUUAAUAAGGAUGGUUUCAAAAUCCUUUCCUUUUUUAGUAGGCGACCUAUCUUUUUUUUUAUUCUCAAAUUUACCCUCCACUAUUCAUUACCCAUUAUCUACUACUUUUAUGUAUUUUUUUUAUUUUUUAUUUCUUAUAUUUUAAUUUUCGUUUUGGUUUUUUUUUUCUUUUUUAAAAAAUAAUAAUUUAAUUUUUUUUUAAAUAUAUUUUUAAGAUAUUUUAUUACGAUAUUUUUUAGUUUUCAGUUAAAACAACUAUAUUUCAGUAAAACAACUAUUAUUAAAAAUAACUGUUAUUAAAACAAAGUAGUAUUAAAACAAUUAUAGAACAAUAUGACUAUUCAUUAAAUUAAUUAUAUAUUAUAUUAUUUCCGUUGUAAAAUUAACUAGUUAUUUAAUCAAACCAUCUCCAACAACUCUUGUUUAUCAGAAAUCAACUACUUGUUAAAUCUAACUAUUUACUCAAACCAACUAAUAAAUAAUGAAAACAACUAUAUUGUUGUGCGAAAACAACUAUAUUGUUAUAUGAAAACAACUACAUUGUGAUCAACUACAAAUUAUUGAAAUCAACUAAAACAAAAGCAAAAACACACACCAAAACUCCAACAAAAAAGACUAUUAAUUAAACCAACUACAACCAUAGAGAAAUCAACUAUAUUUUUUUGAGUAACACGAACACAAAUUCAACUAUAUUUUUUUGAGUAACACGAACAAAAAUUCAACAAACAAACAUAUGGUCUACUAUUGAUUCACCGAUAAUAAGUCUCCCAAACAAUAUCGAACAUAACGGACGAAACAAAUCCGCCUAUGUUAACGGCAUCCGAGGUUACGCUUGGGCGUCGGCGGUCGCAAUUCUCACAUGAAAAUGCAGUCCAAGGUUUCGUCAUUCUCGUCAAGGUUGAUUGAUUCUAUUACAACAGCGGUGGAGGUGGUCUUCCGACGAGAUUGCAGUAAUGCUUCCAUAAAUUGAAGAACAAAAAGAAAAGGAAAAAGGUACAGCAAAUCUGCCCAUCGAACGGAAAGGACAGGGGGAUACCAAAAAUGGCCGUUGUUGUCCUUGUUUUGGCAGCGGCGCCUUGUCGUUGUCGAGAUAUGAUGCCGUCUUCGUCCUCUCCUUGGCCCUCACAUCCGCCGCCGUCGGAUUCCCUAUUCAAGAAAGAAGAGAAGGGGGUCUUCCUCUUCAUUGUUGAGAUGUGGCGCCACCUUCGCUGCCGCCGCUGACACUACUGAAUUUCAGUUCCAGAAAGAAGAGAAAAGGUGAUGGGAUUAGAGAAUGGCGUUUUGUUAAACACGAUGUGGCUAGGGUUUGUAGAUAUAAGAUUUGGCAAUUAAGAGUAAUAUAUGUAUAGCACUUUAUAAUUGUAUUAAUAUUAAGGGGCUCUUUGAUAAAUCCCCCUCAAUAUUUCUUUUAAUAGGGAGAUUGAUACGCGUUUUCCUCACGUAUAAAUUACCGCAAGUAUAUACAGUAUCGCAUUUUGCAGAACAAUGGUUCUGGAAAUCGAUCCAGAUGGACCUAUAGAUUCACAUGCUGAGGAAUAUAAUUAUGUUAUCGUAAUAUUAUCUAGCCGAUUGUAAAUAAUUGGAAUGGUGAUAAACCCUAGUUUAAUAACAUGCAAGAUCGUAAACAUGCAAAUAUAGGAUGUACGUAAAUAGAAUAGCGAAAACUCAACACGGGAGGGUUUCGAUUUAAAGGGGACUUCUAGGGAAAAAUCCACCAAAGUAUAAUAAAAAACAAUCUACAGGUCGAUGAGACAAUUCGUGAUGGAAGUGACGAAAGCACGGCCAACUCAAUUGCGAUAGAAAAAGUGCUCGGAAAAAGCAAAGGGCUUGGAAUUAAGAUUGCAACCACCACAAAGAGUUCAAAGUCGAGAUUUUCUUCAAUUCCGCCGGAAGUGCAAAUGGAAAUGAAUUCAAUGAAAGAGCAAAUGCAACUUAAAGAUGAAAAAAUGGAAAGAUUGGAAGCGGAAUUGAAAGAAACCCGAGAAAUUGUGAACACCUUAGUCGGUCGUUUUGGACUACAAGCCUCGACAUCGACUCCUUCCAAUGAUGGUGGAGUAUAAAAAGGGAUGAAUUUUGUUUGGUUUUUGAAUUAAAGUUUGAAACACUACAUUAUAUGCUUUUAAGUUUUUAUGUACUUUUUUAAUUUAUGUUUUGUGCUACCUUGACACGAUCUUAAUCCGUAUCAAUGGUUUUAAUAUUUUCGAUAUAAGUGUAUUUUUUUUUUGUACAACUGCAAAAUACAGGUUGAAUUUCUUAAUUGGAAAAAUAAAUAAACCAGAAAUUAUAUUAAAAAAAAAAAAAACCUAGCGACGAAUAAAUAAAACAAAUCGUCGCAAAUAAAUCGUGGAACUUGCGACGAAAACUGUUAUCAGUCGCAAACUUUUUCGCAAACGUAGCGACGAAACCGUCACAAAACGUCGCUUAAUGUAGCGACGAAACACCUAAUUCGUCGCAAAGGGUUGCGACUUAUUAUAGGAUCCGUCGCGAAUAUUAAAAAAAACAUUUUUUCCAGAAAAUACGAAUGUUGCGACGAUUUAUGACAUUCGUCGCCAAUCUUUGCGUCGAAAACAGCUUUUCGUCGCAGACCUUGCGACGGGUCGUUUGGCGACGUUUUUUGUAGGAUUUGGCGACGAAAAAAAUUCGUCGCAAAGCGUAAAAAAUCGUCGCCAAAUGCACAUUUUCGUCGCUAAAUUUCGUCGCCAGUCGACCAUUUUGGCCUAGUGCAGUAUCGCAUUUUGCAGAACAAUGGUUCUGGAUAUCGAUCCAGAUGGACCUAUAGAUUCACAUGCUGAGGAAUAUAAUUAUGUUAUCGUAAUAUUAUCUAGCCGAUUGUAAAUAAUUGGAAUGGUGAUAAACCCUAGUUUAAUAACAUGCAAGAUCGUAAACAUGCAAAUAUAGGAUGUACGUAAAUAGAAUAGCGAAAACUCAACACGGGAGGGUUUCGAUUUAAAGGGGACUUCUAGGGAAAAAUCCACCAAAGUAUAAUAAAAAACAAUCUACAAAUCCGUUAUCUAAAGUCACAUUCCUAUUCGUUAACCCAGACGCUAAAUUACUCUAACCCCCGUAUCCAGUGUAGUUAGAGUCUACCCACAGGUCCGACGUCUCCGUUCAGAACCUGCUAUUAAUAGAGAAUUUAGGUCAAGUCCUUGAGGGCUACCCGAAGUGCAUCACGUCUCUGUUUCCACACCCCGAGCUAUGUUUUCAUAACUUCAAACAAGAAAUCCUCUCUCGAGUUCAUUGCUAUUUAAUAUCAAUCCGGGAGUUGAUCAAACAAUCAGAAGCAUUUGAAAACAUAAACGAAACAAAAACACGACAAAUAGAUAACACAAAUGACGAUUGAAAUCAAUAUAUGCAAGAUUUCAUUACCCUAGAAGAAGAUGUUAUUAGUUCAUAACAAACAUAGAGUUAAGAGAAUGUACACAGGAAAUGAAGAACAAAACGUAAAGACAUUGCGUAAGAAAAACCAAAGUCGAAACCCCCGUUGACGAUUCCCGUGAAGAACUAUUGAAAACCGUAAAAAGUCUAAGAAGAAUGAAGAAUGAAAGGGCCUUCCUAUUUAUAGUUUAAUGCAAAGCUUCCUCAAUAAGAUUUGCAAAUAAAUAUCUUUACUGAAAAGUCAUGCCCAGAUCACUAUCAGGGAUGGCUGGAUCGUGAUCUGGUAGCCUUGGGAACCGCCCACCGCCAUGCCAGAUCGCGAUCCGGGUAUGUGCAUCGUGAUCUGGGUCUUCAACAAAUCCGCAUUGUGAGAACCCCCAGAUCGCGAUACGGAGUGCUGGAUCGUGAUCUGGAUCUUGAUAAAAAAAUCUUUUGUAUAAACCCCCAGAUCGCGAUCCAGAAUGUAGAUAGCGAUCUGGGUCUUGAUCGUGUUUCUUUAUGUGACAUCCCCCUGAUCGCCAUUUGGGUCUUCUUGGCCCCAAAAUUGACUUGAAAAUUCUGUUUCUCUUUCAAAUGGCUUCGACUCGGCAAAUAUAUCUAACGAAACCUAUGGAAAAGAAAUAAAACAAGAAACGCAAUAAUAUUUACAUAUAAAGCCGAAACUCGGACGAACGAAGACCAAAACUCGAAGAUUCGAUAAGCAAAAAUCGUGCAAAACGAACACUUAUCACACCCUCAAACUUAGAUCUUUACUCGUCGCGAGUAAAUCAAAACGAAACUAUAACAAAAAGGAAUAAAAACAACAAACUAAACUAGGCCACUAAUGUAGGGAAACACGAUUGCAUUUAGCUUAUGCAACAAGCCUUUGAACCCCUGGGUACCUCCAAAGGACGAGUUGUGUCUCAUGAGAGUUUUCAGACAACACACCCACAAAGUUGCCGGAUUGGUCAAAGCAUUGCAAUUAAUUUCAAAGGUAAAACGAGCUAGAUAACCUAAAAUCUCAGAAUGGCAUAUGGCUUAAGAUAUUCGACUUUCCCACCGACGCAAUUAGUUGUUUCUACACCAAAAUAAUAGAUAGACUCAAGAAUCCGUAAUCAAACAAUAAACACAAUCAUCGAGGGUUUUGAGUAGAAAUGUGGAUGAAAAGUAAGUUUUGAUUCUGAAAUUCAAAAUUUUGAAUUGGGCAUAAGUAGAUCAACUUAUUCAAUAGAAAAAAUGACAACAACAACAACAAUUGUUUUGGUGAUUUUCAUCACAACUUUUUAUCUUUCCAUUUUUCUUAAACGGGAAUAAUCGUGACUCGUACAAGACUUGAUACCACUGUGUUAUCUCUCUGACCCAUGUAUCGAACUUUACUCCAGGAAACCUCCAAGCUUGAAAGCUCGAGAGACUAGGCGACGAAGUGCACCCAACGGGUUAAGCUCGAGUCAGAAAGGCUGAGAAAUCAAAGCGCCAAUCACAACAAUACGUUAUUAUUAUUAAUUUACUUUUUUUUUUUCAGAACGUAAUAGCAUAAAAUAAAAACGUAAAGACCAUUGAUUGAACUUUUAGCCAACAACUCGAAUUGUGAAUACAUAAUUCAAUUCUAACUCGCCCCCCAAACCUCAGACUGUUAUACCCCUCAGAAAAGUGCACUCAUGCUUAAUAGGAAAGGAUUCGAAAGGCUCUACACACAAAGAUUCGAAAUGCAUGUGACAAACAUAACACAAUUACGGAAAUCGAAAUACAUAAAUGAAACUAAAUUAUAUGAUAUGCAUGCAAAAGACCAAAUUAAAAUAAGAUAAAUAAAAUAAAAAUAAAAUCAAAGUCUAGUAAAGAUAAAUCAUAAACGAAACCAAUCCAAAACAAACGAAAUAAAAAGAAAACAAAUAAAACAAGUUCAACAAACACCACCCUCAAACUUGAAAUCUAGCAUAGUCCCUAUGCUCAAAGAAGAAUAAAAAAUAAAAGGGAUAGAAAACACAACAUCCCCUAGAUGUCAUGGUCUUCCUCGAUAGCUCGUCCCUAGUCCUCCCGAAGGCCACGCUCGUGCUCUUCCCAGACUGGCCUCACUAGUGUGGUGGCUACCGCUCGUGCUGCUUCUUCGGCAGCUGCGUUAGAGGAAGAUGCUCCGUCAAAUUGAGGCCGUGGUGGGAAGGGUUGUGGCUCGACUAUGUCGUCCGUCCUACACUGUAAUGUUGCUACCAUCACCUUGAUCAUCUUCCUGAACCAGCCCACGUUCUCCUCCAUAGCAUCCAUCCACUCGUCUAUAUACUCUGGAAGUGGCGGAGCUGUUGCUGUCUGCUGUCGUUUCCCGCCUCGUGGUGCGGGUCGGGCUGGUCGGGCAUCAUCGGAUGGUGGUGCAUGUGGUUCAGGGCCAUCGCCCUCGCCCUGUGGACCAGAAGCUGGCUGGAUCUUGUCGAACGGGAAGAUCAGCUUUGGAGCCUUUGUCACUUUGUCAUCGGCAAACAUCGCGACAUUAGCCGCUUUGCACAAGGCCGAUGAGGGACGGGAACAUCGGGCCCAAGGAGGUGUCGCCCAUGCACUGUCAAAUCUCCGAGUGAAUAAUGGCACCCACGUUCAGAGGGGUUCCCUUCAUGAUUUCAUACAUCAACGUGAGGCGAGUGGCAUAGGUCCGGGCCGUUAAAACUGUCGGCAUGAGUUGGGAGCAAACGAAGUACAUCCAGAUCUUGGCCUCCCUCGACAGCUCUGCUUGAUAGAACCAUUUAUCUCCGUGUGCCGAAUAAGAUCCUCUGGAGCACAAGGCCAGAAUGAGAUGUUGGUACGUUGUUUCCAUCUUUAAUGCUUGGAACGGCUCGGUUGGAAUGUUUAGAUAAUUAGGGGAUAUCUUGUAGACUCGAUUGAUGGCGUUUGCAUCAUAGCAAACUUCCACGCCCCAGAUAAAACCACCGAGCCCUUGUAUUGACCGGCAUUGGCGUAGAAUAGCCGGACCAAAUUCUCGUUGUAGGUGCCCGUUUUGUCAAACGAGGAUUCUCCAAUGCCUAUCCAGGAUGUUGUUGACAACCGAAGGACAUCCAAUCGUGCGCACAUCCAACUCACGUCUGGGAUGAUCGAUCGAGGGAAGCGGUCGAUAUACUCACUCUUGGCUUCGACAUUCACAUAAAUAUCUUCACCGUGCUCGUCGAAGGUGACUUCAUUCAUGAGCAUGCACGGGUGCCCGUGUUGAGUGGCACGUCACCGGUUCUGGGGAUGGCUUGCUCGGCCGGUCCACCCGAAUGUGAAGGCGAGUUUUAAGUACAUUCUUCCCCCUUUUGGUUUAACCCUUGCCCUUCUUCUUUGCCGGAGCUUUUCCCUUUCCCUUCGGUUGGGAUUUAUUGGAGUUCUCACCCGUUCUUUGGAGUUUGUUUGGCAGUGAAUUCAUGUGUGAAUGAAGGGUGCAAAUAGGCUUGAGAUUUGGUUCCGACAAUUCGUCGAACACUUGGCGCGCGCAAGUUCUUGAGAUUCUUUGAAUGUUCGUUUCUUUCGAAAUCUUACCCUCAUACAUCAAUCAACACAACAACAACAACAAUCAAUAACCAUCAACAGACAAAAAUAAGCAUAAAAGACUCAACCCAAGAAAAUUUCCACAAGAAUUCCGAAAUUAAGCAUAAUAGGGCAAUUCAUAUAUCUCAACAUUGGUUCAACCAAUUAAUCAAGCUUUUAAAUCCCAAAAUCAAGUACACAAAUACGUACAAGCAUAAACCAUGAAAAAUCAAGGGAACAAACAAGAAAAUUGGAAGAAAUUCGAAAUUUCAAGCAAAACUCAAAAAUUUGGGUCAAGAACAUACAUUUGUUGAAGAUUCGUCCACAAUUCUCAAUAACAACAAGAAAUAAUCGUUAAUUGUUGAUGAAAAUCUAAAAAUAUGCAAGUUUUAUGAGAAAAUUUGAUAGAGAAUUGAAGUUCUAGGGUUUGAGGGAAAAGGAUUUCGAGUUUUGUAAAAGAAAGAAGUGAGAAAAAAAGAAAAAAAGGGUUUUGAAUUUGUAACUGUUCUCGUCCCCAUAUCGUGAUACGCAAUGGGUGGAUCGCGAUCUGGGUCUGCCGUUUUUUACUUACUGUGAAACCUGCCAGACGCGAUACGGAUAUCUGGAUGGCGAUCUGGGUCUGCAACUUCUAGCUUCUGUAAGACCCCCAAGAUUGCGAUACGGAUAUCUGGAUUGCGAUCUAGGUAUGCCCCCUUUUUGCUCUCUGUAAGACCCCCAAGAUUGCGAUACAGAAAUCUGGAUCGCGAUCUGAGUCCUCGGUUUUUUUUCUUCUGUAUAACACCCCAUAUCGCGAUACGCCAUGCUGGAUCGCGAUCUGGUUCCUCUCCAAAUUAUUAUUAUUAUUAUUAUUAUUAUUAUUAUUAUUAUUAUUAUUAUUAUUAUUAUUAUUAUUAUUAUUAUUAUUAUUAUUAUUAUUAUUAUUAUUAUUAUUAUUAUUAUUAUUAUUAUUAUUAUUAUUAUUAUUAUUAUUAUUAUUAUUAUUAUUAUUAUUAUUAUUAUUAUUAUUAUUAUUAUUAUUAUUAUUAUUAUUAUUAUUAUUAUUAUUAUUAUUAUUAUUAUUAUUAUUAUUAUUAUUAUGNNNNNNNNNNNNNNNNNNNNNNNNNNNNNNNNNNNNNNNNNNNNNNNNNNNNNNNNNNNNNNNNNNNNNNNNNNNNNNNNNNNNNNNNNNNNNNNNNNNNNNNNNNNNNNNNNNNNNNNNNNNNNNNNNNNNNNNNNNNNNNNNNNNNNNNNNNNNNNNNNNNNNNNNNNNNNNNNNNNNNNNNNNNNNNNNNNNNNNNNNNNNNNNNNNNNNNNNNNNNNNNNNNNNNNNNNNNNNNNNNNNNNNNNNNNNNNNNNNNNNNNNNNNNNNNNNNNNNNNNNNNNNNNNNNNNNNNNNUUAUAUCUUUUUUUUCCAGCGGCGAGUCUUUGGAGAUCCAAUUUGUUGACUCAACAUUAAUUAACUUCAACAUUAAUUAACAUUACAUAUUUUGUUUUCCCGGCAAAAGGUAACCUGAGCUCCGAUUAUUUAACUUGCAUUAGCUGACUCAGCAUUAGUUAACUUCAACAUUAGUUGACAUUAGAUAUUCCAACUUUUUUUUCCUUUAUCUUUUUUCCAAUAUCUUUUUUUUCCCUUUUAAUUUGUUUCCGAUGCUUGAUCGUCGGAGCUCCGGUUAACUAACUCAAUGUUAGUUAACUUUGACAUUAGUUGAUACCAAUUUAAAAAAAAUAUUUCUAAAAAAAUUACUUAAAAAAAAUAAAAAAUCUACCAAUGUUAAAGUUAACUAAUGUUGAGUCAGCUAACCGGAGGUCCGACAACCAUCCACUGGACAAAAAGUAAAAGAAAAAAAAUUGGAUUGUUUCAAGUUAAAUAAUGUUGAGUCAGCUAACUAUAAUUCCGAGUACCCACGACAAGAAAAAUAAAAAGGAAAAAAAAUUAUACUGUUUUUUCCAAAUAACAAAACGAAAAAAAAUAUUUCUACCAAUGUUAAACUUAACUAAUGUUGACUCAGCUAAUCAGAGUUUCGACGACCCUCCACCGGAAAAAAUUUAAAAGAAAAUAGAGAAGAAAAAAGAAAAAAAAUGGAUUGUUUAAAAUUAACUAAUUGAAGUUAACUAAUGUUGAGUCAACUAAGUGGUGCUCUGACGACUCACCUUUGAUAAAAAAAAAUUAUAUAUAUAUUUUUCAAAAAUAAAAACUACAAAAAAAUCUGACCAGGCCAGACCGGACCGGACCGGCCUGGUGGGCGGGUGGGAUGGGAUGGGAGUGGAUAAAUAUGAUUGACCUAAUUUGAAGAAAAAUAAUUCAAAUUUUAAAUAAAUAAAUAUUUUUUGGCAUAAAUUCCACUUUUAUUGUAAAUUUCAUGCACUGAACCACUUAUCUUACUAAAAACUUGCAUUAAACCCCCACAAUAGUUAUCGACAGUGGCGAAUCCAGAAUUUUUGCCAAGGGUGUUCGAAAAUAAAUAUAAUAAAAAAUAUAAUGGUUGGUUAAUAGUUUACGGGGGUUCGGGGGCAGCGCCCCCCAUUUUAUGCAGUUUCCCGGGAUUUAGGCCUUGUUUGGAUUUCAGGAUUUCAGUGAUAGUGAUAAAUACAGAGAAGAGAGUGUAAAAAUUUGGAAGGACAUGACGAAAUAUUUGAUGGUGGUCGUUUCUGGUGGAAUGAAUCAACAAAGGAAUCAAAUUUUUGAUGCGGUUGUUAUUGCAAGAAUCUUAAAUUCCACCUUUGUUUGGGAAUUUCAAUUUUGUUAAAAAUUCUUAAUACUAAAUUUUAGAUUUUGGGUUGAAGAUGCAGAAAUUAAUUCUUAAUUUCAGGUUUGGGAAUGGUGGUGAUGGUGGUGGUGCAGCGACGGAGCAGAGGUGUGUUGAUGUUUGAUUGUGCGAGGUGAAAUUCACGUUCGGCUGCCAAGAGGGAAGAGGAAGAAGAUGACCAAUUCUUCUCCUUUUCUUUUUUUUCUUCUCUCUGUAUUCUAUAUUUCUCUUUCUUAUAUAAUAUUUCUAAAAACCUGGUGAGAUAGCAAAAUUACCCCUCUAUUUUCUCGUGUGAGUUGCACGUGUGCAAUUCAGAGAAUAAUUUGGCUAAAUAGGUAAUUUCGGUGCCGGUGCUAUAACUAAUAGAGUUUCGGUUGCUCGUGCAAGUUUUUUUCAUUCAGGGGAUAAAGUGCAAAAACGUCCAAAGUUUAGGGAACUUUUUACGGUUAACCUUUUAUAUAUAUAUAUAUAUAUAUAUAUAUAUAUAUAUAUAUAUAUAUAUAUAUAUAUAUAUAUAAUAGAAUCAAAUUAAAAGAAAAAGAACAUGGGAAGAAAUAUAAUUCUCUGCUAUAUAUAAAAAAAUAAAGGAUUAUAACAAAAAUAAUAUAAUUAGCAAAUACCACAAUCAUACUAAUGUCAUAUCUUUAUUUCAAAUUCUUAUUGAAAACUUAAAGAAUCAUUACGCAGCAAGGCUACAGAACCGGUUGAUUCGGAUUCAGUUCCCCAAGUCUGAUCAUCAUAGCUUGGAAUCUCAGAUGAUUGCGAAGGUUGAGGAGGAAUCAUCAUAUUUUCAUCCUCACCUUCUAACAUUUUCAAAACAUUACUCAUCGACGGGCGAUCACUUGGACUCAUCUGUAUGCACCACAAUCCAACUAUUGUCAUCUUUCUCCUCAUUUUUCUCGCAUCAUCAUCGUCGUCCUUUUCCUCAUCAUCAUUAUUUUCAUACAUAUUUCCAAUUUCAAUGUCUUCGCCUUUAUUCAAGUGAUCAUAUAUCCAACACGGAAAAUAUUGGGUCGAUUUGUUUUCAAUAUUAGGCCCCGUCCCUUUGUUAAGCCCCAACAUUUCCAUCAACAACAUCCCAAAGCUAUAAACAUCGGCCUUGUAAGACACUCCACCGAUGCUUCUAUUCAUUAGCUCAGGAGCCACAUAGCCUAUUGUUCCCCUAACUGCAGUGAGAGUCACUGUAGUAUUAUCUGUUGAGUAAAACUUUGCCAGACCAAAAUCGGAUAUUUUAGGUGUGAAAUUUUCGUCAAGAAGUAUGUUGUGAGGCUUUAUGUCGAAAUGCAGGAUUUGUAUGUCGCAUCCUCUAUGCAAAUACUCAAUUCCACGAGCCACUCCAAUUGCAAUCUCGUACUUCCUCUUCAGAUUAAGUGAAUCACCUUUUUCCUUAUUAAAUAUGUACUUUUCGAGCGAACCAUUAGGCAUGAAGUCGUAGACAAGGGCGCGUUUGGAUCUUUCUGCACAAUACCCGACAAGUUUAACCACAUUAACAUGAUGGAUCCUUCCAAUUGUGGCUACUUCAUUGAUGAAAUCUUGCCCAUUUGAGCUAGGCUUGGCAAGUACUUUGACCGCUACAUCAUGGCCGCUUCGAAGUUUUCCUUUGUAAACAGAACCGUAGCCUCCUUGGCCUAGUUUUUCUCGAAAGCCUUUUGUGAUUUUCUUCAUAUCUGAGUAUGUAUAGCGGAUUGUUUUGAGAUUUGUGUUACUUUGCAGGAAGCCUUCAAUUACGUCGAACAUUGACAAAUGCCUUCUUUGAAAUUUAUAGAUCAAAAGACCAAGCAUGCAAGGCAUUCCAAUUACGAUCCUCAGUGUUAGGCUGGACAUAAGUAUCAAAGCUGGAAACCGAAAACCUUGAAGUUAUUAGUGUCACUCACUUCAAAUUAGAAAAUCCUUACAAGCAUUGAAAAAAGAAUAUUGUGAAAUAAGUUCAUAAUGGCCUCCUCACAACAAAUUUUACAUAAUACUAGUUGGGACGGUAAAUUAAAAGCUUGCUUUUUAGUUACAUGAUUUAAAAUUUAUUUAACAAAAUAAUAUUUUGUCAGUUUAUAAGAAUCUUCAUUUGGGUAUAGUUUUAUAUUCUAUAUGACUCCAAAUAUUUUUAUUUACGUAAUAUAAUUUUGAUCAUUAAUUUAAUAAAAUAGUACUUUGUCAUUUUAAGAGAAUCUCCAUUUGGACAGUCUUUUAUUAUAAUAUGAUUCAAAAUAGUACUUUGUCAUUUUUAAUCUCCAUUUUAAGAGAAAGCCGACGAAGGUUGGCGACGGGGCUCCGAGCGGAAGCGGGAGCGGAGCGACGGGGAGGAGUGGUUUGCUGGUUUUGAGGAGGAAAGUACGGACGAUGUUUGGUGCGUCGUACAUUUUGUUGGAACUCGGUUGGAGCCAUAAAAAUAUUUUAUUAUUUGAUUACGGUAAUCGACUACAAUUUUAAAUUUAUUUUUUAGUAUGUUUAUUGGUUCUUUGUUUUACACACAUAUAAUUGGGCUUGGGAGUACUACGGUGGUGCUUCUAUAUUGGGCCACUAUCAAUCUAUUCUCUAACCUGGAGAUUUUUCGUUUAUUUUUCUNNNNNNNNNNNNNNNNNNNNNNNNNNNNNNNNNNNNNNNNNNNNNNNNNNNNNNNNNNNNNNNNNNNNNNNNNNNNNNNNNNNNNNNNNNNNNNNNNNNNNNNNNNNNNNNNNNNNNNNNNNNNNNNNNNNNNNNNNNNNNNNNNNNNNNNNNNNNNNNNNNNNNNNNNNNNNNNNNNNNNNNNNNNNNNNNNNNNNNNNNNNNNNNNNNNNNNNNNNNNNNNNNNNNNNNNNNNNNNNNNNNNNNNNNNNNNNNNNNNUUGUUUAGUUAUGUUGAAUUGUGUUGAGUGCCAGUGACGACAUUACAGUUGUUUUUGUUACUUUUAAAGUUGAUUGCAUAAUCGAUCACUAUUUUAGCAGUCAAUUUUAUUAAUCAACUACGAUCUUAGUAGUCGAUUUCUAUUAUAUAAACCUGACAGGAAAAAAAAAAUUAAACAAACAAGAAAAAUGAAAAUCAAUUUAAGAGAAAAAAAAUGAAGAUGAUGUGUAGUGGAAAGAAGAUAGUUGAACGGUAAUUUUGAGAUUAAAAAAUAUCGUGAGUUUAAAUGGAAAAAAUAUAAAUAGACCUCUUUAUAUUAAAACAAUUUAUGAGGGGUCUACAUCAAAAAAUCCAUAUUUAUAAAAGUGGCUAAACGCAAAACAAGCUAAAAUUCAGGCGGUAAAGUGCUAUCUACAGGUAAAGAUAUGUUAAUGGAUAAGAACAAUUUUUUUUUGAAAAGAUAUUCAACAAUUUGAUACUCACCUAUGCUACGCCAAAGAUUGUCCACGAUCCCUGCACGUACACAUGUAUAUGAUUCGGAAAGUAGCAGAUACGGUACGAGUAUUAUAAUAGUUUGAUAAGGGGUGUAACCGAUCUAAGGAAAUGGUUUAUAUAUCAUAUUCAUAUUCAUAUUACACUUCUUUGUUUUCUUUCACCGCUAUUUGACUAAUUUUCUUAUUAAAAGAACUAAUAAAUAAAUUAAAGAUUAAAGAAAAAAUCCUUCAAAUAUUGUUAAAAUCGUAAAAAUGAUAUCGAAAGUCCAUUUUGGUCACUGAUAAAAUGAUUACGUUAUUUUUUACUUUUUAUUAGGAUAAACUAACGCAUGUUUAAAAAAAUUGAGUUCACUAUUUCAACACCAAUUAUACGAUGACCAAUUGAAACUUGCGGUAACCUUUGGGCUGGUGUUAUUUGAAAGGAAUGGAUUGUAAAUGGGUUCAAGUGGGGAGGAUUAGAAGUGACUGUAAAUGAGAAGGGUUUUCAAAAUCCACCUUAAUUGUUAAAA